GUUAUCAGACAUGAUUAAAACUCACCCAAUUCAAUCCAUUAGAUUCCGUAAGGAUAUAACUGGAUGUCAUACCGCCACUCCAUAUCCUCGAAAGUCCGUAGUCUUUGUCUCAACUCUGUCUGAGGCCAAUGUAAAUCCAAUUUGCGCAAGCUCUUUAUGCACCACAGCUCUUCUGGAAGCUUUCUCAAGUAAGCACAUGGGUUGACAAUUAAGCUUUCAAGUUUUGGCAUUGCUCCAGCCCCCAUCGUCCACUCAUCUAGCCAAUACAUUGAUUUCAGGUGCAAAACCCUAAGUUCCAGAAAGCAACCAGAGCCAACGCAGGCCAGCUUUCUUCCUAAAUACGAGUUCUGUUUCAGUUUCAGCACUUGAAGGCUUGGAAGCUUUUCCAGCAUUGGCAUGGGAUCCUCCAUUAGCUCAGUAUUCGAUAAGCUCAGAUGGCUCAGACUUGGAGGAAAUUGGUAUUCAGACAGGACAAUCCGUGAGCGCUUGCUCUCAUUCACCAGCUUCAAGCAUUCAAGUUUGUGGAGUUCGCAUAGGCUUUUGGAAACCCCAGAGUGAUAGCAACUCAAAUCUCCAGAUAUCCGAAGAGUUUGAACAUUAGGCAGUCUGCCCAAUAUAUCUGGAGUACAACUACUAGGGUGUAAGGCUGAUAUGAAAAUGAGAUUUUUCAGAGAGCUGCAAUAAUUUUUUGGAGGUGCAGGCAGAGUGAUGGAACCGAAGUUUAGAUGCAUGAGUUUUUGCAUCAUCCAAAUAUCCUCUGGUGAAUGAUCUAUGUAGCUUGAUGGCAUUUGUAGUGUUUGAAGGUUUAAAAGGGUGCAUAGCAUUGAAGGAAGGCAUUUGAGCGAAGGGAUAUUCAAUUUCAAAUACUUCAAAAGGAAUAAAUUUUCUAAUCCGGGUGGAAAUUGGUCGAGAACUGCAGAACCGAAGUUCAGUACCCGAAGGUGUUUGAACUUUUUACAAAAAUUCUCGCAAUCUAUAAGAGCGAGAUGAUCGCUUUCUGAACUGUGAUUCAGAAAAGAUUGGAGAUACAUGUCAGAAUAUUCUAAAGAAAGGAACUCAAUCAGAUCUUCCAAAAUGAAGCACCGUUUAACAUUUGCCAGUGAUUCCUCUUCCAUGUCAGGCGUCCAGACAAAUCUCGUCUUCUCUACUACCAAAGCCAAUAACGUAUAUACAAAACUUGGAACAUAACACGCUUUAAUUGUGCCGCCGGCGCUUCUCUUACUCACUUGAAUGAAGCCGCGAUGGAUUAGUUCUUUCAAGUAAUGUUCGGCAGUUUCUUCACCGUUGUAUGGUAUGAAACCUUCAGCUACCCACAACUGAUAUAAUUGCCUCGUUGAUAUCUCAUUGCAUGAAAGGAAGACACACAAAUAGAUGCAGCAGAUUUUCAAGUGAAAAGGUAACUCCAUCACAGAAAAAAGUUGUCUCCAAACUGUCGGAAUCGUUUCGCCUUGAAGAUAAUUUUCUAAGGGCAUACUUCCAUAGUGUAGGAUGAAAAAUUGCCAGGCCUCAUGCUUUAAUCUGAUCAAUGGUCCUCCUACGAUCACUGAAUCAAGCCGAAUCUUCUCUCCGUUUUCCAUUUCCAACAGCGUAAGGAGGUGUGGAUUAGUGACCAAUAUCAAUACUCUGCUUCCAUUCUGAUUAUCAGGAAGAACUUCUUCAAGAUCACUCCAUAUCUCACUGUCAUCGAAGACAUCAUCAAGCACAAUAAAGUACUUCCUGUUUGUUAGGUAAUCUCGAAGAAUAGAUUUCUUCAAUUGAUAAUCUUCCCCGAUAAUUACACUAACCCGAGAUGGAGGCAUCACAGACUUGAUUAUGUCAUCCAAUAUCUUGCGAAAAUCGUAGGCUACAGAAACCCUUACCCAAGCAUGACAGUCAAAAUAGAACUUGAUAUGGUUAUUAUUGUAAGUAUCUGCAGCAAAAGCAGUCUUAUCGAAGCCACUGCUGUCGAGAAUUGUAACCACUGCAAGCCGACGAUGUCCUAAAUCAAUAAAUCAAACAACUCCUCUCUGCCACUUUCAAAUUCAUUGAUAUCAAGCCGAGGUUGUCCCUCACUCAAUAGGCGAAUGAUUUUGUUUCUUUGUUCACUGACAUCAAAACCAUUGUCGCCGGGUGGAAGUUGUUGCAUCCGAUUACUAAUAUCAAUGAUUUUACUCUGGAGUCCAUCAAGAAGAGCCAUAUUAGUGCUGCUUUUACUUUCGUUUUCACUGUUUUGCUGCUGCAUGAUGUUGAUGAAGAAUCUGUCAAUGGCUUCCUCAGAUUCAUGGACAAAGCGAUUGAUGUCCUCCAGAAUUUCCAAAAUAUCUGGUCUUUUAACGUCUUCUUCAUCGCUUUCUUCUAAGUCCAACAGUUGCAAAAGAGGCAAAGAUAUUUUGGAGUCAUCGAAUUCUUCUCUAAUGAGUUGAAAGAAAUGCCGAGCCAUGUCAGAUUCAUAUUUUCCCAGCAGAGUAGUUGCAAUAAUUUCGGACUCCGUAAGAAGGUUUUGAAAAAGUGGGGUUAAAUUUGUUGAAUCAGGCAGUGUUAACGUGCCUUCUUCUCCUACUACCACCCUUUUCAACCUCUCACAAAAUAAUCGGAGGUGGGCGUCCAGCAUAUCUCCUCCUGUCUGUAGCAGCCAGAGGUAUUGUUAUUUGCUCCAAGAAAUGUUAAAAGGAUUGGUCCUACCUCAAAGUGGUUAGUGGUGUAAAAUUAAACACCAUGGGAGAAUUUGAAAGGAAGAUGCCAAGAAACUGGCAAAGUGGCUAAAUUCCACAAAUACGGCAUUAUUGCUCAUUUUUAACUCAACAAAUUGAUACGCGUUCAUUUAGAGAAAAGUCGAAGACGCGUGCCUUUUGAAAAGAACAAGUAUCCAAUAGGUAUCCAACCUUUAUCUUAUUUAAUUACUACCAUGACAUGAUUGAUGGUGCUUAAAUCAAUUGUUUCUUUUUUAAUUUAAAGAUUUUUUCAUUAAAAAAUAAUUUAAUAUCACAUUGCCUUCAAUGGCGUAACGGCCGCAAGCCCAGUAACUAGAUUAAUUAAAAUGAAAUUAUGAUUGCACUACUUUUUUAUUUAUUUAUUUAUCUAAUCACUAUAAAAUUUUAACAUAUUUUAUUUACUAUAUUUUUUUUAAAUUUGCAUCAAUUAGUCACUUUUACACUAAUACCGUUAAAUAAUUUAAACGGAAUGAUAAUUUUACCCCUAAAUAAAAUUAAAAGUUCAUUUUAUUUUAUAAAAACUUUGAAAAUAAAAAAUUAUAAUUAUAAAAUAUCCCUAAAUUUAAUAAAGAAAUAAAUCCCAAAAUUAGAAUGUUUAUUUUUAAUAAAAAUUAUUUUAAUAAAAAAUUAUAAUUAGAAAAAUAAUUACAAAAUUUUGGGAUUUAAUAAAAAUCCCCUAAAUGAUUAAAAUUUUAGGAUUUAUUUUUUAAUAAAUAAAUUCAGUUAUUUUAAUAAAAUUUUGCAAAAUUAUAAUUUUUAAUAAAUAAAUUCACUUAUUUUUAUUAUAAUUUUAAAAAAAUUUAAAUUUUUAAUAAAAAUAAUUAUUAAAAUUUUACAACAUCUAAAUUGAAUAAAAAUCAGCUGAGCACCUAUAUUUUGUAUUUAUUUUUAUUAAAUUUAGGGGUAUUUUUAUAAUUAUAAUUUUUUAUUUUUCAAAGCUUUAUAAGAUAAAAUGGUCUUUUAAUUUAUUUAGGGGUAAAAUUAUCAUUUCGUUUUAAUUAUUUAACGGUGUUAGUGCAAAAGUGGCUAAUUGAUACAAAUUUGAAAAGAAAUGUGGCGCAGAGAACAUAUUAAAAUUUUGUGGUGGUUGGAUGAACAUAAGGCAACAGAAAGGUGGUGCAAUAAUAAUUUCCCUAAUUAAAAUUUUAGAAUUUUUGGGCAUGGAUAGAGUAGUUUUAAUUAUGUUAAAGAAUUGAUAUUGACAUAAUUUUAUUUUGGUUUUCAACGAAAAAAAAUUUGUUGACAAGUAAGAAAAUAUUUUUUUUUUACUUUACAAUCGGUUAUACAUGUUUUAUCAUAUUAAAGUAAUUUUAAUAAUAAAUAGAAACAUAAUAUUACAAUAAAUAAAUUAAAGUUUAAGUUAUUUUGAAUAUUAAAAAAAUAAUUUUAAUAUUAUUAAUAGGGAGGCAUUUUGUUAAUUGUAAAAUCUUGUUAACCCAAAGGUUAUUUAAAAUCUUUCUAAUAAAUACAAAUAUAAAAUUAAAUAUCAUAAUUUAAAAUAUUUAAUACUAUAUUCAAUGUAAAAAUAUUUUAAUGUUGUUAAUAUACUACAUAGAUUAUAUUACUUAUAUUAUAUUUAUAUUGAUUAAAAAUUUUUAAAAUUAAUUUUCUAGUUACUAUAUUCAUAAGGUAUUCUGGUUAAAGAAAAUAUCUUGAUAUUACUUUUUGAAAAUUUGAGAGCCUGCAUGACAAUUUUUUCAAAUUUUAAGGAUGUAAUUAUCCUUUUUUCCAUAAUUUAUUUCAAUUUUGAGGGAAUCCAAUAAGAAAUAUGGCAGGAGAAUGUCAAUAGGCGAAUGAUUUUGUUACUUUGUUCACUGAUCUCAAAACCAUCGUCGCCGGGUGGAAGUUGUUGCAUCCGAUUACUAAUAUCAAUGAUUUUACUGUGGAGUCCAUCAAGAAGAGCCAUAUUAGUACUGCUUUCACUUUCGUUUUCACUGGUUUGCUGCUGCUUGUUGUUGAUGAAGAAUGUGUCAAUGGACAAAGUUAUUGAUGUCCUCCAGAAUUCCAAAAAUAUCUGCUGUUUCAACGUCUUCUUCAUCGCUUUCUUCUAAGUCCAACAGUUGCAAAAAAGGCAAAGAUAUUUUGGAGUCAUCGAAUUCUUCUCUAAUGAGUUGAAACAAAAGCCGAGCCAUGUCAGCUUCAUAGUUUCCCACCAGAGUAGUAGCAAUGAUUUCUGACUCCGUAAGAAGGUUUUGAAAAAGUGGUGUCAAAUUUGUUGAAUCUGGCAACGGCAACGCGCCUUCUUCACCUGCCAACACCCUUUUCAACCUCUCACAAAACAGUCGGAGGUGGAAUUCCAGCAUAUCUCCUUCUCUCCGUAGCACUCAGAGGUAUAGUUGAAAGAUUAAACACCAUGGAAGAAUUUGAAAGGAAUAUGCCAAGAAACUGUGUAAGUGGCUAAAUUCCACAAAUAUGACAUUAUUGCUCUUUUUUGAACUCAAAAAAAUGGUACGCGUUCAUUUAGAGAAAAGAACAGGUAUCCCAAUCGAUAUCCAACCUUUAUCUUAUUUAAUUACUACCAUGACAUGAUUGAUGAUGCUUAAAUCAAUUGUUUCUUUUUUAAUUUAAAGAAUUUUUCAUUAAAAAAAUAUUUUGAUAUCUAAUACCCUUCAAUGGCAUAUCUGCCGCAAGCCCAGAACAGGAUUAAUGAAUUUUUUUUUUAAUUUUUUGGGCAUGGAAAGAGCAGUAUUAAACAUCAGAAAGCUAAGGUUGUUCUGUUAAAAAAUUGAUAUUGACAUAAUUUUAUUUUGGUUUCGGGGAAAAAAAUAUUUUCUGAAAAGCAAGAAAAUAUUUUUAUAUUUUACAAUUUAUUAUACAUAUUUUAUCGUAUUAAAUUAAUUUUAAUAAUAAAUAGAAACAAAAUAUUACGAUAAAUAAAUUAAAGUUUAAAUUGUUUUGAAUAUUAUAAAAAAUAAUUAUAAUAUUAUUAAUAGGAAGACAUUUUGUUAAUUUUAAAUUUUUUUAACCCAAAGGUUUAUUUAAAAUCUUUAUUAUAAAUACAAAUAUAAAAUUAAAUAUCAUAAUUUAAAAAAUUUAAUAUUAUUUUAAGUAUUAAAAAUAAUUUAAUGUUAUUAGUCUACUAUAUAGAUCACAUUACUUAUAUUAUAUUUGUAAUGAUUAAAAAAUUUUUAAAUCAAUUUUCUAGUUAAUAUAUUCACGAGGUAUUAUGGUUAAAGAAAAGACCUUGGUGUUACUUUUUAAAAAUUUGAGCGCAUGCAUGAUAAUUUUUUCAAAAUUUAAGAAUGUAUGUGUCCUUUUCUCCAAUAAUUUAUUUCACUUUUGAGGGGAAUCCAAUGAGAAAUAUGAUAAGAGAAUGUCAAUUACUUGUCAUUUUCUAUUUUUUCUGUAAGGUAUUUAUUUUGAGCAUUGGUGAUCUUGUCUGGACUACUCCAAUUAUUGAUGGAACUCCAAUGGCUGCAUCCACAGUUGAAUAUAUGAUGGUGUUAGCUCUUACUUGAGAAUUCAGAGGGAUCUUUCUAUGUUUCUCAAUUGCAAUGUGCUAGUAUAAAUUUCUUUACCUUACAGUUUAUAUAGUCUUGCUGUUAAUGAACUCACUGAGGCAUUAUUGAUUCAAUUUCAGUGGAGCAAUCGCGGGUGAAGGAUAAAUAAAGGAUAACAGAACAGAGCUGAAGUGCUAAAUUGGCUAUUGAAGAAGGUUUUCACAUGAUCACAAUUAUGUAAAAUAAUCAUUUUUCUGAAAUUGUGUUUCCUAAAAUUAAUAAAUUUCCUUUUUUUUAAAAAAAAAAAAAAACUCUUCUACGACGUGGUUGCACAGCAAAUUAGAGAAUUAUAGGGUCUCUAAUCAAUACUCCAACCAAUAAUGAUAUGUGCACAAAAAAUAGUAUCAAUCACAACAAGAUUAAAAUUAAAAAAAGUAACUAUAAGAUGGAAAAAAAAAUUAUUACAAGAAAAUAAUUUUUUUGUCUUUUCUAUCUUUUAUACUAUUUUUGUUUAUAUGUACUCUAAAUUCAGCCAAACCAUACAUGCAUGAACAAAAAUUAAACCGUCGUUCUAAUCACAACAGUAAUUGAAGCUACAAAAGCCAGCAAAUCUGAACGAAGACUUAAAAGAAAGAUCUUAUUCAAGUUUGUCCCCAAAAGACAGCUGAAAUGAAAAAUAUUGACUAUUGAAUGGGUCAAUGCCGAAUUACAUUUCAAAUGGAAAGCUUGGCAGCAGUUACAAUGUUUCCCCCUCUGAUUUUCCUCCAAAACAAAUUCAGUUGUAAACAAUAACCGAAGUAGUAAUAAUUUAUUCAUCAAAGAAAAUACCCCCAAGUUUUCAACUAAAAAAUCCUCUUGUCCAAACUAAAAGAACUCAUAUCUCUAAAAUCUAUCUGCAAAAUGUUGGGAAUGAGGAGUGAUCUGUCAACUCCGUAAAUAAACUCAUGCAUAAUGUUAACAAUAAUGAUAAAUUACAUAAUAAUUAUUAUAAAGAAUCAUAAAUUGGAAACACUAAUCAUUCUACAAUCUAUUAUAUAAGCAAGAUAAAUCUCAUAAUAAGUUAAGUUAUAAUGUAAUAAAUAUUUUCAAUAUAUAAUUAUUUAAGAAGUCAUUUAACAAUAAAAUAAUUUUUUUAAAUCAGUUGAUCAUACAGCGUUAUCUAAACUCCUGACGAUAUUAUUAUUACUCACUUUUCUCAAAAAAAUAUGAUUAAUGUUUAGAGAAAAGUCAUGCAUUUUAGAAAAAAUAUGUAUACUAGCUAUCCGUACUUUAUCUUACCGUGACAAAAUUGAUGGUGAUUAAAUCUAUUUUUAAAAUAGAUUUAAUUCACAAAUAUGGUGACUUUUGGCAAAAAUUAUUUUCAGAAGAUAUAGUGGCAGAAAAUAGUGAUAAUUAUUGUUUAAAUGUGUAAAUAGCCUAAGUAUAGCCCAUAAUACCAAUAUCCAUUUGCACCUUCAUUUGGUUUAUCACAUUUCAUGAUAUUCUUUCAUUCAUGACCAUUGUUCAAGAUUUUAAUUUGAUUAUAAAUUAAGUUGCAAGGGAGCUUACUUCAGUCUCUAAGCUUUUCAAUCGUGAUUCCUGCAUGCCAACGUAACUGACCUUAUAAUUGGUCUGUAUAAGAAAUCAAGCCCUUUCAGGAUCGUUUUCUUUUUCUCCCUAUUGUAGUAGUCAACUAAAUAAAGAAUGAACAACUAAACUUGGUCUAUUUCGAGGAAGACUAAGGCUUCCAAUACUAGAUGAACUUUGAAGAAAAUUAAUCCGUUGUUUUUAUUCAUCUUUGGACUAUGAAUAUAUACAAAGACUUUAACAGAAAAUAACAAAGACACAGCUAAAUGCACUACUAAAAAAAUGAGUUUUACUGACACUAAUUUAGCGUCAGUAAUUACUUUUAUUGACACUUGUUAAUUGUGUCAGUGUUGCUCAAGCCAGAACACACUGACACUAAUUUUUGAUGUCAAUAAUUUUUGUGUCAGUAAUUUGUUUCACUAUAGUAUCACUAAAAUAAUGACACGAUGAUGUUGGUAUUUAAUAAUACUAUUUACACGUCAGUAAUUUAUGUGACUAUAGUAUCAAAAACUGACUCGAUAAUAUAAAAAAUUCUUAUUGUUAUUUUAAAUAUGUAGUGUCAGUAUUUAGUAAUGUUAUGCUGCUUUUGGUUAAUAGUAUAUUUUUUAUUUUAAUUAUAUUUUUCGUGUUUGUUGUACAACCAAAAGAAAACUCGAAAUAUAUUUAUUAUUAAAUAUCUUGCAACACAAUUCAUAUAAUAAACAUCUCAAAUACAUCACUUAAAUUCACACAAUUCAACUACAUCACUAUGUGUAAAAGACUUAACAUAAGUAUCAAAUUAAAUUUUCAACAAUCUCUAAACAACAAGUGCUAACUACUACUCAAUUAAGUUUCCAACCCAAAAGAAAAAAAAAAAAGCACAAGGUCACUCAAUAUCCAUCCACGGCUUCAUUUUGUUCCCACCUACAAAUGCAUAAAAUCAAUUAGUAUACUGUGAAAAAUAAAUCUUAGUUAUUUUGAAGCAAAAAUACUCAUAAAUUACUUCAACAUGGAAGAGUAGGAUUAAAAGAAGCAAGUUAAGGAAUCAGAAAAAGAAAUUGUAGAAUCUACACGUUCCCAAGUUAAUUACAGCCUGCAAUCAUGAUACCACAAAUUGCUUCACCAAAAGUAUUCUAUCAAGUAUUAAAGAGAACACUUAAUAAGUACAUCAAUAUUUAGUAAUGAUGACAUGAACAAUGGUGUCUACAACUUGACAAGCAUAAGUUAUUUUUUUUGUAAUCUAUUUCAUUGUCUAAAUUUAAAGUAAACAAUGCUAUAAUAUAUGAUCAAGUACAUUAAGUUAACAAGCACUAUAACAUUUAUUUAGCCCACAUUCAACGAUGAUCAGUUGGACCGAAAGCCAUAAAUUGAAAAACAAAAGAUAUUUAAUGAGCUUAAAGAGGAAAAAUAAAAGUUAACAAAAUUUAAACGACUAAUGAAGAAAUUAACCAAGCCGAGAUGAAAAACAGAAAUAGAAGGCCACUAUAAGCCAAACAUUACAAAUCAGGUUGCUUUUUAAGACACGAACCCAGUUUCCAAUUACAGUACUUUGCAAUUCUUUAAAAAAAAAAGGGUUUCCCAAUUACUAAAUCUUUUUAGGUUUGAAGUGGAUUGAUAAUUAAAUUGAUGAAAGAAAGGAAAGUGAAGCAAAAAUUAGAUUCAAGUAUGGGUCAAGUAAAAAAGUAAAAGAUAAAAAUCAGAUUCAGUGCAAACCUGGGUUUCAAAUGAUUAGCAAAGGAACAACUUCUUCUUUCUUCAAUCUAAUAUUCUUCUUCGAACAUGGAAUACUAACAAAAUACAAUUAGUAAUUCAUAAACAUAUAGUAAAAUGAGAUAGGUAUUUUUUGAGAGGAGAUUGAGAAAUACAUAUUUGAUUGAAGAAAGAAAACACAACAAAAAAAAAGGACCAGGUCUCCUCAAAGAAAAGCAAAAUGGGAAAAUAGGGGAAUAGUCUAUACAAAAGCCAACCCACCACCCUUGGAGGACCAUCCUUCUUCUGAGCAAAAAUCUAUACAAGAUUAGCCCAAACCUCCAAUAUAGUAAAAUGGGUUCGACAGACUAUUUCUAAUCUGUCAUUUGCAAAGUAAAGCUAAAAUUAGAAUUGUCUACUAACAACCUUCCUAUAGUUUGUCCACUAUAUUAUUACUAUAUUAUUAGAUGUAAAAUGCCCACUAUAAAAGGUAAUUAAUAGAGAAACUUCUCUGUAGUAUUUUCAUACCUGUGCCAAAACAGAGAAGAGAAAGAAAUGGUGUCUGACCUCGGUGGUAAAGGAACCGCUAUGGUAAAGGAUCGAACAUGGAUGAAAAAUAAACUUGUGCAAAUGGAGCCACCAGCAUUUUGCAAGAAUUAAAGAUUUUGGGUGAAAUCCUCUCUUAUAAACACUUAUUUGUAUUGGGAGCAUGCAUACUUCCGAGUAUGAUAUAAUUCUAUAAAAUUUAGACUCCUGAUAGAUAGAUAGAUAACACGUAUUAGCAUUAAUUAAAUGGAAGCAUCAACAAUAAUCAAUAAAUCAUUAUAGAAAAAAAAUUAAAAAUGAAAGGAGCUGAGGCACACCAUUGUGAUGCAAGAUUGACAAUCAAAAGAACCUUUCCUUUGUAGAUGCUAAGAUCAACAUCCUGUCCCUUCGCAUCCUGCAAAUAAGAUAAAUUUUUAUAAAAAUUAAAAAAUAUAUCUGUCAAAUCCCAAAUUGAAUUAAAAAUCAAAACAAGGGAAAGAAAAUGAAAGGAACAUGUCAUCAAAUUGUAGGUGGCUGGUGGUGCUUUUUAGUGAAGUGUUUGUAGAACUGUUAGAUGUAACCAUUCUUUACGCAUCAACUUCGCUAGUGAUUUGAUUUGAUGAAGAGGAUCUUUCCUUAUCUAGUUAUCUUCUUGUGUAGAUCCAUGUAGGAUUCCUUCACGAUUUCUUUUUUUUUUUUUUGGGGGGGGGGGGGGGGAGGUUUAAUUAACAAAACAAUAAGAGUAAAUGAGGAAUCAAUCCCUAAUUUAAGGCCUUCUAAGAUUGCUGAAGCUCUGCAUAAUCAAUGUCUCCAAGAAAAAGGUUUAUUUGCAGGCUGUAGCAGCAAUUUUCUUCCCCAUGAAAUCCAACUGAUCCAUUUGUAUUGAAUUUAAGCACACGCCUGAGGCUGGAAAAGACAAAGAAAUUAAUGAAAACAGGCUAUGUAUCUUUUUUACUUAUCAUUGCUCUAUGAAUUAAUUAUGCUACUAAUCACGACGCCGUUUAAAUCUUAGAACAAUAAUAAUCUUUUAGCAACAAAUAUGACGGUUCAAUAAUAUGUUCCGACUAGGGAUGUCAUAUUGUGAGGGCUGUUAAGUUUAAGAAACGAUCAAAUCUAAUUUUGUGUUCCAAAAACUCAUUGGCUUAACAGAUUAACUCCUCUGUAGUAUUUUCAUACCUGUGCCAAAAGAGAGAAGAGAAAGAAAUGGUUCUUGAUCUCGACGGUAAAGGAGCGGUGGCUGGCUGGGCUGAAGUUGAUGUGACGGCAUAAAAGCGGUAGCAGCGACAUACUGAAAGGUGGCUAGCUAGUCGUAGGUGGCUGAAGCUUGACAACAGUAGAGCAAAGGCGGCAGUGACGUCAAGGAACGGCGGCCGACAGCAGUGAAAGUCGAGGAGCAGCGGCCGGCAGCAGUGAAAGUCGAGGAGCAGCGGCCGGCAGCAGUGAAAGCCGAGGAGCAGCGGCCGGCAGUAGUGAAAGUCGAGGAGCAGGGGAGCGGUCGGCAGCAGUGAAAGUCGAGGAGCAGGGGAGCGGCGGCAGCAACUUAAGAAGUGGUGUGUUUGAUUCGGUUAGAUUUAGGGUUUCUUAUUUUCAUUUUAUACUUUGAAAAAUUAUACAGUGUAAUUGUUCGCAUUGUAAUUUAAUAAAACAACAAACUACAAGUCAACAUGUGGUCAAGUAAAAUUAUUAUUAUUAACAACGAAUUACAAGUUGACAUGUGGCAAAAUAAAAAAUAUUAUUCUCAAAACUAUUAUUAUUAUUAUUAUUAUUAUUAUUAUUAUUAUUAUUAUUAUUAUUAUUAUUAUUAUUAUUGUCCACAAAGUAAUUGUGUAAAAUUUAAUUAAAUAAAAAAAUUAAUCAAAUUGAAAAUUUAAAAACACAUGCAUCAAUGGUUUGCACUCUAAACUUACAAAUUUUAAGUUUAGAGAUCUUGAGUUCGAGUUCAAAUUAAAACAAAAUUAAUAUUAUUAUUUUUUUAUCACUGAUGCUUUAGUAUCAAUAAUCAUUGAAUUUUAAGCUACUGACACCUUAGUAUCAAUGAUUUAUGAUACAUACUUGUUAAAGGCGGAAAAUGGUCCAAACGUACACCAUUUCUGACACUUUUUACUAAGUGUCAGAAACAAAGUGUCAGUAAAUGUCAUUUUUGUAGUAGUGAUGAUAGCAAUAAGUGCUGACUUAGACACUUAGUGGACCGCUUCUACAAGUAAAUAAAAACUAAAUAUUUAUUUUGACUAUAACAACAACUACGCUGAUGAAUAGGAUUUCACAGCAGCCACGUGAGAACUAAUUUCUCCUUAAUAUUAUUAUUAGUAGAAGUAGAUUUUCAAACUAGUCUUGAUAUAUUUCAAAGUUGUAUUAUCAAUGUAUAUGUGUCUAGAUUGUAACUAUACUUUAAAAAAUAUAAAAUUUUUAAUUAUUGCACAAUAUAUGUAGAAAAAUAUCUAUAAAAUGAUAUUAUUAGGACUAAGAAUUUUUUAUUUUAUUUUAGAUAAGUUAUUUAUUUAUUAUCGAAUGAAUAAUUUAUUAAUUUAUUGAUAAAUGAAUAUUUAUUAAUUUAAAGAGAGAUUUUUUUGGUUUUAACAAGAGUUUGUUUGGUAAAUGUACACACUUAUAAAGAAACAUAAAAAGUGGUUCCUCAAGUCAAUAGUGUUUGCUUCAAUCGCAACGGUUCAUAAUAAUAUAGCUUAGUUAGGAAAUUUGUAAUUAUACUAUAACUUUGUUUGGUACAACUUUUCAAGUAAAACUUAUUUAAGUAGAGUUGUUAUUAGUAGAGCUUUUAUAAAUAAAGCUUUUACUAAAAAAAAUUUAAUUGUUUGGUUGUCAAUGUCCAAAUUGAUAAACUUUUGUUCUUUUGUUAAGAUAUGUUUGUUUUACUUAAUAAUAGCAUCGGCAAGAGUUUUCGAUUGUUGCAACUUGCAAUGCACGCGGUGAGAGAAAAUGAGAAUCUUGUUUAAUUGUCAAUAAUGACAAACCUAAUCCUUUCAUUAGGAGUAAUUUAAUAAUCGUUUGUUAUAACUGAAUAUGUAUAAAGAAAGGAAAAUUCUAUUCAUAGAUUUCGACUUAUUUUUUGUUUAAAGUAAUUAAUCAUUCAACCAUCUUCAUUUGCCUCUGGCCAAUGCCCUUGUAGAUUAGUUGAAGCGUUAAUUACUUAAUUAUGAUUAUAUACAUUUUCAUAUAGCAAGUGGCAUUGUAGAUCUAAACUAAGUUGCUAUUUCAAUACCAGCAAAUUCAAAAUAGAAAAGGAGUGCAACUAUUUAACUUUGUAGACAAUAUUGCAACCAUGGCAUAUUUAUAGCAAAUCCUUGAAAUCUGCUAAACAAAACAAUGCCCUGUCUCAUGAAUCGAUGCUCAAUUAAAAUUUAAAUUGAAAGUCCGGCUGGUGUUGUUUUCCUCUCCAGUUUUGCCUACAUAAGUAAAGGGAAAUAAGAAUCAUAAGUGAAAAUAUGCUUUGACAGGUCUUAUUUCUUUGUUUCUCUACUGCAGUUUUGCCUACUCAAGCUGAGUCUACGUUGAGACAUAAUUUCAGUAUUGAGGUAACAAUAAUUUCGGACUCCGUAAGAAGGUUUUGAAAAAGUGGAGUCACAUUUGUUGAAUCAGGCAACGUCAACGUGCCUUCUUCACCUGCUAACACCCUUUUCAACCUCUCACAAAAUAGUCGGAGGUGGACGUCCAGCAUAUCUCCUUCUCUCUGUAGCACCCAGAGGUAACAGGAUUAAUUAAAAAUUUUAGAAUUGUUGGGCGUGGAAAGAGUAGUAUUAAACAUCAGAAAGCAAGGUUGUUCUGCUAAAGAAUUGAUUUGUUGACAUAAUUUUUUUUUUUUUUUUUUGGUUUUCGAGGAAAAAGGCAUAUUUGUUGACAAGCAAGAAAAUGUUUUUGUAUUUUACAAUCUGUUAUACAUAUUUCAUCAUAUUAAAGUAAUUUUAAUAAUAAAUAGAAACAUAAUAUUAUGAUAAAUAAAUUAAAGUUUAAAUUAUUUUGAAUAUUAUAAAAAAAUAAUUCUAAUAUUGUUAAUAGGAACAUAUUUUGUUAAUUGUAAAAUCUUUUUAAUCCAAAGAUUUAUUUAAAAUCUUUAUAAUAAAUACAAAUAUAAAAUUAAAAUAAAUAUCAUAAUUUAAAAUUUUUAAUAUUAUUUUCAAUAUUAAAAUAUUUUAAUGUUAUUAGUCUACUAUGUAAGGUAUCAGAGCCAUACCCAUCCUUGAAUGGGUCAAUGCUGAAUUACACUUGAAAUGGAAAGCUUGCUGCAGUUACGAUAUUUCCCCCUCUGAUUUUUCUCCAAAACAAAUUCAGUUGUAAACAAUAACCGAAGUAGCAAUAAUUCAUUCAUCAAAGAAAAUACUCAAAUUUUCAACUAACAAAUCCUCUUAUCUAAACUAAUUAAAAAAAACUCAUAUCUCAAAAAUCUAUCUACAAAAUGUUGGAAAUAAAGGGUGAUCCGUCAACUCGAUAAAUAUACUCAUGCAUAAUGCUAACAAUAUGAUAAAUUACAUCAUAACUAUUAUAAAGAAUCAUAAAUUGGAAACACUAAUCAUUCUACAAUCUAUUAUAUAACUAAGAUAAAUCUUAUAAUAAGUUAAGUUAGAACAUAAUAAAUAUUUUCAAUAUAUAUAAUUAUUUAAGAAGUCUUUUAACAAUAAAUUUUUUUUCUUUUUCAGUUGAUCAUGUCAUAUAGCGUUAAUGGUGAUUAGUGACUGAUUACAAAGCAAAAUUGUUUAAAAUAGAUUUAAUGCACAAAUAUGAUGAAUUUUGGCAAAAAUUAGUUUCGGAAAUGUUGGGAUGAAAACCAUAUUAGUUGAGACUUAAAGUUACUUAAUAAAAUUAUAUCACUACCAUUCAAUGGAUGAAAACUAUUUUAGUUGAGACUUAAAUUUAGAUUUAAAUGUUGAGAUAUCUAGUAUUACUCAAUCAGAAUAAACAAGAACCAAUUCUGACUAUCAUGUAGAAGCAAAUAUUUAUGCUUGGAUUUUUUACUUCUUGAAUUUGAUUGGAAAAGUUUCUGAGACAGAGAAGUGUUUUGGAUAAUCUUUUUCGGGAUUGAAACCACAAAUUGGUCGAGGAAAUUAAUUUUGGACAAAUUUUUAUUGAGUUGUGCUAAACAUCAAGAAGGGCGAGAGAAUGCUGAGAGAAACGGCAGCUUUGUGCUGCUGUUUCGACUUCUCACUCUCUCGCCAUUCUAAUAAUUUUUUAUUAUUAAAAAUAAAAAAGCGGAGAAAAUGAUAGCAGACAACCCACAUCUACCAAAUCUCCAUCACUCCAUCACUCUCUUUCUCUCUCUCCCUCUCUUGAUUUUCAUCCUCUCUCUGGCUUCCUCACUCUCUACGGCUCCCCAUCAAGCUUCCUCAGUCUCUUCGGCCUCACUAUCUCUAGCCUCACUCUCUCCAGAUUCUUUCAUUUUCUCCUUUUUUUUAUAUUUUUAACAAUAAAAAAUUAGCAUUCUGCUGAGAAAGAGAGUGGUACACGACUCUUGAACAAUUUUUUUUCUGUCGUGAUCGUCUAUCAAACCACCUAAAAAUGAGCCAAGGGGGUUCUCAGCCCUAGCAGCUCACGUACUUUCAAGAUUUAGAGUAUGGUUCCAGUCCAAGCUAUUUAAUUAGUAUUGGGAUUCGAUUUAGUUGUUCUUCUAAUUUAAUAGGAUAAAGAAUUUAAUUGGAGAAAUGUCAUUAAUAUCAUAGGAGCAUAUAUAUUGUUUUGAUUUAAAUAUUGCUAUUUUUUUAUUGUUGAAAAAAAAAACACUAGAAAAUGGGAAGCCAAAAUCUUAGCCCUGUGUUUUUACUUUUACUUUUCUCUUAAACAUUUUAAAGAUGUAAAGGAAAAUGCUCAGAAUGGUGAGAGAGUGAUGGACGUGAUGGGCUAUCUUCUAUCCUUUUUUUAAUAAAUUUUUAAGAAUAAAAAAUUUAUUAAAACAGUAAGAGAGCGAAACCAAAACGGCAGCUUGUGCUGUCGUUUCUCUUAACAUUCUCUCGUCAUUCUUGAUGUUAAGCAUUUUCCAUUUUUAUUAUGUUGUAGCACCUUUUUGGUUCCUUUUGUGUCGGCAGCCCCUUACUAUUCUCUUAACCCUGAGUUUGAGAUAGAAAUUUCCCGAACUCCAACCCCACAUCCACAGACAAGUUGAUUCAAACAAUUGCUCUUUUAAUUAAGAGAAUGAGUUAGGUUUCAGUUCUUAUUGUUGUCUGUUAUUUCUCUGAAUCAUUAAUUUUGAGCAUUACUGAUCUUAGUUAUCUGUAUUUCUCCAAUUAUUGAAGAAUUUAUUAUUGAAUGAAUAAUUUAUUAAUUUAUUGAUAAAUGAAUAUUUAUUAAUUUAAAGAGAGAUUAUUUUGGUUUUAAGAAGAGUUUAUUUGGCACAUGUACACACUUAUAAAGAAACACAAAAAGUGCCUGCUCAAGUCAAUAGUUUUGGUACAUUUACACACUUAUAAAGAAACACAAAAAGUGCUUGCUCAAGUCAAUAGUAUUUGCUUUAAUCGCUAUAGUUCAUAAUAAUAUAGCUUAGUUAGGAAAUUUGUAAUUAUACUAUGGCUCCGAUUGGUACAACUUUUUAAGUAGAACUUAUUUAAUUAGAGUUUUUAUUAGUAGAGUUUUUAUAAAUAGAGAUUUUACUAAAAUAAAAUUUAGUUAUUUAGUUGUCAAUGUCCAAAUUGAUGAAAUAUUGUUCUUGUUAACAUAUGUUUGUUUUACUUAAAAAUAAAAGUUUAGUUUACAAUUACACCAGUAUAAAAUCAGCAGAGCAUUUUUGCUUAAAUAUUUAUUAAUUUAAAGAGAGCUUAUUUAAAUAGAGUUUUUGUUAGCAAAACUUUUAUAAAUAAAACUUUGCUUAAAAAAAUUUAAUUAUUUAAUUGUUAAUGUCCAAAUUGAUGAACUUUUGUUCUUUUGUUAACAUGUGUUUCUUUUACCUAAUAAUAAAAAUUAGUUUACAAUAACACUGGUGUCAAAUCAGCAGAGAUAUUUUCCAGCCAGUCACAUUAUACAUACGGGAGCCUCUAUGUUACAUUGAAUGUACCAUACACAACUAAUAAGAACCACAUAAAUUGUGGGACCCACAUAAUUGUGUGGUUCUUAUUGGUUGUGUAUGGUACAUUCAAUGUAACAUAGCAAAAUCCUAUACAUUAUACUAAUAGCAUCGGCAAGAGUUUUCGAUUGUUACAACUUGCAAUGCACGCGGUGAGAGAAAAUGAGAAUCUUGUUUAAUUGUCAAUAAUGACAAACCUAAUCCUUUCAUUAGUAGUAAUUUAAUAAUCGUUUAUUAUAAUUGAAUAUGUAUAAAGAAAGGAAAAUUCUAUUCAUAAAUUUCGACUUAUUUUUUGUUUAAAGUAAUUAAUCAUUCAACCAUCUUCAUUUGCCUCUGGCCAAUGCCCUUGUAGAUUAGUUGCAGCGUUAAUUACUUAAUUAUGAUUAUAUACAUUUUCAUAUAGCAAGUGGCAUUGUAGAUCUAAACUAAGUUGCUAUUUCAAUACCAGCAAAUUCAAAAUAGAAAAGGAGUGCAACUGUUCAACUUUGUAGACAAUAUUGCAAGUUGCAACCAUCCAAAGGUGAAGAUCUAUGCUUAUUAUCUAUUUAACAGCUAAUAUAUAUAUAUAUAUAUUUAUUUAAAUAUCAAGAGCUAUGCUUUUAAAUAAGUUCAAAUGGGAUGAGAACAGACUUAUAUUUAUUUAUUUAAAUAUGACCCAGGCUAAUUUCUCUGAAUUUGGACAGAGUAGAUUUCUAAGCUAAUGCUUGGCAUAUCUCUGGCGAUACUACAAAGUGCAUGUACAUUGACUCUUAAUAAAUAUAAACGAUUCUCUGAUAUGAUUCAAAACAUCACUACAUGCAUAAGUUAAUAAGAGACAAUAUUCUAAGAUUAUUUAUGCAUCACCAUUUAUAGUUGUACCCUCUCUAAUGAAAUUGAAGGUGCAGCCAGCAACUAAAAUGAAGCAGAAAUGUACACGCAUGAGGCAGUUUUUCUAGAAGAUUGAUAUUUCUUUAACUAGAAAACCAUACAAGUCCACAACUAGCCAAACUGUACCUGCAUGUGUCUAGGGCUUAAAUGGAGCACUUCUAAGCAUAAAACAGUAACUAAAACACAUACACAAACAUACAUACCAAAAAAUUCAGAAAAUAGAGAAAGGAAUACAACUAUUCUUGUUUGUAGACAAUAUUGCAACCAUGGCAUCAGUUAUAGCAAAUCCUUGAAAUCUACUAAACAAAAUAAUGUCCUGUCUCAUGAAUCAAUGUUGAAUUACAGCUGAAAUUGAAAGUCUGGCAUCAGUUAUAGGAAAUAUUGAAUUACAAUAUUUCCCUUGCCGAUUUUGUCUACACAAGUAAAAUGGAAAUAAGAAUCAUAGAUGAAAAUCAACUUUUACAGUUCUAAUUAUUAGAUAGAUACAGAAUGAUCUAUCUUUGUGAGUUUGUUUUUCUGCUGCAAUGUGCGAUCCCACUCUGUUUUGAUACUCAAAUUGAGUCUAUGUUGAGACAUAAUUUUGACAUUGCAAGCAAUCCCAAUUAGUUUGGCAUUUGUAUGACCCUUUGAAGGUUUUACAAUAGAUGCAAAUCUACUGAGAAAAUGGUAAAAAAGGUGCAUAUAAAAUGAGGCAAGUAACAGAAGUAUGAGUUAUCAGAUUAGAUUAAAAGUCACCCAAUUCAAUCUAUCAGAUUCCGUAAGGAUAUAACUGGAUGUCAUAUCGCCACUCCAUAUCCUCGAAAGUCCGUAGUCUUUGUCUCAACUCUGUCUGAGGCCAAUGUAAAUCCAAUUUGCACAAGCUCUUUAUGCACCAUAGCUCUUCUGGAAGCUUUCUCAAGUAAGCACAUGGGUUGACAAUUAAGCUUUCAAGUUUUGGCAUUGCUCUUGCCCCCAUCGUCCACUCGUCUAGCCAAUACAUCGACUUCAAGUGCAAAAUCUUAAGUUCCGGAAAGCCACCAGAGCCAACGCAGGCCAGCUUUCUUCCUAAAUAUGAGUUCUGCUUCAGUUUCAGCACUUGAAGGCGUGGAAGCUUUUCCAGCAUUGGCAUGGGAUCCUCCAUUAGCUCAGUAUUUGAUAAGCUCAGUUGGAUCAGGCUUGGAGGAAAUUGGUAUUCAGACAGGACCAUCCGUGAGAGCUUGCUCUCAUUCACCAACUUCAAGCAUUCAACUUUGUGGAGUUCGCAUACGCUUUUGGAAACCCCAGAGUGAUAGCAACUCAAAUCUCCAGACACUCUAAGAGUUUGAAGAUUAGGUAGUCUGCACAAUAUAUCUGGCGUGCAACUACUAGGGUGUAAGGCUGAUAUGAAAAUAAGAUUUUUCAGAGAGCUGGAAUAAUUUUUUGGAGGUGCAGGCAGAGUGAUGGAACCAAAGUUCAGAUGCAUGAGUUUUUGCAUCUUCCAAAUAUCCUCUGGUGUUUGAUCUACGUAGCUAGAUGGCAUGUCUAGUGUUUGAAGGUUUGAAAGGGUGCAUAGCAGUGAAGGAAGACAUUUGAGCGAAGGGAUAUUCAAUUUCAAAUACUUCAAAUGGAAUAAAUUUUCUAAUCCGGGUGGAUAUUGGUCCAGGACUGCAGAACCCAUGUUCAAUACCCGAAGGUGUUUGAACAUUUUACAAAAAUUCUCGCAAUCUAUCGGAUUAAGAUGAUCGCUUUCUGAACUGUGAUUCAGAAAAGAUUGGAGGUACAUGUCAGAAUGUUUCAAAGAAAAGAACUCAAUCAGAUCAUCGACAAUGAUGUACCGUUUGGCAUUUGCCAUUGAUUCCUCUUCCAAUCCAGGCGACCAAAAAAAUCCCGUCAAUGCUGCCGGCAAAAGUAACGCAACAUAUGCAAAAGUUGGAACAUAGCACGCCUUAAUUGUGCCUCCGGCUCUUCUCUUAUUCACUUGAAUGAAGCCACGAUCGAUUAGUUCAUUCAAGUAAUGCUCGGCAGUUUCCUCACUGUUGUGUGGUAUGAAACCUUCAGCUACCCACAACCAAUAUAAUUGCCUGGUAGAUAUCUCAAUGCCUGGAUGGAACAAACACAAAUAGAGGCAGCAGAUUUUCAAGUGAACAGGUAACUGCAACACAGAAUAAAUUGUACUCCAAGCUGUCAGAAACGCUUUUUCUCCCAUGUAAAUUCUUAAUGUCGUUUUUCCAUAGUGUAGGAUGAAAAAUUGCCAGGCUUCAUGCUUUAAUCUGAUCAAUGGUCCUCCAACGAGAACUGAAUCAGGAUGAAUCGUCUGUCCAUUUUCCAAUUCGAACGAGGAAAGGAAGUCUGGAUCAGUGACCGUCAUUAAUACUCUGCUUCCAUUCUGAUUCUCAGGAAGGACUUCUUCAAGAUCAUCCAAUACAUCGUCACUCUCUUCACAGUAAUCAUCAAGCACAAUAAAGUACUUCUUGUUUGUUAGGUAAUCUCGAAGAAUAGAUUUCUUCAAUUGAUAAUCUUCACCGAUAACUACACUAACCCGAGAUGGAGGCAUCACAGACUUGAUUAUGUCAUCCAAUAUCAUGCGAAAAUCGUAGGCUAUAGAAACCCUGACCCAAGCAUGACAGUCAAAAUAGAACUUGACAUGAUUAUUGUUGUAAGUAUCAGCAGCAAAAGCAGUCUUAUCAAAGCCACUGCUGUCGAGAAUUGCAACCACUGAAAGCUGAGGUUGUCCCUCGAUCAGUAAAUCAAACAACGCCUCUCUGCCGCUUUCAAAUUCACUCUUAUCAAGCUGAAAUUGUCCCUCAAUCAAUAAGUGAGUGAAUUCGUUCCUUCGCUCUUUGAAAUCAAAACCAUUGCCUCCAGGUGGAAGUUGUUGCAACCGAUUUCUAAUAUCAAUGAUUUUACUGUGGAUUCCGACAAGAAGAGCAAUGCAAGUAGUGCUCUCACUUUCACUGUUUUGCUGCUGCGUGAUGUUGAUGAAGAAUGUGUCAAUAGCUUUCUCAGAUUCACGGACAAAGUAAUUGAUGUCUUUCAGAAGUUCCCAAAUGUCUGUUCUUUUAACAUUUUCUAAGUGCAAGAGCUGCCGAUAACGCGAAGGCAUUUCGUCUUCAUCGAAUUGUUCUCUAAUGAGUUGAAUUAAAACUCGAGCCAUGUCAACUUCAUAUUUUCCCAGCAGAGUAGUAGCAAUAAUUUCGGACUCCGUAAGAAGGUUUUGAUAAAGUGGAGUUAAAUUUGUUGAAUCAGGCAACGUUAACGCGCCUUCUUCACCUGCUAACACCCUUUUCAACCUCUCACAAAAUAGUCGUAGGUGGACGUCCAGCAUAUCUCCUUCUGUCAGUAGCACCCAGAUGUAUUGUCAUUUGCUUCAAGAAAUGUUGAAAGGAUUGGUUCUAUCUCAAAGUGUUUAGUGGUGUAAAAUUAAUUAAUUAAACACCAUGGAAGAAUUUGCAAGGAAGAUGCCAAGAAACUGGCGAAGUGGCUAAAUUCCACAAUUAUGACAUUAUUGCUCAUUUUCAACUCAAAAAAAUGAUACGCGUUCAUUUAGAGAAAAGUCCAAGACGCGUUCCUUUCGGAAAGAACAAUUAUCCAAUAGAGAUCCAACCUUUAUCUUAUUCAAUUACUACCCUGACAUGAUUGAUGGUGCUUAAAUCAAUUGUUUCUUUUUUAAUUUAAAGAAUUUUUCAUUCAAAUUUUUUUUAAUAUUAAAUUGCCUUCAAUGGCAUUACUGCAGCAAGCCCAGUAACACGAUUAAUUAAAAAGUUUAGAAUUUUUGGGCCUGGAAAGAGUAGUAUUAAACAUCAGCAAGCUAAGGUUGAUAUGUUAAAGAGUUGAUAUUGACAUAAUUUUUAUUUUGGUUUUCGGGGAAAAAAAAUUGUUGACAAGCAAGAAAAUAUUUAUAUAUUUUACAAUUUAUUAUACAUAUUUUAUCAUAUUAAAAUAAUUUUAAUAAUUAAUGAAAAACAAAAUAUUGCAAUAAAUAAAUUAAUGUUUAAAUUAUUUUGAAUAUAAUAAAAAUAAUUUUAAUAUUAUUAAUAGGAAGACAUUUUGUUAAUUUUAAAAUCUUUUUAACCCAAAGGUUUAUUUAAAGUCUUUAUUAUAAAUUAAAUAUCAUAAUCUAAAAUUUUUAAUAUUAUUUUAAGUAUUAAAAAUAUUUUAAUGUUAUUAGUCUACUACAUAGAUCAUAUUACUUAUGUUAUAUUUGUAUUGAUUAAAAAUUUUUAAAAUCAAUUUUCUAGUUACUACAUUCACGAGGCAUUAUGGUUAAAGAAAAGAUCUUGAUGUUACUUUUAAAAAAUUUGAGGGCCUGCAUGAUAAUUUUUUCAAAAUUUAAGGAUGUAGGUGUCCUUCUCAAAUAAUUUAGGGUGAGGCUAUUUGAAUCCACCAAUCUACUCACUACACCCAUUUACUAAAUAAACCCGCACUUAAGUUUUGAAAUUUUAAAUUUUACUCAACAAACCGACCUAAAUGUCCAAUAUACCCUUAUUGAACCCAAUUAUUAUAAUAAUAUGUUUUUGCUAAUUAAACCCAUUUAAUUCAUUUAAAGUUAAUAAAUGAUUAUAUUUAUUAAAUUGAAAACUAAAAGAUUAUACAAAACAUAAACAAUACUCUCAAUUAUAUAUUUUGGAGCAAAAAUUCCAAAGUGUAGUAAGCAAAGCCAAUGCAAAAUGGCUGGAGCAGCUAAUAAUGGUAAAAGUCAGAGCCUAGUAAUGUGGUACCGCUACUUGACUUUGGGAAAGAAGUGAUAAUUAUAUCAAUUUCUUCAACUUGGAAGUUGGAAGUGCUGUUGAAAGCGGUUGAUGCCAGAAAAAUAAUUAGAUAUCUGUCAAAAAAAAACUUUGGUAUUUUUAGAAAUAAAAUCCUAUAUCCAGUAUUUCAAUAUGAAAAGUCUCUAGUAUUUCUUUCAAUUGAUUCUUCCUUUGUCUUCUUCGACUCCAUGAAGGUUUAAUUAUGAUGAGAAAGCCAAGGGGAAUCAAUAAAGAAUAUCAAUUUAGGGUUUAAGAAAAAUAUCAUAAAGUUGAAUGUAAAAUGGAUUCAAAGAGUAAAUUUUAUUUUUAAAACUAUAUUUUAAUGUCUAAAAUUGUAAUUUAAUUUAGGGAUAUUUUAAUAAUUACAAUUUAUUUUUAAAAGUGAGUUUAUUAAGUAGUUUGAUGGGUUCAAAUAGUCCCAUCCAAUAAUUUAUUUCACUGUUAAGGGAAUCCAAUGAGAAAAAUAAUAAGAUAUCGUCAAUGACUUGUCAUUUUCUAUUUUUUCUAUGAGCUAAUUAUUUUGAGCAUUAGUGAUCUUGUCAGGACUACUCCAAUUAUUGAUGCAACUCCAGCGGCUGCAUCCACAGUGGCUACUCCAAUUAUUCAUGCCUUUUAAAAAGAAUAUGUAUACAAUAGCAAUCCAUACUUUAUCUUACAUUGAUUUUUUUCAAUUAAUGGUGAUUGCAUUGAUUUUUUUCAAUUAAAGAAAAAUUGUUUAAAAUAGAUUUAAUGCACAAAUACGAUGACUUUUGGCAAAAAUUAGUUUCGGAAAUGUUGGGAUGAAAACCAUAUUAGUUGAGACUUAAAUUAAGAUUUAAAUGUUGAGAUAGUAUUGCUCAGUCAGAAUAAACAAUAACCAAUUCAAAUUAUGACUAUCACGUAAAAACAAAUGUUUAUGCUUGGGUUUUUUACUUCUUGAAUUUGAUUGGAAAAAUUUCUGAGACAGAGAAGUGUUUUGGAUAAUUGUUUUGGGGAUUGAAACCACAAAUUGGUCGAGGAAAUUAAUUUUGGACAAAUUUUUAUUAUAUUGUAGCACCUUUUUGGUUCCUUUUCGGCGGCCCCAUACUAUUCUCUUAACCCUGAGUUUUUUUUUUUUUUUUUUUUUGAAAAGUCUUAACCCUGAGUUUGAGAUAGAAAUUUCCCGAACUCCAACCUCACAUCCAGGGACAAGUUGAUUGAAACAAUUGCUCUUUCAAUUAAGAGGAUGAGUUAGGUUUCAGUUCUUAUCAUUGUCUGUUAUUUCUUUGAAUCAUUAAUUUUGAGCAUUACUGAUCUUAGUUAUCUGUAUUUCUCCAAUUAUUGAAGAAUUUCAUGUGGCCACUUUUUCUCCUUUUCAUAUAUGUUUCGUUUUUGGACUGAUCAAACGGUGCAAAACCAAGUAUUUGCUGGUCCUUAGUUUAGCCAAUGAUGGCUGAUCCACAGUUGAAUAUAUGAUACUAUUAGCUCUUAUUUGAGAAUGUAAAGGGAUCUUUCUUAUUUGAGAAUACAAGUUGCCCAAUAGAGUUGAACUAUGUUACCCAACUCCAUGCUCAUACAUUAAAUGUUUAGGUAGUUUUACAAAAUGAUAGCAGCAUGCCAAAACUUGUUGUUGUCAUUUUCGACAUUUCAAAUUGAAAAAUAUGCAAGCAAUCUUCAGUGAACAUUACGUUUUUAUUGAAUAAUUUAAAUGGCCAGCAAAUCAACAGUCCGUGAGUUUUAAAUCUAUUAUGACUUAAUGUAUCUUUCUGUAUUCGUACACAGGUUAUAUUAUCAUAGUUUAAAAUUUUAAUAUUAUUUUAAAUGUUAAAAAUACUUUAAUGCUAUUAGUCUACUACACAGGUUAUAUUAUUUAUAUUAUAUUUGUAUUAAUUAAAACUUUUAAUGUCAAUUUUCUAAUUACUAUAUUGAAAAGGUAUUAUGGUUAAGAAAAAGUUUUGGCAUUUCUUCUUGAAAAUUUGAGGGUCUGCAUGACAAUUUUUCCAAAUUCUAAGGGUAUAGGUUUGAAAAUUUAAUGUUCUUUAACUUAAUGAAACAAAAGGGGGAAACCAAGAACUAUUCAAUUUUGUAUUUUUUGUUUGUAAUUCAAAAAAUGCAUCCACCAAACAAGUUUUACGCAUUAAUGCUGUCAUAAAACAAAAAACAGUUUGCCAAAAAAUGGUACCAAACAUAUCCUUAAUGUCUCACAUGAUUUCUUAGUAAGCCCAUAUUAGAUAUAUUUAUACAUUUUAGGUAUUUUAAUUAUAAAAGAAGUUGGUCCUCCCUCUGUUUAUAAAAGAUAACGUUAUUUCGAGAUUACCACUAAACUCUUACAUAGAAUUAGUGUAAUGUUAAGAGAGAGUAACACAAUUUUCCGUUACCAUCUUUGAAAAUAGAAAGAUAUGGAUGCGUGCAUUUAAGGGUUAUCGUGAAAAUCAUACAAUUCAAUUUCCUGACAUAUAUAUUCGUGCACAUAUGCCAAAAGAAUAAAUAGACAGAAAGUAAAUUUACAGUCCUCACUUCCUCACAAUUGUUAACGUGGAGACAUUAAGGAUGAGCAUAAAAGUUAAAGAUGACUCAUUUCUCAUUUUCUUUUUAAAGUGCUCUGCUGAAAGCCAAACUUCCUUUGGCUAAUUAAUUUAGAAGUAAAGCAGAGAAUAAAGUCCUAGAUGCCUUCUGAAAUUAGAAAUACAUUUUAUAUGCUUUAAUUAUGAUUAUUUGGUAGACUAAAGACCUAAAAGAUAUGUCCAAAGUAUAAAACAGAACGAUUAAAGGAAAAAGAAAAAAAACAGAGUAUUUGUGACGUAGAAUAACAAUUGGUAACUAAAAUCCUAAAUAUUUGAGUUGUUAAAAGCAAAUAUAACAGAGAAGGUAAGAGAGAUGCAGAAACAGAAAACUAUUAGCUUAUCUUGAUUUCCCACUAUAUUCAUUUUCGAUGCUUUUCAAACGAGAUUCUUUUAAUCCUUCUGGCGUCCGCAGCCCUUGCUCUUCUUACAAAUCUCCAGUCCACAUCUGCACUACGAACAAGUUGAUUGAAAUUAAAUAAUGUUGGAGAUGAGGGGUGAGCCGUCAACUUGGUAAAAAAAUUCAUGUAUAAUAUUAUCAAUAAUAUAAAAUAUAUAAUAAUUAUUACAAAGAAUCAUAAAUUAAAAAAUUAAUUAUUUUACAAUCUAUUUCUUAAGUAAGAUAAAUCUCGUAAUAAGUUAAGUUAUAACGUAAAAAAUAUUUUCAAUUUAUAAUCAUUUAAGAAGUCAUUUAACAAUAUAUUUUUUUUAUCAGCAGGCCAUGCCACAAAGUAUCAUCUAUAUUCGUGGUGAUAUUAUUAUUACUCCGUAUUCUCAAAAAACAUGAUUUAACAUUUAGAGAAAAUUCCUGCCUUUUAAAAAGAACAUGUAUGCAACAACUACCAAUACUUUAUCUUACCACAACAAAACCAAUGGUGACUAAAUCAAUUUUCUUGAUUAAAGCUAAAUUUCUUAAAAUUGAUUUAAUGCACAAAUAUGAUGACUUUUUGCAAAAAUUAGUUUUGGAAAAUAUAGUGAGAGAAAAUAGUGACGAUUAUUGUUUAGAUGUGUAAAUAGUCUAAACAUAAUCGCUAAUACCAAUAUCCAAGUGCAUCUUAACACCUUUCGUGAUAUUCUUUCAUUCAUGGUCACUGGUUCAAUAUUUGAAUUUAAUCAGUAAAUCAUGUUCAAUAAUAUUAGAGAUCCCAACAAUUGAGUACCAAUUUAAAUCCUAAUGCUAUAUGUCAUUGACCAAUAUUGUGUCAUUUUUUGUUAACUGGGUGAUGAAUUUCUAGUUGAUAAAAUUACUUUAAAAUAUCUUAAAAAUUAGACAAUAGUUUGCUUAAUUUUUUUAAGCUAACCGCUCAAGAUGCUCUAUUAGAAAUGAUAACCUAAUUAUAUACAUAAAAAAUGAUGUAUUUUUUGCAAUGUUGAUAGUGAGAUUAUCAUUCAACAUGUUAAAAUAUGAAAACAUAUGGAAGAUGGUUGUAAAUUGAUUGAAUGAAAAUAUUUCAGUGAAGUCUCAAAAAUUUGGUACUUGUUAUCUUAUCGAAAGUUUUCUAAAUUAUAUUCGUGGCACUGCCACUGCUUCUAUGUGAAGGUCAUUAAAAUUUGUGUUAGUUACCUAUAGGUUGAAUAACAAUUUUAUUCAUCAAUUGUUGCUCAAUAUAGCAAUUUGAUUGAAAGUGCCGCUGCACUAAUUUUCUAGAUGAACUUUCCUAAAUGUUUGUCCUCAUAUGACCUAGAAUGCUGCGAUAUCAAUUGUAUUGGAAAUUAUUCAAGUGGGUUAGUGCUCUACAUCCCCACCAAAAUUUAAGCAAUCAACAAAACAUUCCUUGUGGAAAUAAACUUAUUUCGCUACUAGACUUCUAAUGAGGCCCAUUUUCCAGAAUCUGGAUACGAGUUAGAUGUCUCCCAAAAUAUUGGUGGGAGUAGACUAUACUAGCACUCGACAACAUACUAACGACGCUAUGGUCCACCAGAAAGACCGGUCUCCGGUCAGCCGAAAAAUCUCACGUUCAGUCUCUUCUCAAUCUCCCUUCUCCCAGCCAAGUCGAUCCCGUAACAUGAUACUAAUCCACAGUUGAAUACAUGAUACUAUUAGCUCUUAUUUGAGAAUAUAAAGGGAUCUUUCUUAUUUGAGAACAUAAAUUGCCCAAUAAAGUUGAACUACGUUACCCCGCUCCAUGCACAUACAUUAAAUGUUAACAGCAUGCCAAAACUUGAUGUUGUCAUAUUCGACAUUUCAAAUUAAUAUGCAAGCAAUCUUCGGUGAACAUUACGUUUUUAUUGAAUAAUUUAAAUGGCUAGUAAAUCUAGAGUUCUUGAGCUUUAAUCUAAAUCAAAUCUAUUAUGACUCAAUGUAUUUUUUUGUGUUCGUACCAGUAAUGCAGGGGAUUAUUUACGCAACUCUUAUUAUUGACUGAGAUGUUCACCUUCAUCCAAUUAGAGAAAGAGUGACUGUAGAGGUGGCAAAAAUACCCGCCCGGUCCGGACCCGGACCGUACCCAUUACCUGGUCCGGGUAUGAAGCCGGGUCGGUCUUGGGCAUCACUUGAUAAACCUGGAACCCGGAUUUUAUUAAAAAAAUUAUAAAAUAUAUAUUAUUUUAAAUAUUUUAUAUUUAUUUGACUCAUUUAUUAUACAUAUAUAAAGUUUUAAACACUUAAAGUUUAUAUUUUCAUGUCAAAUUUUAUUGAAAUAAAUUUAAAACUUAUAAAAUUACUAAAAAAUAAAAAAUAUAUACACAUAAAAUAUUAAAAAAUAUAAAAUUCGGAUACCCGGAUUAAAACCCGGCCCGAACCCGGACCCAGACCGGUUGCAUCCGGGUAGGGUCCAGUCAUGGCAAUACUCGGACCUGGUCCGGGGUUUUGCCAUCUCUAAGUGACUGGGUUCCUAUAAAGGGACUCUUAACCAUUACGAGAGUAUUCAGACUACAAAUCUUUGUAAUUAAAUUCAAAGGUGAAGAUCUAUGCCUAUUAUCUAUUUAACAACUAAUAUAUAGUUAUCUAUUCAUUUAAAUAUCAAGGGCUAUGCUAAUAAUUAAGUUGAAAUGUUGAUGAAAGUAGCCUUACAUCUGUGUAUUACUCAUCUACUCUAAUCUUUUUUUUUUUUAACUUAAUGUACUUUUUCUAAUGUUGUUUACUCUUCCCCCCCCCCCCCCCCCCCCCCCCCCCCCCCCCCCCCCCCCCCCCCCACCUCUCUGACAAAAUAAUAAGAGUUUAGACUUGAAAAUAUCUUAAAGAUCAAACAGUAAUUUACCUAAUUUUUUGAAGCUAACUGCCAAAGAUAUUCUAUUAGACAUUGAUAACGUAGUUAUAUACAUUUAAAAUGAUAUUUUUUUGUGGAAAGGGAUUAUCAUUCAACAUCUUAAAAUAUGAAAACAUAUGGAAGAUGAUUGUAAAUUGAUUGAAUGAAAAUAUUUCAAUGAAGAUGGUUGUAAAUUGUUAUCUUAUUGAAAGUUUUCUAAAUUUACUACUAUUUGAACUUAGCCCUCCUGGUACCGCCACCAUUUCUGCUUGAAAGUCAUUUAAGUUUGUGUUAGCUGCCUAAAGCUUUUUUUUUUUUUUUUUUCUUUUUCUUUUUGAAAAGAGCUGCCUAUAGCUUGAAUAACUAUUUUGCUCACGAAUUGUUGUCCAUUAUAGCAAUUUAUUUAAUUGAAAGUGCGGCUGCAAUAAUUUUCUUGAUGAACUAUUCCACAUGUUUGUUCUCAUGUGAGGCAGUUUUUCUAGAAGAUUGAUAUUUCUUUAAGUCUUUAACUAGCAAAGCAUACCAGUCCAAAGCUAGCCAAACCAUACCUGCUGGUCCAGGGCUUAAAUGGAGUACUUCUAAGCAUAAAACAGUAACAAAAACACAAUAUAUGCAUACAUACAUACACACAUACAUACAUACCAGCAAAUUCAAAAUAGAAAAAAGAGUGCAACUAUUCAAGAAAUUGGUUAUUGUAGACAAACACACAUACAAACACAUACCAGAAAAUUCAAAAAAUAGAGAAAGGAGGCCAACUAUUCAAGUUUGUAGACAAUAUUGCAAUCAUGGCAUUACUUAUAGCAAGUCCUUGAAAUCUACUAAACAAAACAAUGCUCUGUCUCAUGAAUCAAUGUUGAAUUACAGACGAAAAUGAAAGUCUAGCAGGUGUUGUUUCCCUCUUCGAUUUUGCCUACACAAGUAAAGGGAAAUAAGAAUCAUAAAUGAAAAUCAGCUUUUACAGUUGUAAUUAUUAGAUAGAUCUAGAACGAUCUUUCUUUGUUUCUCUGCUGCAAUGUGCUAUCCCACUCUGUUUUGCUACUAAAAUUGAGUCUAUGUUGAGACAUAAUUUCGACACUAGGAGCAACCGCAAUUAGUUUGGCAUUGCAUUACCCCUUGAAGGUUUUACAAUAGUUGUAAACUUACCGAGAAAGUGGAAAAAAAAGGGCAUAGGGAAUUAGGCAAGUAACUAAAGUAUGAGUCAUCAGAUAUGAUUAAAACUCACCCAAUUCAAUCCAUCAGAUUCCGUAAGGAUAUAACUGGAUGUCAUAACGCCACUCCAUAUCCUCGAAAGUCCGUAGCCUUUGCCUCAACUCUGUCUGGGGCCAGUGUAAGUCCAAUUUGCGCAAGCUCUUUAUGCACCAUAGCUCUUCUGGAAGCUUCCUCAAGUAAGCACAUGGGUUGACAAUUAAGCUUUCAAGUUUUGGCAUUGCUCCUGCCCCCAUCGUCCACUCAUCUAGCCAAUACAUUGACUUCAGGUGCAAAAUCUUAAGUUCCGGAAAGCCACCAGAGUCAUCACAGGCCAACUUUCUUCCUAAAUACGAGUUCUUCUUCAGUUUCAGCACUUGAAGGCGUGGAAGCUUUUCCAGCAUUGGCAUGGGAUCCUCCAUUAGCUCAGUAUUUGAUAAGCUCAGAUGGCUCAGACUUAAAGGAAAUUCGUAUUCAGACAGGGCAAUCCGUGAGAGCUUGCUCUCAUUCACUAGUUCCAAGCAUUCAAUUUUGUGGAGUUCGCAUACGCUUUUGGAAACCCCAGAGUGAUAGCAACUCAAAUCUCCAGAUAUCUGAAGAGUUUGAACAUUAGGUAGUCUGCACAAUAUAUCUGGCGUGCAACUACUAGGGUGUAAGGAUGAUAUGAAAAUAAGAUUUUUCAGAGAGCUGGAAUAAUUUUUUGGAGGUGCAGGCAGAGUGAUGGAACCAAAGUUCAGAUGCAUGAGUUUUUGCAUCUUCCAAAUAUCCUCUGGUGUUUGAUCUACGUAGCUAGAUGGCAUGUCUAGUGUUUGAAGGUUUGAAAGGGUGCAUAGCUGUGAAGGAAGACAUUUGAGCGAAGGGAUAUUCAAUUUCAAAUACUUCAAAUGGAAUAAAUUAUCUAAUCCGGGUGGAUAUUGGUCCAGGACUGCAGAACCCAUGUUCAAUACCCGAAGGUGUUUGAACAUUUUACAAAAAUUCUCGCAAUCUAUCGGAUUAAGAUGAUCGCUUUCUGAACUGUAAUUCAGAAAAGAUUGAUUAGUUCUUUCAAGUAAUGUUCGGCCGUCCCCUCACUGUUGUAUGGUAUGAAACCUUCAGCUACCCACAACUGAUAUAAUUGCCUCGUGGAUAUCUCAAUACUUGGAGGGAAGACAAACAAAUAGAUGCAGCAGACUUUCAAGUGAAAAGGUAACUCCAUCACAGAAUAAAUUUGUCUCCAAGCUGUCGGAAUCGCUUCGCCUUGAAAAUAAUUUUCUAAUGGCAUACGUCCGUAGUGUAGGACGAAAAAUUGCAAGCCUUCAUACUUUAUUCUAAUCAGUGGUCCUCCAACGAGCACUGAAUCAAGCCGAAUCUCCUCUGCGUUUUCCAUUUCCAACGAUGUAAGGAGUCUUGGAUCAGCGACCAAUAUCAAUACUCUGCUUCCAUUCUGAUUAUCAGGAAGAACUUCUUCAAGAUCAUCCCAUAUCUCACUCUCAUCGAAGAAGCACAAUAAAGUACUUAUUGUUUGUUAGGUAAUCUCGAAGACUAGAUUUCUUCAAUUGAUAACUUCACCGAGGCAUCACAGACUUGAUUAUGUCAUCCAAUAUCUUGCCAAAAUCGUAGGCUAUAGAAACCCUGACCCAAGCAAGACAGUCAAAAUAGAACUUGACAUGAUUAUUGUUAAAAGUAUCUGCAGCAAAAGCAGUCUUAUCGAAGCCACUGCUGUCGAAAAUUGCAACCACUGAUAUCGAUAGAUCAAACAACUUCUCUCUGCCCUUUUCAAAUUCACUGAUAUCGAGCCGAGGUUGUCCCUCAUUCAAUAGGCGAAUGAUUUUGUUACUUUGUUCACUGAUAUCAAAACCAUUGUCGCCGGGUGGAAGUUGUUGCAUCUGAUUUCUAAUAUCAAAGUGAAAAAUUGCUGCUUUCACUUUCGUUUUCACUGUUUUGCUGCUGCAUGAUGUUGAUAUUGACAUAAUUUUAUUUUAGUUUUUGGGGAUAAAAAUAUUUGUUGACAAAUAUUUUUAUAUUUUACAAUUUAUUAUACAUAUUUUAUCAUUUUAAAGUAAUUUUAAUAAUAAAUAGAAACAUAAUAUUACGAUAAAUAAAUUAAAGUUUAAAUUAUUUUAAAUAUUAUAAAAAUAAUUCUAAUAUUAUUAAUAGGAAGACAUUUUGUUAAUUUUAAAAUUUUUUAACCCAAAGGUUUAUUUAAAAUUUUUAUUAUAAAUAAAAAUAUAAAAUUAAAUAUCAUAAAGUGUAUGCACGUUGACUCUCAAUAUAUACAAACGACUCUCUGGUAUGAUUCAAAGCACCAGUAUAUGCAUCAUUUUAAUGAGAAAGGAUAUUCUAAGAUUAUUUAUGCAUCACCAUUUUUAGUUGUACCGGCUCUAAUGAAAUUGAAGGUGCAAUCAGCAGCUAAAAUGAAGCCAGAAAUUGAAGGUGCAUGAGGAAAUUUUCCUAGAAGAUUGAUAUUUCUUCGACUAGCAAACCAUACAAGUCAAAGCUAGCCAAACCAUAUCUGCAAGUCCGGGGCUUAAAUGGAGUACUUCUACGCAAAAAACAUUAAUCAAAACACAAUAUGAGCACACCCCCGUCAACCCACCCCCCCCCAACACACAUACCGGCAAAUUCAAAAUAGAAAAAGGAGUGCAACUAUUCAAGUUUGUAGACAAUAUUGCAACCAUGGGAUAUUAAAGAAUAUCUUUGAAAUCCGCUAAACAAAACAAUGCCCUGUCUCAUGAUUCGAUGCUCAAUUAGAAUUGAAAUUGAAAGUCCGGCUGUUGCUGUUUCUCUCUCCAGUUUUGCCUACAUAAGUAAAGGGAAAUAAGAAUCAUAAAUUAAAAUCUGCUUUUACAAUUCUUAUUAGAUAGAUAUAAAGGGAUCUUUCGUUGUUUCUCUGCUGCAAUGUGUUGCUAUCCCACUCUGAGAAAGAUCUUUCGUUGUUUCUCUAUGUUGAGACAUAAUUUUGACAUCAGAAGGUUUUAUGACCUCCUUGAAGGUUUUACGAUAAACAUAAAUCUACUGAGAAAGUGGGAAAAAACGAAAAUGCAUAUAAAAGUAUGAGUUAUCAGAUAUGAUUAAAACUCACCUAACAUCAGAUUCCAUAAGGAUAUAACUGGAUGUCAUACCGCCACUCCAUAUCCUUGAAAGUCCGUAGUCUUUGUCUCAACUCUGUCUGAGGCCAAUGUAAAUCUAAUUUGCGCAAGCUCUUUAUGCACCAUAGCUCUUCUGGAAGCUUUCUCAAGUAAGCACAUGGAUUGACAAUUAAGCUUUCAAGUUUGGGCAUUGCUCCAGCCCCCAUCGUCCACUCAUCUAGCCAAUACAUUGACUUCAGGUGCAAAACCUUAAGUUCCGGAAAGCCACCAGAGCCAACACAGGCCAUCUUUCUUCCUAAAUUCGAGUUCUGCUUCAGUUUCAGCACUUGAAGGUGUGGAAGCUUUUCCAGCGUUGGCAUGGGAUCCUCCAUUAGCUCAGUAUUCGAUAAGCUCAGAUGGGUCAGACUUGGGGGAAAUUGGUAUUCAGACAGGAACAUCCGUGAGCGCUUGCUUUCAUUCACCAGCUUCAAGCAUUCAAGUUUGUGCAGUUCGCAUAGGCUUUUGGAAAUCCCAGAUUGAUAAUAACUCAAAUCUCCGGAUAUUCUAAGAGUUUGAAUAUUUGGUAGUCUGCCCAAUAUAGCUGGAGUGCAACUACUAGGGUGUAAGGCUGAUAUGAAAAUGAGAUUCUUCAAAGAGCUGGAAUAAUUUUUUGGAGGUGCAGGGAGAGUGAUGCAACUGAAGUUUAGAUGCAUGAGUUUUUGCAUCAUCCAAAUAUUCUCUGGUGAAUGAUCUAUGUAGCUAGAUGGCAUUUCUAGUGUUUGAAGGUUUAAAAGGGUGUAUAGCAGCGAAGGAAGGCAUUUGAGCAAGGGGAUAUUCAAUUUCAAAUACUUCAAAAGGAAUAAAUUUUCUAAUCCGGGUGGAAAUUGGUCGAGAACUGCAGAACCCAAAUUCAAUACCCGAAGGUGUUUGAAAUUUUUACAAAAAUUCUCACAAUCUAUCAGAGCGAGACGAUCGCUUUCUGAACUGUGAUUCAGAAAAGAUUGGAGAUACAUGUCAGAAUAUUCUAAAGGAAAGAAGUGAAUCAGACCUUUCAAAAUGAAGCACCGUUUAACAUUUGCCAGUGAUUCCUCUUCCAUUUCAGGCAUCCAGACAAAUCCCGUCUUCUCUGCCACCAAACCCAAUGAAGUACAUACAAAACUUGGAACAUAACGCGCUUUAAUUGUGCCUCCGGCUCUUCUCUUACUCACUUGAAUGAAGCCGCGAUGGAUUAGUUCUUUCAAGUAGUGUUCGGCAGUUUCUUCACCGUUGUAUGGUAUGAAACCUUCAGCUACCCACAACUGAUAUAAUUGCAUCGUGGAUAUCUCAAUGCCUGGAGGGAAGACCAACAAAUAGAUGCAGCAGACUUUCAAGUGAAAAGGUAACUCCAUCACAGAAAAAAAUUGUCUCCAAACUGUCGGAAUCGCUUCGCCUUGAAGAUAAUUUUCUAAUGGCAUACUUCCGUAGUGUAGGAUGAAAAAUUGCCAGGCUUCAUGCUUUAAUCUGAUCAAUGGUCCUCCAAAGAGCACUGAAUCACGCCGAAUCUUCUCUCCAUUUUCCAUUUCCAACGACGCAAGGAGGUCUGGAUCAGUGACUGUUAUCAAUACUCUGCUUCCAUUCUCAUCAUCAGGAAGAAGUUCUUCGAGAUCACUCCAUAUCUCACUGUUAUCGAAGACAUCAUCAAGCACAAUAAAGUACUUCUUGUUUGUUAGGUAAUCUCGAAGAAUAGAUUUCUUCAAUUGAUAAUCUUCACCGAUAAUUACACUAACCCGAGAUUGAUGUCCUCCAGAAUUCCAAAAAUAUCUGCUGUUUCAACGUCUUCUUCAUCGCUUUCUUCUAAGUCCAACAGUUCCAAAAAAGGCAAAGAUAUUUUGGAGUCAUCGAAUUCUUCUCUAAUGAGUUGAAACAAAUGCCGAGCCAUGUCAGCUUCAUAGUUUCCCAGAAGAGUAGUAGCAAUAAUUUCGGACUCCGUAAGAAGGUUUUGAAAAAGUGGGGUUAAAUUUGUUGAAUCUGGCAGUGGCAACGUGCCUUCUACACCUGCUAACACCCUUUUCAACCUCUCACAAAACAGUCGGAGGUGGAAUUCCAGCAUAUCUCCUUCUCUCCGUAGCACUCAGAGGUAUAGUUGAAAGAUUAAACACCAUGGAAUAAUUUGAAAGGAAAAUGCCAAGAAACUGUGUAAGUGGCUAAAUUCCACAAAUAUUACAUUAUUGCUCAUUUUUUAACUCAAAAAAAUGGUACGCGUUCAUUUAGAGAAGAGUCCAAGCCCAGUAACAGGAAUAUUUUAUUUACUGGUGCUUAAAUCAAUUGUUUCUUUUUUAAUUUAAAGAUUUUUUCAUUAAAAAAUAUUUUAAUAUCAAAAUGCCUUCAAUGGCAUUACUGCCGCAAGCCCAGUAACAGGAUUAAUUAAAAAGUUCAGAAUUUUUGGGCAUGGAAACUGGAAAGAGUAUUAAACAUCAGAAAGCUAAGGUUUGUUCUGUUAAAGAAUUGAUAUUGACAUAAUAUUUUUUUUUUUGAGGAAAAAAAACAUAUUGGUUGACAAGCAAGGAAAUGUUUUUGUAUUUUACAAUCUGUUAUUAAAUAUUUUAUCAUAUUAAAGUAAUUUUAAUAACAAAUAGAAACAUAAUAUUACAAUAAAUAAAUUAAAGUUUAAAUUAUUUUGAAUAUUAUAAAAAAUAAUGUUAAUAUUAUUAAUAGGAAGACAUUUUGUUAAUUUUAAAAUCUUUUUAAUCCUAAGGUUUAUUUAAAAUCUCUAUAAUAAAUCCAAAUAUAAGAUUAAAAUAAAAAUCAUAAUUUGAAAAUUUUAAUAUUAUUUUAAAUGUUAAAUAUACUUUAAUGUUAUUAGCCUACUACGUAGAUUUUAUUAUUUAUAUUAUAUUCGUAUUGAUUAAAAUUUUUUAAAGUCAAUUUUUUAGUUAGUACAUUCAAGAGGUAUCAUAGUUAAAGAAAAGAUUUUGGUGCAACUGUUUUAAAAUUUCAGAGUGUAAAUGAUAAUUUUUUUUAAGUUUUAAGGAAGUAGGUAUUAUUUUUCCGACAAUUUAUUUUAUUUUGAGGGAAAUCCGAUGAGAAAUAUCAUCAGAGAACAUUAAUUUAACAUUCUUUAUCUUUGUGAAAAAAGUGGAAACCAAGAACUAUUCAAAAUUUUUUUUUUUUUGUAAUUCAAAAAAUGCAUUCACCAAACAAGCUUAUCUUAAUUUUCCCACUUUAUUCAUUUUCGAUGCUUUUCAAAAGAGGUUCCUUUAAUCCAUCUCCAUCCCACAUCUACACUAUCAAACAAGUUGAUGGAAAUUGGAACACAUUAAGUUAUGUUCAUUACUGGUCUUUGUCUUUCUAUGAGCCACUUAUUUUGAGCAUUAGCGAUCUUAUAAGGAAUCAUGCCUUUUCAGGAUCGUUUUCUUUCAUUUCCUUAUUGUAGUAGUUAAUUAAAUAAAGAACGAACAGCUGAACUUGGUCUUUUUGGAGGAAGAACAAGGUUUCCAAUACUAGAGGAACUUUGAAGAAAAUUAAUUGGAAGCCUUUAUUCAUCUUUGAAGAAAAUUACCACACUUUAAAUCCUGGAUAAAAAAAAUUUUAUUCAUCUUCGGACUAUGAAUUUAUAAAAUAAUAUUGUUAGGACUAAGAAAAAAUAUUAUUUUAGAUAAGUUAUUUAUUUAUUAUUGAAUGAAAAAUUUAUCAUGAUAAAUAAAUAUUUAUUAAUUUAAAGAGAGAUUUUUUUUUGGUUUUAAGAAGAGUUUUUUUGGUACAUGCACACAUUAAUAAAGAAACACAAAAAGUGCUUCCUCAAGUCAAUAGUAUUUGCUUUAAUCGCUAAGGUGCAUAAUAAUGUAGCUUAGUUAGGAAAUUUGUAAUUAUAUUAUGGCUCUAUUUGGUAUAACUUUUUAAUUAGAACUUAUUUAAGGAGAAUUUUUAUUAGUAGAGUUUUUAUAAAUAGAGAUUUUACUAAAAAAAAAUUAUAGUUAUUUAGUUGUCAAUGACCAAAUUGAUUAACUAUUGUUCUUUUUGUUAACAUGUGUUUGUUUUACUUAAUAAUAAAAGUUUAUUUUACAAUUACACCGGUGUCAAAUCAGCAGAGCACCGGCAAGAGUUUUCGAUUGUUGCAAUUUGCAAUGCACACGGUGAGGGAAAAUGAGAAUCUUGUUUAAUUGUGAAUAAUGACAAACCUAAUCCUUUCAUUAGGAGUAAAUUAAUAAUCGUUUGUUAUAAUUGAAUAUGUAUAAAGAAAGGAAAAUUAUAUUCAUAGAUUUGACUUAUUUUUUGUUUAACGUAACUAAUCAUUCAACCAUCUUCAUUUGCCUCUGGCCAAUGCCCUUGUAGAUUAGUUGAAGCGUUAAUUACAUAAUUCAGAUAAUUACAACGUCCUUUUCGCUAAUUAAUUAUGAUUAUGUACAUUUUCAUAUAGCAAGUGGCAUUGUAGAUCUAAACUACGUUGCUAUUUCAAUACGUUAAUUAAGUGAUUCUCCUCAUUGUCAUCAGCGUUAUAAACAGGAAUUGUGCAAACAGUACACAAUGCUGCGGCAAGGCGUGGGUGGCUAGAGUUUUGCAACCACCCUCGAGAUCCUGUGCUGCCAGUAGUAAAAGAAUUUUACACCAAUUUGGUAAGCCUUGGUCAGCACAACAUUUGGAUAAGAAACUCACUUGUUCCAUUAGACUCUCGAGUUAUAAAUUUUUUUUAUAAUUUACCUGCCGAAAUUAAUUGUGAGUAUGCCAAGUUGCUUGACAAAUUGACCUCGCAACAAUGGAACAUAAUUUUCACGACACUUACAGUAGAGGGUGCAUCGUGGGCUAAUGAGGAGGAGCGUGUAAUUAACAGGAUAGAUUUAAAACUCAUUGCUAAGGUGUGGGUGAAAUUUCUGAAAUCUAGGCUUAUGCCAACCACCCACACCACUACUGUUUCACAGGAAAGGUUGGUGUUGUUAUAUGCUAUUGUUAGAGGGCUUCCCAUAGAUGUGGGAAGUAUUAUCGAAAAAGAAAUUCGAGAUUGUGCCAUGAAAAACCACAAGGCUGCUGCCUUGUUAUUUCCUUCACUCAUAACCAGCAUAUGUGUAGUAUCAGGUGUUCAUCUUGAUGCAAAGGAUGAAAUUUGUAAUUAUAUUAUGGCUCCAUUUCGUAUAACUUUUUAAUUCGAACUUAUUUAAGGAGAAUUUUUAUUAGUAGAGUUUUUUAUAAAUAGAGAUUUUACUAAAAAAAAAUUAUAAUUAUUUAGUUGUCAAUGUCGAAAUUGAUGAACUAUUGUUCUUUUUGUUAACAUGUGUUUGUUUUACUUAAUAAUAAAAGUUAAGUUCACAAUUACACCGGUGUCAAAUCAGCAGAGCAUUUUUCCAGCCAGUCACAUUAUACAUUUUUGCAACUUGCAAUGCAAGCGAUGAGAGAAAAUGAGAAUCUUGUUUAAUUGUCAAUAAUGACAAACCUAAUCGUUUCAUUAGGUGUAAUUGCAUAAUCGUUUGUUAUAAUUGACUCUGUAUAAAGAAAGGAAAAUUAUAUUCGUAGAUUCGACUUUUUUUUUUUUAAGGUAAUUAAUCAUUCAACCAUCUUCAUUUGCCCCUGGCCACUGCCCUUGUAGAUUAGUUGAAGCGUUAAUUACUUAAUUCAGAUAAUUACAACGUCCUUUUCGCUAAUUAAUUAUGAUUAUAUACGUUUUCAUAUAGCAAGUGGCAUUGUAGAUCUAAAUUAUGUUGCUAUUUCAAUACGUUAAUUAAGUGAUUCUCCUCAUUGUCAUUAAGUGGAAAAUAGCUCAAUUGUUUCCCUGCAUCGAUUUUCAUUGGUAAGUGAUUUCUUAUGAUAUUCGUUUGAGCUUUCCUUAUUAAAAAAGCUUGAGCCUUGAUCACCUAAUACUGAUAUCAAUUUACUUGUGAACGAUUUUGUAAUGAAAUUAGGAGUUAAAUAUACAAGAUUUUUACCUGAUGAAUUUUGAUUUUUUUAAUUUUUUGAUGUAGUCAAUUUGCGAAUUUUAUAUAUUUCAUAUUCAACGGAAUUUGGGCACGGAAAGUUUGGAUUCUAAUAUUUAUAGAGUAAUGAUACAGCCACAAACUCUUGUACAAAAUUGAUGUGGCGUUAAUUCAUUAGUUGAAUUAAAUAUCUUUUUGCCCACAUGAUUUUUUUUUUUAUUUUUUUUUUUCAUUCAAUCAAUGAAUUAAUGCCACAUCAGUUUGUACAAAAUAAGUUUGUACAAGAGUUUGUGGUUAUAUCAUUAUAUUUAUAUAUUUAGCUUUAAUCAGUUUGACUUUAGCAAUCUUUUUCCCUCAUCAUUAAGGGAUUCAGAAUUAGAGAAACGCUAGGAAGAGGAAGAAAAUAACUUUGGAAAUAAGUAAGAGGGAAAAAAUUAUGAAAUUUUGAAUUAUUUUUUGUAAAGUAUGUUGCGUUUACUAAACUUGAAUUAGAAUGAGCUGAAAUCAGAAUGAAUAGGAAUGCGAAUGUGCUGAAAUCGGAAUAGGUAAUGAGAAUAAGAAUAAGUUGUUUACUUGAACUGUAAAAAUCAAAAUCGAAAUGAGCUGAAUUGCAAUUACUUUGUCUUGGAAGCGGAAUUAGAAUCGGAAUGAGUUAGAUUGUAACAAAUUACUAAAAAGUACUUAAUGAAUUAUUGUCAUAAUUAUUAUUUUAUAUUUUAAUUAUAGUGAUUAUUUAUUCAAAAAUUAUUAUUAUUAAUUAUUUUCAAUAAUAUAUUAAUAUGUUAAUUAAUUUUAAAAAUUAUUAAUUAAUUAAUUAUAAUAAUAUACUAAUUAAUUAUAAUAAUUAUAAAAAUAUAUUAAUAAUAAAAUUACUAAUUUAAUUAUAAUAAUAUAUGAAUUAAUUAUAAUAAUUAUAUUAGUAAUUAUUAUAAUAGUAUAUUAAUUAAUUAUAAUAAUAAAAAUAUAUUAAUUAUGUGAUUAUUUAUUCAAAAAUUAUAAUUAUUAAUAAUUAUUGUUAAUAAUGUAUCAAUAUAUUACUUAAUUAUAAUAAUAUAUUAAUUAAGUAUAAAUGAGGACAAAGGGGGUAUUUUUAAUUUCACGUAGGGGCAAAAUGGUCAAUUCUAGUAAUGGGAGACUCACUCCGACCCUCUCCCUUGGGAAUGAGUCUCCCAUUCCUCAUUCCCAAAUUGUGGUGGGCCCCAUAAUUUUGACUCUGAUUUUUGACUCAAUUUUGCGAAGUAAACGCUACCAAUGAUUCUGAUUUCGGAUUCUGAUUCACUUAUCCGAGAAGUAAAAGCAACAUAAAUGUGUAUGAAUAAUUGAUACCUAUGAAUAGUUUUGGGAGUUUUAGUUAGGAGUCGUUUAUUGAAGAUGUUUAGCAAUUAAAGAUCUCUGUCUCAGCAGUUUUCCCAAUCAAAAUCAAGAAGCAAAACAACUUGCCAUUUUUCUACUUGAUAAUUAAUUGAAAUUUAAGAAAAUACAAUGGCAUUUCAAUUAGAAAUGGUAAUUGUUUAUCUUUUUUCAUUGAUCAAAUUCUAAUCGUGAUCCAAUAGUUAUGGAUGAAGGAAAUAUUAUGAGAGGCGAUAGGCCAAGUGAAGACGUACCAGCAAAUUCAAAAUAGUCGGGAGGUGGACGUCCAGCAUAUCUCCUCUCUGUAGCACCCAGAUGUAUUGUUAUUUGCUCCAAGAAAUGUUAAAAGGAUUGGCCCUAUCUCAAUGUGGUUAGUGGUGAAAAAUUAAACACCAUGGAAGGAUUUGCAAGGAAUAUGCCAAGAAACUGGCUAAGUUCCACAAAUAUGGCAUUAUUGCUCUUUUUUUUUAAAGAAAAAUUAUACACGUUAAUUUAGCAAAAAGUCUAAGACACAUGCCUUUUGAAAAGAACAGCUAUUACCAUGACACAAUCGAUGCGGCUGAAACCAAAAUUUUCUUUUCUUAAUGUAAAGAUUUUUUUUAAAUAGAUUUUAAUAUCAAAAUGCCCUUCGAUGUUAUUACUGUCACAAGCCCUGUAACAGGAGUAAUAAAAAAUUUUAGAAUUUUUGGGCAUGAAAAAAGUAGUAUUAAGCAUCAGCAAGCAAAGGUUGUUCUGUUAAAGAAUUGAUAUUUUCGUGAUUUUAUUUUGGUUAUCGAGAAAAAAAAAUAUAUAUUUGUUGACAAGUAAGAAAAUAUUAUUAUAUUUUACAAUCUAUUAUACAUAUUUUAUUAUAUUAAAUAAUACUAAAUAGAAACAUAAAAUUAGAAUAAAAUAAAUUAAAAUUAAAAUUAUUUUGAAUAUUAUGUAAAAAAUAAUGUUAAUAUCAUUGUUACUUCUAAAAUAUAUUUAGCCCAAAGAUUUAUUUAAAAUUUUAUAAUAAAUAAAAAUAUAAAAAUAAAUUAAAUAUCAUAGUUUAAAAUCUUAAUAUUAUUUUAAAUAUUAAAAAUACUUUAAUGUUAUUAUUCUACUACACAUGUUAUAUUAUUUAUAUUAUAUUUGUAUUAAUUAAAAAUUUUAAAGUCAACUUUCUAGUAACUAUAUUCAAAGGUAUUAUGGUUAAAUAAAGGUCUUAGUGUUUCUUUUUCAAAAUUUGAGGGUCUACAUGAUAAUUUUUCCAAAUCCUAAGGUAUAGGUGUCCUUUUUGUCAAUAAUUUGAGAGAAUACGAUGAGAAAUAAGAUCAGAGAAAUGUCAAUUUAAUGUUCUCUAGCUUAAUGAAAAAAAAAAUGGAAACCAAGAACUAUUCAAUUUUGUAUUUUUUGUUUGUAAUUCAAAAAAUCCAUCCACCAAACAAGUUUCACGCAUUUAUGUUGUCAUAAAACAAAAAAACAGUUUGUGAAAAAAUGGCACCAAACAUACCCUUAAUGUCCCACAUGAUUUCUUAUGAAGCCCAUAUUAGAUAUAUUUAUACAUUUUACUGCAUUUAGGACAUAUUUGAUAGCCUGCAUUAUAUAGGAUAAAAACACAAUUUUGUAUUAAAUUAAUGCACACUCACGUUUGGCGCUAAAAGUAACUCCAGCCGCAUUGCAUUAAUGGGCUGCUAAUGCGGCAAUUGCCGCACUAGCUUGCCUCUUUUUCUUUUUAAUUUUAUUUAUAAUAAUAAUAAUAAUAAUAAUAAUAAUAAUAAUAAUAAUAAUAAUAACAUAAUAUAACUUUUUAUUUUAAUAUAAUAUUAUAUAAUAUUAAGUAUAAUUUUUAUUUUUACAUUAUAAUUAUUGAUAUAAAUUAAUAAAUGUAUUAUUUAUUAUUCAAUAAUAUUAUAUUAUAUAUUUUUAUUUUUACAUUAUAAUUUAUUAGUAAAUUUAUAAUUUAAUAUAAUUAAUAAUAAUAGAAAAUAUCAUUACAUGUACUACAAAACUCUUACUUUGAUUAUUUAACACAAUUUAUUUUAUUCGUGAAUAUGUUAUAACAAUUGUAUCACUUUAUUAUUUUGUUAUUAUUUUGUGGUAUGUAUAAAUUUUUAUUCUAUUAUCCUAGGAUGACUUUGAACUAAUGUUAUAGGUUUUAACUAUUUAUUUAUGUUGUUAUAUUAUUAGAGAUUAUUUGAUUAAAUUAUUUGCUUCGAUCUUUAUUUUGCAGGUCAUAUAUUUAGAAAUUGCUGAAAAAUAAAUGUUAUACUUCAAAAAAUUUAAGGCUAUAAGCUCGAUCUUUAUGAAGAAUUGUGAUAUUUUUUAACAUUUACACCAAAAAAAAUUGUUAAAUUUCUAAAAUUUAAGACUUCUAUAUUUAGUAUUUUUCUAAUUACUAAUAAGUAUUAUUUUCUAAAUAUAUAAUUUAAAUUAAUCACAAAAAAUUAAUACAGUACAGUGCAAUAUCAAAUAUAGUAUAAUAAAAAUUAUACAGUAUAAUGUAACACCAAAUAUUAUAUAAUAUUAUUAUAAUAUAGUACUAAUAUAAUAUAAUAUAAUACAAUAUAGUGUGCCAAACGCACCCUUAGAGUGUGUUUGGAACAUGGGAUUAUAGGGUAUUAAAACACUAUUCUUAUUAGCUUAAUACCAAUAUCAUGUUUGGAAAGAAAUUUUAAGGGAUUAAAGGGGGGUGAGCUAAUGCCAUAACUGCGGCAGUAGUGUCUUGGUUUUUUUUUUUAAAUAAUAAUAAAAAAUAUAAAUUUCUAAUUUUAUGUAAUAUUAUAUAAUAUUAAUUUUGAUUUUCUUUGAUCUUUACAUUAUAAUUAUUAAUAUAAGUUAAUACAUUUGUAAUUUAUUAUUCAUAUUUUAAUUUUUAUUAUAUUAAAAAUAUAACUAAAUAAUUUAAUUUUAAUUAUAUAAUAAUUAAUGUAUAAAAUUGAUUAAUAUUUAAUAAGUUAAUACAACUAGUAAUAAGUGCUUAAAUAAUACAUAAAAAUAAAAAUAUAACAUAAUAUUACAUUAUUUAAUUAUAUUACAAUAACUAAUAUAUAAAAAUUGAUUAUUAUUUAACAAUUUAAUAUAGCUAAUAAUAGAUACUUAAAUAAUAAUUUAAUAUAACUAAUAAUGAAUAUAUUUAAAUAAUAUUAAUUUAAAAUUAAUACCAAUAUAUAUAAUAAUAUAAAAUAUUAUUACAUGUACUGUAGUAUUCUUACUUGGAUUAUUUAGCGCAAUUUAUUUUAUUAGUGAAUAUGUUACAACUAUUGUAUCACUUUAUUAUUUAAAUUAAUCAAAAAAAUUAAUACAGUACAAGAUAAUACUAAAUAUUGUACAACAUUAUUAAAAUACAGUAUUAAUUCAAUACAAUAUAAGACAAUAUAUCUAUAUUAAAAUAAAAUAAUAUAAUUUAAUAUAAUACAAUAUGUCAAACGCACCCCGUGUAUUUUAAUUUCAAAAGAAGUUGGUCCUUCCUUUAUUUAUAAAAGAUAACUUUAUUUUCAGAUUACCACUAAACUCUGAAGUAGAAUUAGUGUAAUGUUAAGAGAGAGUGACACAGUUUUCCAUUACCAUCUAUGAAAAUAGAAAGAUAUGGAUCAGUGUAUUUAAGAGUUAUCGUGAAAAUCAUACAAUUCAAUUCCCUGACACAUAUAUUUAUGAGCAUAUGCCAAAAGAAUAAAUAGAUAGAAAGUAAAUUUACAAUCCUCACUUCCUCACAAUUGUUAAAAUGAAGACGCAUUACAACUGUGAACUGUCACUACUUUAUCCUUUUUUAUUUUUUAUUUUUUAUUUUUAGUUAUAGUGUGAUGGAGACAGUGAACAUCAAGGAUGAGAAUAAAAGUUAAAGAUGACCCACCCACUUUCUUUUUAAAGUGCUCUGCUGAAAGCCAAAGUUCCUCUGGCUAAUUAAUUUAGAUGUGAAGAGAGAAUAACGAUAUGUUAGAUUAUUUGGUAGACUAUAGACCUAAAAGUUCCUUCUGAAAUUAGAAAUACAUUUUAUAUGCUUUAAUUAUGAUUAUUUGGUAGACUAUAGACCUAAAAGACAUGUUAGAUUAUAAAAUAGUGCGAUUAAAAAAAAAAGAGUAUUUGUCACGUCAAAUAACAAUUGGUAACUAAAAUCCAAAAUAUUUCAGUUGUUAAAAUCAAAUAAAAAAAAAGAAGGUAAGAGUGAUGCAGAAACACAAUAUUAGCUUAUCUUGAUUUUCCCACUUUAUUCAUUCUCGAUGCUUUUCAAAAGAUAUUCUUCUACUCCUUCUGGUGUCUGCAGCCCCUUGUCACGGGAUGAGAGGUUUCGAGCCCGUGCGGCACUCUCACAUCCCAUACUACGAGAGUAAACCUAGUGGAAGUGGCACAAUAUCGACUAGUUUCGCCCUGCCUUGGGCUCAUCAGGAGAACGGCUCCAGUUCCCAACCAGUGUGUGUAGGGCUCUGAUACCAAAUUGAAGUUUAACCAAGCUAUUUAUGCUUGUUUGGUUGCAGAGAAAAUGAAGGAAAAUUCAAUGAGUAAUAAGAGAAACUAUAAGAGAAAUGGAUCGAAUCUUAUUCAAUGAAUUAUGAAUACAGAGGUUGACCUUAUAUACUAAGAUCCAGAACCUUCUGUAUUGCUCACACACGUGUUGAGAGUGAGCUGUGAUUAACAAACUUCUCAGCUCUAUAACAAACUUACAAACUAACAAUAACAGCCUUGCUUACUCAGCUACCACAUCAGCAGAAUCAUUACAAAAAUAUUCUUUAUAUUUAUAACUCUAACAUCCCCCCUCAAGCUUGCUGCGCAAAUAAGCAAACUGAUCAAAACAGAGGGGCUUAGUAAGAACAUCUGCUAAUUGAUCUGAACUGGGAACAUAAGUGACUGAAAGCUGCUGUUGAGCAAUAUGCUCUCUGAGAAAAUGAAGAUCAAGCUCAAUAUGUUUAGUACGAGCAUGAUAUUUAGGAUUACUGGCCAAAGCUUCAGCACUCUUGUUAUCACAAUGCAGAAGAGGAAUCUGAUCAAAAGAUAUGUUAAGCUCUUGAAAUAAGUAUGUAAUCCAGAGAACUUCAGAGGUAGCCAUAGCAAGAGCUCUAUACUCUGACUCAGCUGAUGAUCUGGACACAAUGGGCUGCUUCUUAGAGGACCAAGAGAUGAGAUUGGAACCUAAAAACACACAAUAACCUCCAACAGAUCUGCGAUCAUCAGGAUAUGCUCCCCAAUCAGCAUCAGAGUAGGCAGUUAACUUUAAAGAACCAGAACUGAAAAACUGAAGACCAUAAUCAGCUGUACUUUGAAGAUACCGUAACACCCUCUUGCAAGUUUGCCAAUGAAGAAUGGUGGGAGCUGAUAAAAACUGACUAAGCUUGUUGACUGUGAAAGCUAAGUCUGGUCGAGUUAACAGAACAUAUUGAAGAGAUCUCAUAAUGCUUCUGUAUAAGGAUGGAUUUUCAAAUGCAGCACCUGUAUCCUUGUGCAGCUUCUCAGAAGUACUCAUAGGUGUAACACAACCUUUACUGUCCAGCAUAUUUGCCCUUUUAAGAAUAUCACCAAUGUACUUAGUUUGAGAUAGAUGAAUACCUUGAACAGAUGGAGUAACUUCAAUACCAAGAAAGUAAUGAAAAUUCCCCAGCUCCUUCAAGGAAAACUCAGAAUGUAAUUGCUGAAUAACAUUUCCUAUGAGCUUUGAAUCUGAACCCGUGACUAAAAUAUCAUCCACAUAAAUGAGAAUGAGCAAGAUAUCUUUCCCUGCAUGCUUAAUGAACAGAGAAGUGUCAGAUUUGGAGACCUGAAAACCCCAUUAAAUUAAUGACUCCUUUAAUCAAUCAUACCAGGCUCUUGGAGCCUGUUUGAGACCAUAUAAGGCCUUGUUAAGCUUACAAACAUAAGAAGGGUAAGUGGAAUCAACAAACCCUUGUGGUUGAUGCAUGUACACAUCUUCAGUAAGAAUGCCAUUGAGGAAAGCAUUGUUUACAUCCAGCUGCUUAAUAGGCCAGUGAUGCAUGACUGCUAGGCUUAAAAUGAUUCUGACAGUACAAGGCUUGAUCACAGGGCUAAAUGUCUCAAAGAAAUCAACCCCAUAAGUUUGAUGAUAUCCCUUGGCAACCAACCGAGCUUUAUACCGAGAGAUACUGCCAUCAGCAUUAUACUUAACUCUGUAAACCCACUUGUUGCCAACAAUUUUCCCAGCUGAUUCAGGAGGCACUAAAGUCCAGGUUUGAUUUCUUUGGAGAGCUUCAAAUUCUUCAUUCAUAGCUGAGUACCACCUAGGAUCUGUCAAUGCUGCUUUGACAUUGGAUGGUUCAAGGUCUUGAGAAACAGCUAAGUAGGUUUUGGGUUUGUAGAUACCAGCUUUAGAUCUGGUAACCAUAGGAUGAGUAGAGAUUACUGGUGGAGAAGAAUUUGAAGAUCUUGAGGGUUGAUCUAGAGAUUGUGAAUGAACAGAAUGUGGCAAGGAAUGAGACUCUGAUGCAGGAGACAGAGCAGGACUAGAGACUGCAGCUGAUGGCUCUUCAUUGCUACUGUGACUAAGAACAGGUGUUUGAGGAAGAAAGAAAUGAACUGAAGAUGGAGUGGAGGUAGCAGAAUGAGAUAAGGUGUUGGACUUGUUUUUCAAAAACAGUUCAGAAUACAGAAAUUCCAGUUCAUUGAAAGUAACAUGUCUAGCAACAAAGACUUUCCCAGUUCGAUCAAGACACUUGUAGCCCUUAUAAAUGGGGCUAUAACCAAUGAAGACACACUUUUGAGUAUGAAAAUCUAGCUUGUGAUGAUGAUAAGGUUGAAGAAAAGGAAAACAAGAACAGCCAAACACUUUAGGAAACUUGUAAUCUGGAAGCUGAUUGUAUAGUUUUUGAAAAGGAGAUAAAUUAUUUAGAACAUGUGUUGGCAUUCUAUUCACUAAGUAAGUGGCUGUAUGAAAAGCUUCCCACCAAAAAGAGAGAGGUAAAUGAGCUUGAGCUAAGAGUGUGAGUCCAGUUUCAACAACAUGCCUAUGCUUCCUUUCCACCACACCAUUUUGAUGGUGAGUGUGGGGGCAACUAUAUCUAAAUUGAAUACCCUCUUGUUGGAGAAAUGAUCUGAAGGCUAUAAACUCACCCCCCAUAUCAGUUUGUAGUGUUUGGAUGGAUAAAGAAAACUAUUUUUCGACAAGAGACUUGAAAUAUUUGAAGGUGUCAAAUGCCUCAGAUUUGAGUGUGAGUGGAAAUACCCAACAAUAUCUUGUGAAAUCAUCAACAAAAGAAAUAUAGUACUUGUAUCCAUCCAUAGACAACACAGAAGCUGGACCCCAUAAGUCAGCAUAUAAGAGUUGGAGAGGAAAUUUUGAUUUUAUAUCAGUGACUGGAAAAUGGAAUUGAUGUAAUUUGCCAUAUUGACAAGCAUCACAAAAAUUAAGAGAUUGAGAAUAUGUUGAAUGCAUAGGAAGACUUUUCAUUAUUGUUUGCAAGACAUGUUUGGUUGGAUGACCAAACCUAUUGUGUAGCAACUGCAUAGACUCACUACUGGAAGCUAGAAAACUGACAGAAUUCUCAUUAUUGGAAUUGAUCAAAUUUGAACAGACAUUUGUUUGGUGAUUCAACUCUUUCAAAGAGUGUACAUUCUCUUUAUUUGAAAAAACAGACAACAUUGAACUAGGUUUGAGACCCAAGGCUUUAGAAUCAGAAAAAGGUGUAUCUUGAGUCAGUAGCUUAAAGAGACCAUCCUCAGCAAUCCCCUGUGCCAGCAAAGUUCCUUGCAUCUUGUCCUUAAUGAAACAAAGAUUAGAAACAAAUUUAAUGAUUAUAUGAUUGUCAGAGAGAAGUUUAGAUAAGCUAAUCAGAUUCUUGGUAAUUUUGGGAACACAUAGAACAUUGGAAAGGUUUAAUUGAUUACCAAAGGAUGUAAAGAGACAUAUAUUGCCUAUGGAAGUAAUUCUAAGACCUUGUCCAUUACCAACUAACAGCAACUGAGAUCCAAGAUAAGGUUUACCUUCAGCUAGGUUCUCCAUAUUGUUUGUGAGAUGAUGUGUUGCUCCACUAUCCAGAUACCAUCCUUGGUCAGCAACUCCUUCUGAUGUAGCCAUGAAGGCAGCUCUGGAAGUUUGAUUCUGAUCUGAAAAAUUUCCUUGCACAGAAAAAUUAGGAACAAAAUUUCUAUUAAAUAUGUCUUUGCAAUCAGCUGCAGUAUGAUUGUGCUUGAAACAAAUCUGACAAACAAUAUUUCCUCUGCCUCCUCCUCUUCCAAAUCCAUUAUAGCCACCAGGAAAUCUACCAGAAAAAUUUCCAGCAGCACCAGCAAAAUUGCCUCUACCCUGAUUUCCAUUCCAGUUAUUCCAAUUAUUAUUCCAUUGUCCUCUACCUGAAUUUUGUCCCCUUCCUGGAUUGAAACCUCCUCUAUUUGUAAAGUUUCCAUUCCAGUUAUGAAAUCCAGGUUUGUUUCCAGUGUUUCCAUUCCAGCCUCCUUGACUAUCAUUAUUCAAGCCUCCCUGAUUGUUAACUUUCUUUUGAUUAUUCCCAGCCUGAGCUAAGUUAGCAGCAUAGUUCUGUUUCACUUCCUUGAAAGAAUUAGAUUGAUUGCUUUCUAAACGUGCCUCAUGUGUCAACAACAUUGAAUAAGCCUCAUUAAUACUCAUUUUUAGAACAUUUGCUUCAAUAUACACAACUACUGGAUAAUAAGGCUGACCUAAUCCAGAGAUGAGAUGAGUUAUAAAAUCCAAAGAACUAACAGGACUUCCAGCAAUAGCAAGCUCAUCUAUAACUGACUUCAACUUACUAAAAUAUUCUGUCAUAGUCAUAGAUCAUUUCUUUAGAUUAUUCAACAUCAUUUUGAGAUGAACUUUCUUAGCAGCAGUUUCAGAUCCAAAUUGUUGCUCUAAACUAGACCACAGUUCAUAAGAGGUUUUAGAGUUUACCACAAGGCUGAGGAUUUCAAUGUUGAUAGAGGAUAGCAGCCAGCUCAGCAGCAUCUGAUCUUGCUUUCUCCACACAUGAAACUCAGGAUUCUCUUGUGAAGCAACAGUUGAACUUGCAGAAGUAUUGAACAUAGCAUCUGAAUUUCCUUGAGUGCUUGAGAGAAAUUGAUCUGGACAGAUUCUGGAUCCAUCAAGCAAACUCUCAAGCUCAUUUGCUCGAACUGAGGAUAGAAUUUGAGAUUUCCAGAUUAAGUAAUUUGAUCGAUCAAGUUUUAUUGGAGUUGUAAAAGUAAAGGUUGUUGCUGAAGAAGAGAUGUUUGUGGUCAAGCUUGAUAAUGCCAUGAGAUUAGACUAGACGUGGCUCUGAUACCAAAUUGAAGUUUAACCAAGCUAUUUAUGCUUGUUUGGUUGCAGAGAAAAUGAAGGAAAAUUCAAUGAGUAAUACGAGAAACUAUAAGAAAAAUAGAUCGAAUCUUAUUCAAUGAAUUAUGAAUACAGAGGUUGACCUUAUAUACUAAGAUCUAGAACCUUCUGUAUUGCUCACACACGUGUUGAGAGUGAGCUGUGAUUAACAAACUUCUCAGCUCUAUAACAAACUUACAAACUAACAAUAACAGCCUUGCUUACUCAGUUGCCACAUCAGCAGAAUCAUUACAAAAAUAUUCUUUAUAUUUAUAACUCUAACACGCUUAGUCUCCUCUUCAACGUUAAGUCCUCGACUAGCAACAAGCUCCCCAAACUCAACUGGGUUGGCCUGCCUGAACUCCAAGAAAUCUAGGAUCAUUGUAUUCCCCACACACACGCCCCUGAAGCACGUCUCCUACAAUUAGCACAACUAUUAUCGAUGCAAGUGUACAAGCACAUAUCUUCGGCAUCACAAUUGCAGUCCGUGACACCCUGCUCUUCUUAUAAAACUCCACCCCAAAUCUACACUACAAACAAGUUGAUUGAAAUUAAACAAUUGCUUUUUCAAGUGGACCCAUUGAGUCGUGGUCAUUACUCAUCAUUGUCUAUUUUUUCUAUGAGCCAUUUAUUUUGAGCAAUAGUGAGCUUCUCUGAACUACUCCAAUUAUUGAUGUAACUCCAGUGGCUGCAUCCAUAGUUGAAUAUAUGACAGUAUUAGCUCUUAUGUGAGAAUAUAGGGGGAUCUUUCUUUGUUUCUUUACGUAGCUAGAUGGCAUGUCCAGUGUUUGAAGGUUUGAAAGGGUGCAUAGCGGUGAAGGAAGACAUUUGAGCGAAGGGAUAUUCAAUUUCAAAUACUUCAAAUGGAAUAAAUUAUCUAAUCCGGGUGGAUAUUGGUCCAGGACUGCAGAAUCCAUGUUCAAUACCCGAAGGUGUUUGAACAUUUUACAAAAAUUCUCGCAAUCUAUCGGAUUAAGAUGAUCGCUUUCUGAACUGUGAUUCAGAAAAGAUUGGAGAUACAUGUCCGAAUGUUUCAAAGAAAAGAAUUCAAUCGGAUCAUCGAAAAUGAUGUACCGUUUGGUAUUUGCCAAUGAUUCCUCUUCGAAGUCAGGCGUCCGGACAAAUCCCAUCAUUGCUGCCGUCCCAACUAACGCAGCAUAUGCAAAAGUUGGAACAUAACACGCCUUAAUUGUGCCUCCGGCUCUUCUCUUAUUCACUUGAAUGAAGCCACGAUCGAUUAGUUCGUUCAAGUAAUGCUCGGCAGUUUCCUCACUGUUGUAUGGUAUGAAACCUUCAGCUACCCACAACUGAUAUAAUUGCCUGGUAGAUAUCUCAAUGCCUGGAUGGAACACACACAAAUAGAGGCAGCAGAUUUUCAGGUGAGCAGAUAACUCCAACACAGAAUACAUUCGACUCCAAGUUGUCAGAAACGCUUUUUCUCCCGUGUAAAUUCUUAAUGUCGUUUUUCCAUAGUAUAGGAUGAAAAAUUGCCAGGAUUCAUGCUUUAAUCUGAUCAAUGGUCCUCCAACGAGAACUGAAUCAGGACGAAUCGGCUCUCCAUUUUCUAAUUCGAACGAGCAAAGGAAGCCUGAAUCCGUGACCGUUAUCAAUACUCUGCUUCCAUUCUGAUUCUCAGGAAGUACUUCUUCAAGAUCAUCCAAUACAUCGUCACUCUCUUCACAGUAAUCAUCAAGCACAAUAAAGUACUUCUUGUUUGUUAGGUAAUCUCGAAGAAUAGAUUUCUUCAAUUGAUAAUCUUCACCGAUAACUACACUAACCCGAGAUGGAGGCAUCACAGACUUGAUUAUGUCAUCCAAUAUCAUGCGAAAAUCGUAGGCUAUAGAAACCCUGACCCAAGCAUGACAGUCAAAAUAGAACUUGACAUGAUUAUUGUUGUAAGUAUCAGCAGCAAAAGCAGUCUUAUCAAAGCCACUGCUGUCGAGAAUUGCAACCACUGAAAGCCGAGGUUGUCCCUCGAUCAGUAAAUCAAACAACUCCUCUCUGCCGCUUUCAAAUUCACUCUUAUCAAACUGAAAUUGUCCCUCAAUCAAUAAGUGAGUGAAUUCGUUCCUUCGCUCUUUGAAAUCAAAACCAUUUUCUCUAGGCGGAAUUUGUUGCAACCGAUUUCUAAUAUCAAUGAUUUUACUGUGGAUUCCGACAAGAAGAGCAAUGCAAGUAGUGCUUUCACUUUCACUGCAUUGCUGCUGCGUGAUGUUGAUGAAGAAUGUGUCAAUAGCUUUCUCUGAUUCAUCGACAAAGUAAUUGAUGUCUUUCAGAAGUUCCCAAAUGUCUGUUCUUUUAACAUUUUCUAAGUGCAAGAGUUGCCGAUAACGCGAAGGUAUUUCGUCUUCAUCGAAAUGUUCUCUAAUGAGUUGAAUCAAAACCCGAGCCAUGUCAGCUUCAUAGUUUACCUUCUUCACCUGCUAACACCCUUUUCAACCUCACACCAAAUAGUGUGAGGUUAAUUUCCAUAUCUUUCCCUCUGUCAGUAGUACUCAGAGGUACGUAUUGUUAUUUGUUAGUGUUGAUGACGAAAGCUGAAUAUCAAAGGAUAUAAAUCAAACAAAAGUUUUUGUAGAUUGAGAAUGGAUGGAUGCAAAGAAUGACUGAUGUUAAAUGAUUCUAUAAAUGAGAUAUGCAAAGAAUGAAUGAUAUUAAGUGAACAUCAAGGAUGGGAACAAAAUUUAAAGGUAAUUUUUUUUUUUAAGUACUCUGUUGAAAGCCAAAGUUCCUUUGGCCAGUUAAUUUAGAAGUGAAGGAAUGAAUAAAGUUAGUCCUCGACGUCUUUUGAAAUUAGAAAUACAUUUUGAAUGCUUUAAUAGAUGCAGAGCAAACUGGCUCGAUAUCUAACUAUUUUAAGAGCUAAAAUCAUUUAUUAGAAGUUGUAGCAUUAAAAAAAAGGGCUUGAUAUCCAAUUUUGUUAUUGAAUAUGUCUCACGUGAGAGUAUAUAACUGUUGUGUUACUGGCAGAUGGCUACGCUAGGUUUUAUUGCUCCCUGAAUUUGAUUGAAAAAUUAUUGAGACGGACAAGUUUGGACCGUCGUUCGAGACUGAAACUACAUAUCAGUCUUAGAAAAUUGUAAUUUUGUUGGCUUAUCAUGAUUUUCAUCGCCCCAUAUUGAUUUUCCUAUGAUGUCUCUGUAGAGUGGCUAUGCUUACAUUUUUAGGUAUUUACUUCUAAAGGUUAACUUAUUAGAUGGAGGGACCAAUUCUACCUAUAAAUCCAAGUGGCUUCCCUUUACUAACUCAUAUGAGACACAACAAUAAUUUUCUUUGGACAAAACCAUUGUUGGAAGGUUAUUUUCGUUCAACAUACAUGAGUUGUUCCACCGCUAUAUUUUGAGGGUUUGCUUUGGAUACGACUUGGGGGAGCUAAUGCUAAGAUUUCUAAGUAUCAACAUAAAAACCUUGCCUAUUAGGUGGAAGGACCAAUCCUACUUUAAAGUCUAAAUGACUAAUUCUUGAGGACACAACUCAACAGACCAAUAUAAAAUUUUGACGUCCCAUUUUAUUACUUUCCAGUGCUUUUACUUUUGCUGUCUAGAGCCCUACUAUUCUAUUAAGCAGAAAAUAUUUCAAGGCACUCUCGGUCUAGUAGAUAACUUUGGUAUUUAUUAUCUAUUGGGAAAAUGACACAGACACCCCCAACGUUUAGUAAAGGGACACAAAACUCCCUAAUGUUUGAAAAAAGACAUACAGACCCCCAUUUCAUGACGGAAACAGUUUCGUUAAAUCAGUCAAAGGUUAAUAUCGUAAUUGCACAUUAACAACAAAUGAAUUGACCAAAAACCCACACACGAACAAAACGCUUAACACACGCACUGACACUGCUCCUUCCAGAUCUUGACAAAAUCCUUAACGGACACACUCACACGGUUCGCCGGAAACUGCUGGAAUUGCUGGGGUUGCCGGAAGUCGCUGGAACUGCUGGGCCUGCCGGAAGUCGCUGGAACUGCUAGGGCUGCCGCAAGUCGCUGGAACUGCUAGGGCUGCCGCAAGUCGCUGGAUCUGCUCGCGCUGCCGCAAGCUGCUGGAUCUGCUCGCGCUGCCGCAAGCUGCUGGAUCUGCUCGCGCUGCCGCUGCGUUGAUCGAGACCGCAUCUGGCUGCUGCUCGUUCGUGUGGCUGCUGCUCGUGCGUGGUUGCUGCUCGUUCACGUGGUUGCUGCUCAUGCAUCUUCAAUCCACGGUUCACUUAUCUUAAACUAGCUUUUCCCUCUUUAAUUUUCUUUUUUUUUUACUAAAUUAACUUUAUUUCUUUUUAUUAUCAUUCAAAAUCCACCAGAAUUUUUGAGAAUUUUUGGACAAUUAAUUAAUUUUGGAGAAUUUUAGACAAUUAAUUUCACCGAAGAAGUGAGCUUACCAUGGGCAUAAUGCCAAAAAAGCUUGUACUGGUUUAUUGGAGAUUUAUUGUGCUUAAUUUAUCAAUGAAAAGCUUGUACUGGUUUGCAUAUGGUAACAAAUAAAAGCAGGCAAUACUACAACGACGUCCCAACAAGCUAUGAGAGGAAGUUCACAAGCUAGGAGCCAGAGUUGUCAUACAAAUUUGUGAAUAAAUAAUGUUUUUUUCUCAAAAAAAUAUUAUGGUUAUUGUUGUAAUGAUUACCAGUAUCAAUUUGAUACAAUAUUAUGAUAUAAGGAUUAUUUGUUAUGUUUAUUGGUGGUUUUUUAUGUCUAUUUGAUAUGUUAUUUAGUACAAUUAAGAUGUUGUUAACCAGUUUUUUUUUUAAAUUUUUUUUAUUAUACUGGUUUAAAUGAUUGACAUAUGAAGAAUUGUUAUUUUUAUAGUAUUAAUAAUUAAUUUUAUUUAUUUUUAUUCUUGAAUAAUGGAUUAAAAUUAUUUAGCUUGUAGAGAAUUUGAUAAAAAAUUAUUAAUGAUUUUAUUAUAAAAAAUUUAAUAGAGAAAUUGGAUAAUGAUGGUAUAUUCGUAAUUUUAUUAAUAAUAUAUGGGUAAAAUAGACAUUGAACAAUUUUUUUUUAAUGCUAAAAGGAUAUAACGGUAAUUACAUGUUAAAAUUAUAAUUUCCGUUACUAACGGUUUUCGUUAAGAAAUUGAGGUCUGUAUGUCUUUUUUCAAACAUUAGGGAGUUUUGUGUUCCUUUACUAAACGUUGGGGAUGUCUGUGUCCUUUUCCCUUAUCUAUUUUCGUUCCGUUUUAUGUAUACCCCGAUCUUUACCUCUGAUUGGUUGUAGAUUCUUUUGUUGCUUUGGGGUUAGGGGAUGGUUUUCAUAACUAUUAAGUUAAUCAAUGCAGAAAAUCUCCAUCAACAAAUGAUAAAGGAUUGUUAGUUCUGUCUGACAAACAACAUUAAUAUGAAGGAUGAUGAUUGUUCUGUUCAAGAGUUUAUAAUGACAUAAUUCUACUUUGGUCUUUUAAAAAAAGUAAGUUAGAAACGAGGAGUAUGUGAGUGAUGAUUUUUACAAAAUAAAUUGCAUGCAUGGUGAUGAUUUUGACACAUGAAAAUGAAAAAAGAAAUAUAAAUUGUGAAUAAUAAUUGAAGUACCUGCUAUUGUUAUAUUGAGUAAUCAAGGACUUCAAUAUUCGGACGAUAUAAGCAACACAAUCAAAUAUUAGUUGGAAGGCAUAGCAAAAUUAGAAUGUAGAACAAACUGGGUAUUGAUAAAUGGAUGGUUUUGGAAGAAUUGAAAAUGAUGGCAUAAGUAAACCAGAGUUAAAAGAAAAGAGAAAGAGCAUUUGAACUUUACUUGUAAGUAAAGGCAAAUUUCUUGGUUCAAGAAAAGAUAAGAGAUAUCAAACUAGCAAUAGGAAAAAGGAGGAAGGUUAAGACAGCAUCUCAACAAAAGCUAAAGAAAAGAAAAACUUAGUUCAAGCAAAGAACAAUGUGCUAAUGUCUGUGUAAUCUUGUUUAAUUUCUUUUUCUUCUCACAUUUUCCAGGGCUUAAAUAAUACAAUAUACAUUUUCAAGCAAAGAACAAUAUGCAAUUGCAGUACUUCUGAGCACACAACAACAAAUAAAUAAUACAAUAUACAUACCCACUAAAUUAAAAAAAAAUAUUAUUCAAGUUUGUGGACAAUACUGUAGCCAUGACGUCGUCGAAAUCUGCUGACAGCUGAAACAAAGAAAGAAUGGAUGAAUGCUGGAUCACAGUUGAAAUUGAAGGUCUGGUAGGUGAUGUUUCCCUCUCUGAUUUUACCUAAACAAAUACAAGAAAAUAAGAAUCACAAAUGAAAAUCUGCUAUUACACUGUUCUUACUUAUUAAAAUACAGAGGUUUCUUUGUUUCUCUGCAGCAAUGUCCAUGGCUAUUAGAAACAAGAACAAUUAGACCAGCAUUUGCAAGAGUCCUUUAAGGUAUUACUGCAGAUAUAAAUCAAGACUGAGGAAAUGGAAAAAUUGAAUACCAAAUUAGGCAAGUUAACUGAAGAUUGAGUUAUCAUAGAAGAAUAAAACUCAUCCAAUUCAAUCCAUCAAAUUCCAUAAGGAUACAACUGGAUGUCAUACUGCUGCUCCAUUUCCUCAAAAGCCCGUAGAUUUUGCCUCAACACUGGCUGAGGCCAAUGUAACUCCAAUUUGCAAAAGCUCUUUAUGCACCAUAGCUCUUCAGGAAGCUUUCUCAAGUAAGCACAAGGGUUGCCAAUUAAGCUUCCAAGUUUUGGCAUUGCUCCAGCCCCUAUCAUCCAAUCCUCUAGCCAAUACAUUGAUUUCAGGUGCAAUACCUUGAGCUCCGGGAAACCACAAGAGCAAACACAAGACAGUUUUCUUCCUGAAUAUGAGUUCUGCCUCAAUUUCAGCACUUGAAGGUGUGGAAGCUUGUCUAGUGUUAGCAUGGUAUCCUCCAAUAACUCAGUAUUUGAUAAGCUUAGAUGGAUCAGACUUGGAGAAGCUGGUAUUUAGACAGGGCCAUACGUGAGAACUACCACCUCUUGGUUUCGUUCACCAGCUUCAAGCAUUCAAGUUUGUGUAGUUCGCAUAGGCUUUUGGAAACCCCAGAACAAUCAUAAUUCAAAUCUCCAGAUACUACGAGUUUGAAGAUUAGGUAGUCUGCCUGUUAAAGUAGCUCACUAUGCCGAACAAAAGAAGGAGAAAGCUAAAGUGAAGAAAAUACAGAGCAAGAGUAUUAGCUGUGCCAGUUCAACUGAUAGCUCAGCAAAAUCAGUUAAAUUUUGUUACAAGCCCACUGUGCAUUGUGCUGAAGAUUAGUUAGUUUAAUAAUGAUUAGUUUUAGAUUAGUUAAAAUGUAAUCAUGAUUAAGAUAUAUAUAUAUAUAUAGCUGCUGUACUGAUAUCAUGGAUUAAGUUGUUGAGAAAUAAAAUUCAUUAAGCAUUUCCAGAACAGUUGAUUUUCUUUCUCAGUAGCCAAACAACUUCAAUCUCGUUUUUUUUCAACAAUGAGUUCUCAAACCACUCAAGUAUCAUUUUCAGAGAUUCUUGGCCUUAUACUCACCAUCAAAAUGGAUUGGUUGAGAGAAAACAUAGGCAUAUUGUUGAAUUAGGUUUGACUCUGUUGGCUCAAGCUCAACUUCCUUUUAAAUUCUGGUGGGAUGCAUUCCAUACUGCUCUAUAUCACAUCAAUAGAUUACCAUCUUCUGUUUUCAAACUUUUGACCCCAUAUGAGAAGAUAUUCAAGCACAAACCUGAUUAUGAUUUUCUCAAAUGUUUUGGUUGUAUUUGUUAUCCUUACUUGAGAGACUAUAACAAAAAUAAGUUUGCCUAUCAUUCCAGAACGUGUAUAUUCAUUGGUUAUAGUCCUUCACAAAAGGGUUAUAAAUGCUUACAUUCUUCAGGUCAAGUCUAUGUGGCAAGACAUGUUAUCUUUGAUGAGUCAACCUUUCCUUAUGCUACUGAAUCUGUUUUUCAUAGUCACACAAAUUCUGAUUCUCAUUCUUCAAAUUUAUUUCUCCACAGCAUGUCUAUUAUCUUUCUACUUUACCUGUCAUACCAGUAUUUCUAAAUAACAACACUGACAAUCUAAACUCUACAAAACUAAAAUGCCAGCUUUUUGGUGUUAGCGAUAAGAAACAACUUACCACAACCAUUAAUUAUCCAUAAUUUCAUUGUUUAUCCUCAGUUUUCUUCAUAAAUGUUACAGCGUUCUUCACAACAAAGUGCAAGGGCAUCUCAAAAGUUCUAAAAUAAUACCUCAAUUCUAUUGCAAAAAUAAAUAAUCUCAAACAAGAACCAAUAAUCAUAUGAAUAAACAAUUAAAGAUAGAGAAAAAAGGCUUAAACCUUGGGGAAAAAAAGUGAAAAAACAUGAAAGACAAAUUACACAUGUGCAGUAACCAUCGAACUUAUCAAUGACAGCUGCAUCCAUUACAUUGCUCCAACAACACAAUGGCAAACCACCAGUUUCAAAUUGAGGAUAGCUAUCGAGAAUGAGAAAGUGUCCAAAACGUCAUCAAUAGACAUGUUCCUAUUGUGCAUAAUUUACAUUAUAGGCAAAUAUUCUUAUACCAUCAAAGGCAAAACAUGACACUAACAAUUGAUCCCCCCCCCCCCCCCCCGUCCCCCCAACAACAAAAAAAAAAGGAAAAAACAACACAGAAAAGAUUGAAACAGAUAAGGCUACACUGAGCACAGGAUGCCAUGAAACAUAAUCCAGGAACCAAAUUAAUAAAAAAGGAAGCCAAACCAUUAUUUAACAAUCUGUUUUGUAUUUGGGAAAGUCUGAUAAAAUCUACUUAGGGAUAAUUAGAGAACCUCAACUAUUAAUCACACCUCAUAAAUGAACUAACAUUAACCAUCCCCACAUCACACAAACAUUCUAACCUAAUACUUCCAUCUUCAAUUGGGGGUUUUUUUUCUUUUUUUUUUGUUGGGGGGGGGAGCUUGCUUAGCUUCUGUGUGGGAUUGAAAUGCUGAUUUCGAAUCACUAACAGUAAAAUUGGAAUCUCAUGAAAAAACAGUUUUAUCUUAAAAUUACAUCUCGAUAUAAAUUCUCUUUUCAUUUCCUUCAACUUUCUAAUUAAGCUUAAAAAAUGUACCUUCAACCACAAAGGGGUUUAAAAUUUAAAAUAUAAAAAAUAAAUUCAGAUAACAAUAAUUAAUUUAAUUAAAAAUAUAAAUAGAGUUACAGAGAAAGAGAAAAUAGAGAAAGACCUAAUGUUGAGUCCUUUGGCGCAAGUCUCUUCAUAGGUCCGAACCAUUUCUUCGGGCGUGGGUUUCGGGUCUUUAGGAAACUCCAUAGUGAUAAGCCAGUGAUUGUAAUCGCAACCCUCGAACAGAAUCCUGUCGGGUGUGAUCUCGUCGCCGUCCUUAUACAAGUGGUACGUCUUGUUACCCGACGGCGUAGACGAGAGGGAGAUCGUCGGGGACGAUCUGAACGGCCGACGCCGAUGAAAUGGAAGGGUUUACCAGAGGAGUGGAUGCGAAGAGUGCAGGGACGGCCGCAGAGAGAGGGCGGCGGAGAGCGGCGACGGACGGUAGUGACCAGCGGAGGCGGAAGAUGGCGAUAUGGGCCAUUGCUUGCGCGUCAGUGAGUGUCUCGAGUGAGAGAGUGAAGGGUUUUGUUUAGGGUUUUGGGAAAUGAAAAAUGCAAAUGUUUGAUUUUGUUGCUAGAAACUUCUUCUGCCGCUGCCUUUUAUUUUCGCUAUAAUAAUAAUAAUUUAUUAAUCAAAUAUUUUCUUAAAAAAGAUAAAUUUCUACAACAAAAUUUAUAUUAAAUCAAAUUGUAAAAAUGUCUAUUAGGGUUAAUUUCUCCUUAAUAUUAUUAUUAGUAGAAGUAGAUUUUCGAAUUAGUCUUGAUAUAUUUCAGAGUUGUAUUAUAAAUGUAUAUGUAUCUGGAUUGCAAUUAUAUUUUUAAAAAAUAUAAUUUUUUUAAUUAUUGCACAAUAAAUGUAGAAAGUAUCUAUAAAAUAAUAUUAUUAGGACUACGAAAAAAAUAUUAUUUUAGAGAAGUUAUUUAUUUAUUAUUGAAUGAAUAAUUUAUUGGUAAAUGAAUAUUUAUUAAUUUAAAGAGAGAUUUUUUUUUUUUGGUUUGAAGAAGAGUUUUGUUGGUACAUAUACAUACUUAUAAAGAAACACAAAAAGUAGUUCCUCAAGUCAAUUGUAUUUGCUUUAAUUCAUAAUAAUAUAUCUUAAUCAAGAAACUUGUAAUUAUACUAUAUCUUUGUUUCUUUGUUCAGUUUGGUGGGACAUUGUGAUAAAUCAUUGGAUUAAAAUGCAUUUCUAAAUGAAAACUAGUUAAAACCUAAUUUAUUUGGGAACCACAUUUUAUUUGUCAGUCGUAUUUCUCAACUUAGCAAGUUAUUUCUAACUUAUCGGUCUCUAUUGAUUCUCUUAAGUGCCUGUUUGGUAUGACUUAUUUAAUGGCAAUAAGUGCUUAUUUAAUCUCAUAAGCUAUUAUCAUAAUUUUUGUUGUUGUUUGGUUGUUUUUCUAAUAAAGUUUUUGAAGCUUAAAUAAGUAAUUUUACCUCUACUAGCAAAAGCUCAAAUUUUGAGUUUUUUAGGAGUAGAGAUUGAAAAACUUUUUUAAAUGUCAACAUAUCUAUAAUAUCCUCUACUUAUUUAACAAUCUUAUUUAUUGUUUUCAUAAUAUAACUUUAAAAAACUUGUCUAUUAAAGUAAUUUCAUAAUUUUUUAAUAAAAGCUCUUAUUGACAACCAAACAAUUAAACUUUUUUUUAACAAAACCUCUACUUAAAUAAGUUCUACUUGAAAAACCGUACCAAAUAGAGCUUAAAGUUAAUAGUCUCGUAUCUCCCGCAUUUGAUAUCUUAUUGGCAUCAGCGUGUUACCUAAGAUUGGGAUUCAUUAAAAUCCUCAAUGUAAUCGGUGGAACUAAUGGAUUUCUUCUGUUCACCAAUCCACCAAAUUUUUUGUAAUUAAAUUCAAAAGUCAAGAUCUAUGCUUAUAAUCUAUUCAAUAGCUAAUAUUCUAUUUUAUAUUUACUUAAAUAUGAAGAGCUAUGCUUGUAAUUAACUUCAAAUGUGAUCGAAGCAGUAGGGAUGGCAAUGGGGAGGGGAGGGGAGGGGACCAAUCUCCCCAUACCCAUCCCCGAUAUUUUGCGUAUGUCCCUGUCCCCUCCCCGUCCCCGUCAGAAUUGCUUGAGAGAAUCCUCAUCCCCUCCCCGAAUAAUAACAGGGGAUCCCCGAGGGUCCCCGGUCCCCGAAUAAUUAAUAGUCUAAUACAUUUUUUUAUUUUCGAUUUUAAAUUAAUCAUAUUAAAAUAAAAAAUUCAGAUAAAAAUAAAGUUUAAAAUAUAUCUUACAUUAAUAUUGAUCCAUUACAAAGUCACAUUCAAAAUAUAAAUUAUUAAAAUAAUUAUCUUUAUCAAUGUCUCAAUCUUCAUAAUCCUACAAUAAAAAGAAAAAAAUUAUUUUUUAUAUCGGCAAUAAAAUAAAUGAAAUAAAUGUAGAUACUUAAUUAAUAUUUUUAAUAAAACUAUUUACCUCCUGCUAGUCAUGCUCGUCCUGUUCUUCCUCGAGAAAUGUGACAAAUUGAGAGAUAGCCUCAGAUUUCAAACCUAAAACAAUGAAAAUGAUAUAAGUAACGUAACUUAUAAGUGCAAAUAUUAAUAACUGUAUAAUAUAAUUACAAUGUAAAAUAAACUCAUACUGCUAUUGUAAGCUCGUAACCAACUUUAACAGCACAUUAAGGCCUCCAAUGUGCUUGGAUGAAGUUUGUUACGGUGUGGGCUCACAACUCUACCGCCGGUGCUAAAAGCUGAUUCAGAAGCAACUGUUGUAAUUGGAAUUGCCAAAAUAUCUCUAGCAAUUCGAGCUAAUGUAGGAUACCUAUUAGCAUUUGUCUUCCACCAACUCAAAAUAUUAAAAUCUUCCAUCCGGGGUAUAACUUUUUCAUCCAAAUAUGAAUCUAAUUCAUUUGCAACAAUUGCACAAUCUCCAUUGUUUACAUAAUCAUCAAAACCUGUCAUUCAUUUGGUUGCUUUCUUAUAAGAAUCCCCUGUAGAUCUAAUAGAAGAACUACUACCAGUAUAAUCAAAGCAAUAAACAGUUGGUGAAAACUUCAAUUGAUACUCUUCCACUAAUUCUCGGCAAAGGGUGACGACUUUCCCAACAUACAACUCUUUAACACCACCAUAAACCAUAGAAAAGUAAUAUUCAAUGAACUUCUUUUUAUACCUUGGAUCAAAGAUACAUGCCACACCCAAAAUUCCACUCAUAUCUUGCCAAUAUUUAUAAUUUUGUUAUUUAUUUAUUAGUAAUUUUAAAAAUAAAAAUAAAAUUAAAAUGGGGAAAUGGGUAGGGGAUGGGGAUUCCACCUCAUCCCCGUCCCCUCCCUGAAUAAAAAAUUGGGUAAAAAAUUUUCCCCGUCCCCUCCCCGAAUAAAAAUUUGGGUAUAAAAUUAUCCCCGUACCCUCCCCGAAUGGGGAAAAUCCCCGAGGGUACCCGUCCCCGUGGGGAUUUUUGCCAUCCCUACGAAGCAGCCUUGCAUCUGUAUAUUACUUAUUUACUCCCAACCUUUUUUUUGACUUCAUAUACUUUCUUUUCAUGUUAUUUACUCUUUUUUUUUCCCUCUCUGACAAUUGAGGUAGGGGGUCAAACUUGAAAGUAUCUUAAAAUCAGACAACAAUUUAACUAAUUUUUUUUUUUUAGAUAACUGCUAAUAUGCUCUAUUAGACAAUGAUAAGUGAUAACCUAGGUGUUUGCAUUAAAAACGAUAUUUUUUGUGGUGUUGAUAAAGAGGUUAAUUAUGAUUCAACAAUUUAAAAUAUGAAAACAUAUAGAAGACGGCCGCAAUUAAAUUGAUUGUAUGAAAAUAUUUCAAUGAAAUUUUAAAAAUUUAGUACUUGUUAUCUUAUCGAGAGUUUUUUAAAUUAUAUUACUACUUGAACUUGACUGCUUUUGUAUUGAAUUCCUAGCGUUGACAUUGCUUCUACUCAAAAGCCAUUUAAGUUUGUGUUAGAGUGCAAUUUAUGCACUAGUUUUGCAUUGUUUACUUCCCUUAAUAUCGAUGUUUUGCACUUAAUAAUAAUGAUUUACUUGUGUUUUACUUUUGUAGGUGCAAUUCUAUUGAUUUGUGAUAAAAUUGAGCUAUAAGAUGAUGUUUAAAGAUGAUUGUUCUCUUGGAGAAAUUAUGAGCGUCAGAAGAACUUUGUUGAUAAGGCGUGGGCGCGUGCUGUCAACUGCGGACCUGCAGUUUUUAGUUUAACGUGUUUUGUAUUUUUGGUUAUUUUUGUAAUUACGAAUUUAAUAUUUCAGAUAUUAGUAUUUUAUUUUAAAUAGAAUUCUAAAGGAGAAGAGAGAGAGAGUAUUUAAGAGAGGAAUCUAUUGUGAAAAAAAGGGGAUUGGAGAAAAGAAAGAAACCCUAGAUCUAAACUUUUCUCUUCUCUCUAUGAAGAACUAAACAUAUUUUUCUGGUUGAAGGUUAAUGCAGCUUUGAUUCAUCACUACUGUGAGAUCUUUCUUGUGCUUUAAUUGUUUUAUUGCUUUUUGGGUAUUUGUUUAUUCUCUGAAUUAUUUUCAUGAUUAUAUUUGUUAAUUAGGUAAUUGGCCACUAUUUAAUUAUCAACUUAAUCUAUUGUCAAUUAAAGGAUUCAUAGUAUGAAGAAUUUAAUGUUUGUGACAAAUAACAUAGCAGAUAGUUGUGUUGUGAGAAUAAACAAUCUAAUUUAAAUGAAUCAUCAUAUGUGUUGAUUAGGAUUUGGGUCUCUAUAGUUUUUCAGGCUGUCAAUUGAUUAAAUCCUAUGAUCGUAUCUAGGGUUGUCUAUUGAUUAGGGAAAUAACCAACGGUCGUACCUUGGUUAUCGACUAGUUAAGGAGAGAUUGGCUAUUAGAGGGUCUCAGUAGCUAUAACCGGUCUAUUCAUAAGUAAUAAUAAUCUAUAUUUGAAUCAAUGAUCAGUAGUCGAAUCAAGCUGAGUUAAUUCCUUCAACCAUAGCUUUCUCUAAUUUGAAUUACAACUUUAAUUUGUAUUCUUGUUAUUUUAAUUUGAUUUUUAUUAUUGUCAACAAUUCUCCCAUUUUACGUUUUACGUUUCAAAAGGAUUUAAAUAAUUACCGAUCUCUGUGGACACGACCCUACUCAAUCACUAUACACAAUUUAUUUAGAGUAGGAAUUUAUUUUUGUUGGCUUCGACAACCAUCAGUUUGUGUAAGCUACGUAUAGUUUGAACAACAAUUUAUUCAUGAAUUGUUGCUCAUAAUAGCAAUUUGAUUGAAAGUGCGGCUGCACUAAUUUUCUAGAUGAAUUUUUUCCUACAUGCUUGUUCUCGUAUGACCCAAAAUCCUGCUACAUCAGUUGUAUUAGAAAUUUUUUCCUACAUAAUUAUGCAUCCCCACCAAUAUUUAAGCAAUUUACAGAAACAUUUCUUGAGGAAAGAAACUCAUAUCGCCACUAGGCUUUUAAUGAGGCUCAUUUUUAUGAAUCUGGAUGGCAUUAGAUAUCUCUCCGAAUAUUGGUGGGAGUAGAUCGCAGAUCUCUGGGCUAUACUACAAAGUGUAUGUACGUUGACUCUCAAUAAAUACAAACGAUUCUCUGAUAUGAUUCAAAACAUGCAUAAUUUUAACGAGAAAGAAUAUUCUAAGUGUUGAAAAGUCAAAUAGUUGGCUUACCAAUUUCAAAAAAAGCAAAGUUAGGUUUUGAAAGCAUGCAAAUUGAAUACAUGGCAUGGGACAACUAGCAUGCAUUGCAUUUGUGAAUUUGGCCAAUCAAAGUCAAAUUGAAACCGGGUGGUAGGUGAGCAUGCUUUGCCUAUAAAUAGAGACGCAAAAUGCAUUUGUAAAUGCAUCCCAAUUUGAGAGAAGUAGAGAGCAAUUGCAAGUGAGUUCUUUAAGAGAAUUUGAGAGAGCUUCCACUUGAGUGUUCUAGUGAGGUUCCAUUUGGGUGUAUUGGGGUUGUGGGUUUUGUGAGUUUUUUCCACUUUUGUAAAUUUCCAUUGUUAGUAAAAUUAUCUUUUAGUCUUUGCCUGUGGAUGUAGGCAUUACGCCGAACCACGUAAAUCAUUGUGUUAUAUUUUCUUUGCAUUUGUUUAACACCACAUUUAUAUUUCUCCAGAAGUUGCAGUAUUAGUAAUUACUCAACCCGCGUUUCCGCAACACUAAGAACGAAAUUGAACGUGCAAUCAGCAACUAAAAUGAAGCCAGAAAUGUACAUGCAUGAGGAAUUUUUCCUAGAAGAUUGAUAUUUCUUUGACUAGCAAACCAUACAAGUCCAAAGCUAGCCAAACCAUACCUGCAAGUCGGGGGUUUAAAUGGAAUGCUUCUAAGCAUAAAACAUUGAUUAAAAUAGAAUACACACAUACAUACCAACAAAUUCAAAAUAGCAAAAGGAGUGCAAAAGUUCAAGUUUGUAGACAAUAUUGCACCCAUGGGAUAUUAAAGCAAAUCCUUGAAAUCAGCUACACAAAACGAUGCCCGGUCUCAUGAAUCGAUGCUCAAUUAAAAUUGCAAUUGAAAGUCCGGCUGGUGUUGUUUCCCUCUCCAGUUUUGCCUACAUAAGUAAACGGAAAUAAGAAUCACAAAUGAAAAUUUGCUUUGACAGUUCUUAUUAGAGAGAUAUAAAGGGAUCUUUCUUUGUUUCUCUGCUGUAAUUUGUGGCUAUCCCACUCUGUUUUGCCAGUCAAGCUAAGUCUACGUUGAGGCAUAAUUUUGACAUCAGAAGCAACCUCAAUUAGUUUGGCAUUUUUAUGACCUCCUUGAAGGUUUUAUGAUAAACAUAAAUCCACUGAGAAAGUGGGAAAAAGAGAAAAUGCAUAUAAAAGUAUGAGUUAUCAGAUAAGAUUAAAACUCACCCAAUUCAAUCCAUCAGAUUCCAUAAGGAUAUAACUGGAUGUCAUACCGCCACUCCAUAUCCUCAAAAGUCCGUAGUCUUUGUCUCAACUCUGUCUGAGGCCAAUGUAAAUCCAAUUUGCGCAAGCUCUUUAUGCACCACAGCUCUUCUGGAAGCUUUCUCAAGUAAGCACAUGGGUUGACAGUUAAGCUUUCAAGUUUUGGCAUUGCUCCAGCCCCCAUCGUCCACUCAUCUAGCCAAUACAUUGAUUUCAGGUGCAAAACCUUAAGCUCCGGAAAGCCACCAGAGCCAACACAGGACAACUUUCUUCCUAAAUACGAGUUUUGCUUCAGUUUAAGUACUUGAAGGCAUGGAAGCUUUUCUAGCGUUGGCAUGGGGUCCUCCAUUAGCUCAGUAUUUGAUAAGCUCAGAUGGGUCAGACUUGGAGGAAACUGGUAUUCAUACAGGACCAUUCGUGAGGGCUUCCUUUCAUUCACCAGCUUCAAGCAUUCAAGUUUGUGGAGUUCGCAUAGGCUUUUGGAAACCCCUGAAUGAUAGCAACUCAAAUCUCCAGAUAUCCGAAGAGUUUGAACAUUAGGUAGUCUGCCCAAUAUAUCAGGAGUACAACUACUGGGGUUUAAAGUUGAUAUGAAAAUGAGAUUUUUCAGGGAGCUAGAAUAAUUUUUUGGAGGUGCGGGCAGAGUGAUAGAACCAAAGUUUAGAUGCAUGAGUUUUUGCAUCAUCCAAAUAUCCUCCGGCGACUGAUCUACGUAGCUAGAUGGCAUUUCUAGUGUUUGAAGGUUUAAAAGAGUGCAUAGCAGCGAAGGAAGGCAUUUGAGCGAAGGGAUAUUCAAUUUCAAAUACUUCAAAUGGAAUAAAUUUUCUAAUCCGGGUGGAAAUUGGACGAGAACUGCAGAACCCAAGUUCAGUAUCCGAAGGUGUUUGAACUUUUCACAAAAAUUCUAGCAAUCUAUCAGAGCGAGAUGAUCGCUUUCUGAACUGUGAUUCAGAAAAGAUUGGAGAUAGAUGUCAGAAUGUUCUAAAGAAAAGAACUCAAUCAGAUCUUUCAUAAUGUAGCACCAUUUAACAUUUACCGGUGGUUCCUCGUCCACGUCAAGCGUCCAGGACAAUCUCGUGUUCACUGCCACAGAUAACAAUGAAUAAUAUACAAAACUUGGAACAUAACACGCUUUAAUCGUGCCUCCGGCUCUUCUCUUACUCACUUGAAUGAAGCCGCGAUGGAUUAGUUCUUUCAAGUAAUGUUCGGCCGUCUCCUCACUGUUGUAUGGUAUGAAACCUUCGGCUACCCACAACUGAUAUAAUUGCCUCGUCGAUAUCUCAAUACUUGGACGGAAGACACACAAAUAGAUGCAGCAGACUUUCAAGUGAAAAGGUAACUCCAUCACAGCAUAAAUUUGUCUCCAAAUUGUCGGAAUCGCUUCGCCUUGAACAUAAUUUUCUAAUGGCAUACUUCCAUAGUGUAGGAUGAAAAAUUGCCACGAUUCAUGCUUUAAUCUGAUCAUCUGUCCUCCAAUGAGCACUGAAUCAGGCCGAAUCUUCUCUCCGUUUUCCAUUUCCAAAGACUCAAGGAGGUCUAGAUCAGUGACCGUUAUCAAUACUCUGCUUCCAUUCUGAUUGUCAGGAAGAACUUGUUCAAGAUCAUCCCAUAUGUCACUGUCGUUGAAGACAUCAUCAAGCACAAUAAAGUACUUCUUGUUUGUUAGGUAAUCACGAAGAAUGGUUUUCUUCAAUUUAUAAUCUUCACCGAUAAUUACACUAACCCGAGAUGGAGGCAUCACAGACUUGAUUAUGUCAUCCAAUAUCUUGCCAGAAUCGUAGGCUAUAGAUAUUGGGGAAAAAUCAGGUUUUUAAAUUUUUAUAAAACCUUUUGAAGAUCGCUCUCAUAUAAUAUAUAAGAAUUCGUAUUCUAGAAAUCGUACCUUGUAAAUCUGAGUUUGCUUUUUCCGCUGAAGUGAUUUAGGCUCCUAGAUCACGAUCCGCCACCACCACUCCUGUUAGAUCACGAUCCGUCACCACCACGCUUGUUAGAUCACGAACUGUCUCCAAUGAUCUUCCAGGUUAUGACUCAGGUUCGAUCUGCACUUGACGUGUGGGCGCCUUUAUCACUACCAAAGCAACUAGCACGAGAAAAUUUUUCUCUCAACAAUGGAGAGAAAAAUCUUAUUCUCUGAUUUGUAUAAAGUGGCUUCUUCUCUUCCUUUUUGGGAAAAUAAGCCUUAUAUAUCUCCCUUUAGUGAAAACCCUAGGCUCCAAGGAUUCCCCCAAAAUAAAACUCACGUUACUUUUCAUUUAAUAGGGGACCCACCAUGUAAAAUAACAUAAGGCCCCUUACACAUAAGCUUAUUAAAUGGAGCCUCCCACUAAAUGAUAUAUUUAGGCUUUUGACCCAAAUAGCUAGUUAUCUUGCUUAUUAGUCCAGCAGUGGUGCAAUCAAUUAAAUGAGCUAACCCGGGGAUCAUUUGGGAACAUACAAUAGUGGCUACAAUAAUUAGGCCUGUAAUUAAACUAGCCCAAUUAUUUAAUUCCAAAUCUACUCCACUAAAAGAUUGGAACUGACUUCCAUAAUUGUAUGCUCGAAUAAUAAUUCGUCCCAAGCCACAUUGAUUUCUUUACUGCACAAUCCUUUGUACCACAUCGUUAAUUAAAUUGAUAUCUCAACUGUCCAAUCAAUUUAAUAACAUCUUAUUCCUUGAUCCUUACUGGUUUUCUCUAAUGAUCAUUUUCAACAUACUAAAUAUGUUGACACACUCUGGCCAGAGAAUUCUAUGAUCAAGUACCGAAAACCCAUCAAGAGAUGUGUUGUACAAAUUCUAUAUUGUUAAUCCAUAACUCCAAUACUCAUAAUUGUUCCCACCAAGAUACCGGGUAAUCUAGACUACAAGUAUGUGUCAUGCCCAUUGGUAACUCAAAUGGAAUAACAAUUACAAUCAUGAAAUCAUAAUUAACUCAAGAUUAAGAUUACAGUAAAAUCAAUGCCUAUGAGAUUUAAUAAGUCUGACAGUUAUUACAAAGUUAAUUAAAUCUCAUAUGUGAUCCUGUUCAAUGUAGUCGUACUACAUCAAUAAAUUCAUACAUGAUUAAGACAAAUCAUUCAAUGAAUUUAUUACAGUCUAUACCUAAAUAAAGUGCCCAACUUUAUUUAUCAACUGCGAACUAAAUUUAUUUAAUCAUAAGAUAACUUGUAUUUAUGUCUUCUGUGAAUCCACAUGGUGAUCACAUAAAUACAUAUAAUAUGAUUAAAUGGACUUUAAUACAAGUAUUAAUGCAAUUAAGAUAUUUGAAUAAAAUACCUCAUUUAUUUUAUUAAUCAGAAAAACUGUUUAUUACAAUUAAAUAAACACAUAUGCUUUUAAAGAGCAUAUUUUCCCAACAAUCUCCCACUAGCUCUCAAAGCAUAUUUGGCAUCUCACGCAUGCCCAUGGAUUCUAAGUGCAAGUUAAAAGGUUUCCCAGGUAUGGCCUUAGUAAAAGGAUCUGCCAAGUUUUGCUGUGACGCAAUCUGAGUAACCUCCACAUCACCUCUCUGCACUAUAUCCCUUAUAAGAUGAUACUUCCUCUGAAUAUGUUUUUGUUUCUUGUGGUUCCUUGGUUCCUUAGAUUGAGCUACCGCACCACUAUUAUCGCAAAAUAGUUUAAGGGGUGCAGUUACAGCAGGUACCACCUCAAGAUCUUGUAGGAACUUGCGGAGCCAUACAGCUUCUUUUGCAGCUUCGGAUGCAGCCACAUAUUCAGCUUCAGUUGUGGAGUCUGCGAUACAAGAUUGUUUCACACUCCUCCAACUAAUAGCUCCACUUCCCAAUGUAAACACAUAGCCGGAAGUUGAUUUUCUGAAAUCCUUAUCUGACAUAAAGUCAGAAUCAGUAUAACCCACUGGAAUGAGUUCAUCACCAGAAUACACAAGCAUAUAAUUUUUAGUUCUUUUCAGAUACUUCAUUAUAUGCUUGACCGCAGUCCAGUGUUCAGGUCCAGGAUUAGAUUGAUAUCUACUAACCAUCCCUACCGCAAAACAGAUGUCUGGCCUAGUGCAAAGCAUGGCAUACAUGAGACUUCCCACAGCUUCUGCAUAGGGAACUCGUCUCAUUCUCUCUAUCUCUUCAGAUGUUUUAGGUGAUUGAUCCUUAGAGAAUGUAAUUCCAUGUCUGAAUGGUAAUAAACCAGUCUUGGAAUUUUCCAUGCUAAAUCUAGCCAAUAUCUUAUCGAUAUAGACCGCUUGAGACAAGGCUAAAGUUUUAUUCUUCCGGUCUCGAAGUAACUUGAUACCAAGAAUAUAACUUGCCUCUCCCAGGUCUUUCAUAUCAAAUUGUUUUGCUAACCAACUCUUUAUUGUAGUCAAUACUCCUAUAUUGUUUCUAAUUAGGAGAAUAUCGUCUACAUAAAGAAUUAGGAAGGCUACAGAUUUUUCUUGAAUUUUCUUGUACACACAUGGUUCAUCAAUGUUCUGAAUGAAUCCAAACGAUUUUAUCGCUUGAUCAAAUCUGAUGUUCCAUGACCGGGAUGCUUGCUUCAAUCCAUAAAUGGAUCUCUGCAACUUACAUACCAUGUGUUCUUGGCCUUUUUGUAUAAAUCCAUCUGGUUGCUGCAUGUAGAUGUUUUCUUCAAGAUGCCCGUUGAGAAAGGUAGUCUUGACAUCCAUUUGCCAAAUUUCAUAAUCUAGCACUGCAGCAAUGGAGAGCAGGAUCCUGAUAGAUUUAAGCAUAGCAACCGGAGAAAAAGUUUCCUCAUAAUCGAUUCCCUCUUUUUGAGUAAACCCUUUGGCUACUAAUCUUGCUUUAAAUGUUUCCACCCUUCCGUCUACUCCUCUUUUUCUCUUGUAGAUCCACUUGCAUCCUAUAGGUUUUACCCCAUUUGGUGCCUCUACAAGUUCCCAGACUUUAUUGGAAUACAUAGAUUCCAUUUCUUGAUUCAUGGCCUUUUUCCAAAAUUCAACAUCUCUAUCUAUUAGAGCUUCGUUGUAACUAGUGGGAUCUUGUACAUGUUCAUCUGAGAUAGCCGUAUAGGUUUCUCCCAAAAGCAUGUAUCUCGCAGGUAACCUAGUUACCCUCCCACUACGACGAGGUUCUAAAAGUGAUGGUUGUUCAGGGUUAAUCCUGUGUUGAUCAUCUGGUUGUUGUUGUUCUUCCUGUUCUGUAAUAGGCAUUGAAAGCUGAGCAUCAACCUGAUCACCUGACAGUUCUUCAAGUAUUACCUUACUCUUAGGUUUGAAGUUAUUCAUAUAGUCUUCCUCGAGGGAAGUGAAAUGUGUGCUCACUAUCACUUUCCUAUCUUGAGGACUAUAAAAUAAACCUCCCCUUGUUCCUUUGGGAUACCCCACAAACAUACAAACCUCAGAACGUGAAUCCAUUUUGUCUGCCUUUGGUUUCAGCACAUGUGCUGGUGAUCCCCAAAUACGGACAUGUCGUAAACUUGGUUUGCGACCUGACCAUAAUUCUAUUGGGGUUUUAGGCACUGACUUAGAUGGAACUAAGUUCAAAAGGUAAACUGCAGUUUCCAGUGCUAAUCCCCAAAAAGAGAUUGGUAAUGACGAAUAACUAAGCAUAGAUCUCACCAUAUCCAAAAGAGUUCUAUUUCUUCUUUCAGCUACCCCAUUUUGUUGUGGUGUUCCCGGGGCAGUCAAUUGAGAUAUAAUCCCAUUUUCAACCAGAUACUCUUUGAAAUCUCCUGAGAGAAAUUCACCACCUCGAUCAGAUCGAAGUUUCUUUAUGUUCUUAUCUAAUUGCUUUUCUGUCUCAGCCCUAUACUCUUUGAAUUUCUCAAGAGCUUCAGACUUAUGACGCAUCAGAUAAACAUAACCGUAUCUUGAGUAAUCAUCAGUAAAAGUGAUGAAAUACUCAUAACCUCCUCGAGCUUGUACAUUGAUUGGUCCACAUACAUCUGUAUGUACCAAUUCAAGUGGUACUGUUGCACGUACUCCUUUGGCCGAGAAUGGCCUUUUGGUCAUUUUCCCUUCUAAACAGGAUUCACAGAGUGGCAAUGAUUCAUUUUCUAAUGGACCCAAGAGCCCAUCUUUGAUCAUUCUCUGUAUCCUAUUUUGGUUUAUAUGACCCAAGCGUAAAUGCCAGAGGUAACAUUGGUUGGAAGAAAUAUUUCUUUUCUUAGAUAAGUGUGUAUGCUCAUCAUUAUUUAUCACUGUGUCAUGCAUAGAAUGGAUCAUUGGACUUAAAUGAUAUAAAUUAUCUUCCAAUGUACCAGAACAAAUAAGUCUCUUAUUUUGAAAAAUAGAAACAGAGGAUCCAAAAUUUACAGUGUACCCUUGCUUUGACAAACAAGCUACUGAAAUUAAAUUCCUCUUAAUGUCUGGAACAUAAAGACAAUUAUUCAAAACUAAAGUCUCAUUAUUAAAAGAUAAUAAAACAGAUCCAGUCUUCACUGCUGACACGAACUGUCCUGUCCCUAACUGCAGCUUGACGCUUCCUUCACUUAUUUUCCUGGUUUCCUGAAACCAAUAAAGUGAAUUACAAAUAUGAUUAGUUGCUCCUGAAUCCAACACCCAAGUGUCAAUAGGAUUCUGAACUAAACAGGCCUCAAUUACAAAAAGAUUUCCCAUACCUGAUUUCACAAUCUUAGGGCAAUCCUUUUUCCAGUGACCUUUCUGUCCACACUUGAAGCAUUUGCCUUUCGGCUUGCCAUCUUGCUUGGUAGACGGUCUCUUUUUCCCAGCUUUCUUCUUACCUUUGCCUUUCGGCUUAGGCCCAGAAGAUGAACUUUUUUCAGUAAUAUUUAUGCUUCCCAGAGAUUUCUCAGCACGAUAGAUCUCUUCAGCAGAAUGAAGUUCGUUCAUCAAUUCAGUUAAGGUCAUGUUUCUUUUGUUCAUGUUAUAAUUGACCUUAAACUCCUUGAAUGUUUCUGGCAGAGAUUCUAGCACCAUGUCAAUCUUUGAGUUAUCAUCGAUUUGUGCUCCCUGAAUCUCAGCCUCAUUCAAAUAGUCCAUCAUUUUGAGGACAUGAUCACGAACUCUUGUGCCCUUCCCCAUUUUACUGUUCAUAAUUCCUUUCAGUGCUGCUUGUCUCGCAGAGCGAGUACUCUGCCCGAACAUCUGUUGGAGACUAUCCAUUAUUUCAGUGGCAGUCUCUAAGUUCUGAUGUUUGGUCUGCAGAAUAUUAGAAAUCGAGGCUAAAAUGUAGCACUUUGCCAUUUCAUUGGCCUUUUGCCAUUUCUCAUAAAGCCUCCUCUGAUUUCUAUGAGCAUCAUCUGCUGGAACUGGAGGGCAUGGCUGGGUUAAGACAUAUUUAUAAUUUUCAGCAGUCAGGACAAUGAAUAGAUUUCUUUUCCAAUCUAUAUAGUUCUCUCCAGUGAGUUUGUUUUGACUCAGAAUAAUAGUAAGUGGGCUCAGGGAAGACAUUUUCUGAAAAAUAAAACAUCCAUGCAUAAAUAAUUUGAAAUAAUAUUCACAAUAAAUGACAAAAAUGCAAAAAACCAUAAAUGCAUUUUAAUUUAUUGUAACGAUAAUCUAGUACCGCUUUGACAAGCUAUCCGUUGGGGAAGUCAUGUCUACACUUACUAGACCCAAUUAUCCAUUGGAUUAUUUACUUUCAUGUAGAGACAUGAUAAAUAAUUAUCGUUAUUCUUUUGGGCCUAAAUUUGUUAACAGAGCUUCGUUGGGAAGGUUAAUAACAAAUUUUAGUUGAGUGUAUAACCAUUAUUUCAAUCUACAUAUUUUUCAUAUCAAUAGUCACCGUUGGGGUGAGCAAUCGAUUGAAAAAUAUUUCAAUUUUAUCUUUGAAGAAGUUCAUCAAAUAAAAUAUCUAAUAUAUAUACCCUCCGUAGGGAGCAUCACCGUAUCAUGAAGUCGAGGUAUAUAUAUAAUUUUAUUAUUGAACUAACAAUGGAGCCCGUGGGAAAAAUUAUCUUGAAUUUUCCCUCUCCCACUCAAUAUUUUAAAAUUGGUUUUUCCUUUUUAAAACAUACAUAUUGUUAAUUGCAUGCUUCCUAUAAUAUUAUCUAGAUGAUAUCAAAUAUUAUUAAGCAUAUGCAAAUUUCAAACAAUAUAAUGAAAUUCAUUAUUAAUGAAUGACAUGUAUCAUUAUGCAUAGAGUGGCACUACCUAUUCUAUAUGACAUGUUAUCAUGGCAUGUUAUCAUCCAAAACAUAACAUAUAGAAAAACUAUUAAAUAAUCUUAAUUCAUGGCUUUCCUAAUAAUGAAAAAUACAUUAACCCUAAGCCUAAUCUUCAUUGGGCUUCUUGUCAAUGUCCAUCUUCCAUAAGCUUGUUUUUGUUAAUGGACUAGGGGAAAUUGAGCUUUUAAAUUUAUAAUUGGUCCAAUUUUAAUUUUGAAAGGAAAUAAAUAAAUAAAUUAUUUUAUUUUUAUUUUAUUUUUUUUUAUUAAAAUAAAACUUUUGGACCAAAAAUAAAUUUAAUGUAUUUAAUUUUGUCUAUGCAUUUUUAAUCCAUUAAGCCCAAAUAUCAAUUGGGCCUAAAACUAGGAUUCUUUAAGCCCAAAACUAUUUUUAGACUUAAAUGCAAAAAAUUAAAACUUGACUGCCCAAGUGAAAAAUUAUGGAACCAUAGGGACCUCCAUGAUAAAAGCCAUGAAACCCUAAAUCCAUAUUUUUCUUUCUUUCUUCUUCCCCAGCCGCCAUCUCCAAAAUCCUCCUUCACUGUUCAGACGCCAGCCGACCUCCGACGCCGACGCCGACGCCAAACCAACUGCUGCCGCCUGGCCGGAAAACGUGCCAAAACCCGCGCGCAACUUUCUGCUGGCCUCGGCAGCGUUGCUUCCAGCUGCAGCACAUGCAGCGCGCGCUGCUGGCCACGCUGGCCGCGCGCGCUGCUUACUGCGCACAGCGCAGCGCGCGCUGCUUACUGCGCACAGCGCAGCGCGCGCCGCUGGCCAAUGUUGGCCGCGCGUGCUGCUUUGCUGCGCACAGCGCAGCGCGCGAUGCUGGCCAUUGCUGGCCGCGCACGCUGCUGCAGCAUGCCCUGGUUUGCUGCCGCUGUCAUAAUUUCCGGCCUCCGUCGCUCCGAUUUUGAAAAUCUGAGAUUAAUUUACAAAUUUCCUAGACCAAUUUUGGCUUACAAAAAUUCUAUAACUGUAAAAUAAAUCAAGAGGGAAACAUGGUGAUAAAAAACCACCCCUCUUGUUACAGAUCCAAAGAACAAUACAAAAGAAAAUCUAACCAUGAAUUAAGACAAACCAUAAGCAUGCUUUAUUCAUAUAUUAAAUAAAUAAUAUACAUCUGAAUAAAUUGUGCCACUCUAAUACAUAAAUUUCAAGAUUAAUUUCAUACGAAAUUCUUAUAUAUUAAUAUGAGAUGGCUCUGAUACCAAUUAUUGGGGAAAAAUCAGGUUUUUAAAUUUUUAUAAAACCUUUUGAAGAUCGCUCUCAUAUAAUAUAUAAGAAUUCGUAUUCUAGAAAUCGUACCUUGUAAAUCUGAGUUUGCUUUUUCCGCUGAAGUGAUUUAGGCUCCUAGAUCACGAUCCGCCACCACCACUCCUGUUAGAUCACGAUCCGUCACCACCACGCUUGUUAGAUCACAAACUGUCUCCAAUGAUCUUCCAGGUUAUGACUCAGGUUCGAUCUGCACUUGACGUGUGGGCGCCUUUAUCACUACCAAAGCAACUAGCACGAGAAAAUUUUUCUCUCAACAAUGGAGAGAAAAAUCUUAUUCUCUGAUUUGUAUAAAGUGGCUUCUUCUCUUCCUUUUUGGGAAAAUAAGCCUUAUAUAUCUCCCUUUAGUGAAAACCCUAGGCUCCAAGGAUUCCCCCAAAAUAAAACUCACGUUACUUUUCAUUUAAUAGGGGACCCACCAUGUAAAAUAACAUAAGGCCCCUUACACAUAAGCUUAUUAAAUGGAGCCUCCCACUAAAUGAUAUAUUUAGGCUUUUGACCCAAAUAGCUAGUUAUCUUGCUUAUUAGUCCAGCAGUGGUGCAAUCAAUUAAAUGAGCUAACCCGGGGAUCAUUUGGGAACAUACAAUAGUGGCUACAAUAAUUAGGCCUGUAAUUAAACUAGCCCAAUUAUUUAAUUCCAAAUCUACUCCACUAAAAGAUUGGAACUGACUUCCAUAAUUGUAUGCUCGAAUAAUAAUUCGUCCCAAGCCACAUUGAUUUCUUUACUGCACAAUCCUUUGUACCACAUCGUUAAUUAAAUUGAUAUCUCAACUGUCCAAUCAAUUUAAUAACAUCUUAUUCCUUGAUCCUUACUGGUUUUCUCUAAUGAUCAUUUUCAACAUACUAAAUAUGUUGACACACUCUGGCCAGAGAAUUCUAUGAUCAAGUACCGAAAACCCAUCAAGAGAUGUGUUGUACAAAUUCUAUAUUGUUAAUCCAUAACUCCAAUACUCAUAAUUGUUCCCACCAAGAUACCGGGUAAUCUAGACUACAAGUAUGUGUCAUGCCCAUUGGUAACUCAAAUGGAAUAACAAUUACAAUCAUGAAAUCAUAAUUAACUCAAGAUUAAGAUUACAGUAAAAUCAAUGCCUAUGAGAUUUAAUAAGUCUGACAGUUAUUACAAAGUUAAUUAAAUCUCAUAUGUGAUCCUGUUCAAUGUAGUCGUACUACAUCAAUAAAUUCAUACAUGAUUAAGACAAAUCAUUCAAUGAAUUUAUUACAGUCUAUACCUAAAUAAAGUGCCCAACUUUAUUUAUCAACUGCGAACUAAAUUUAUUUAAUCAUAAGAUAACUUGUAUUUAUGUCUUCUGUGAAUCCACAUGGUGAUCACAUAAAUACAUAUAAUAUGAUUAAAUGGACUUUAAUACAAGUAUUAAUGCAAUUAAGAUAUUUGAAUAAAAUACCUCAUUUAUUUUAUUAAUCAGAAAAAUUGUUUAUUACAAUUAAAUAAACACAUAUGCUUUUAAAGAGCAUAUUUUCCCAACAAUAGAAACCCUGACCCAAGCAAGACAGUCAAAAUAGAACUUGAUAAGAUUAUUAUUGUAAGUAUCUGCAGCAAAAGCAGUCUUAUCGAAGCCACUGCUGUUGAGAAUUGCAACCACUGAAAGCCCAGAUGGUCCCUCAAUCAAUAAAUCAAACAACUCCUCUCUGCCCCUUUCAAAUUCACUGAUAUCAAGCCGAGGUUGUCCCUCACUCAAUAGGCGAAUGAUUUUCUUACCUUGUUCACUGAUAUCAGAACCAUUGUCGCCGGGUGGAAGUUGUUGCAUCCGAUUUCUAAUAUCAAUGAUUUUACUGUGGAGUCCAACAAGAAGAGCCAUUUUAGUACUGCUUUCACUUUCGUUUUCACGGCUUUGCUGCUGCAUGAUGUUGAUGAAGAAUGCGUCAAUGGCUUCCUCAGACUCAUGGACAAAGUGAUUAAUGUCCUCCAGAAUUUCCAAAAUAUCUCCUCUUUUAACGUCUUCAUCGCUUUCUUCCAAGUCCAACAGUUGCAAAAAUGGCAAAGCUACUUCGAAUUCAUCGAAUUUUUGUCUGAUAAGUUGAAACAAAAGCCGAGCCACGUCAGCUUCAUAGUUCCUCAGGAGAGUAGUAGCAAUAAUUUCGGACUCCGUAAGAAGGUUUUGAAAAAGUGGAGUCACAUUUGUUGAAUCAGACAACGUUAACGCGCCUUCUUCAUCUGCUAACACCCUUUUCAACCUCUCACAAAAUAGUCGGAGAUGGACGUCCAGCAUAUCUUCUCCUUCUCACUGUAGCAGCCAGAGGUAUUGUUAUUUGCUCCAAGAAAUGUUAAAAGGAUUGGCAAGGAAGAUGCCAAGAAACUGGCGAAGCCGCUAAAUUCCACAAAUACGCGUGCCUUCUGAAAAGAACAGGUAUCCAACCUUCAUCUUGAUUUCUGCCAUGACAUAAUUGAUGGUGCUUGAAUCAAUUUUUUCUUUUUCUUUUUUAAUUUAAAAAAUUUUGCUUUAAAAAAAAAAAAUCAAAAUGCCUUCAAAUUUUACAAAUUUCAGAAUCUGAAUGAUAAUUUUUUCAAAUUUGAAAGAUGUAAGUAUUUUUUUUUUCUGAUAAUUUAUUUCACUUUUGAGGAAAUCCGAAAACGUUAAAUACGUUCUUUACCUUUAUGAAAAAAAAGUGAAAAUCAAGAACUAUUCAAUUUUGUUUUUAUUUGUAAUUCAAAAACUUUAUUUAUUUUCGAUGCUUUUCAAAAGAGAUUCCUCUGAUCCAUCUAGCAUCUGCAACCCCUGCUCCUCUUACAAAUCUCCACCCCACAUCUACACUAUGAAACAAGUUGAUGGAAAUCGAACAAUUGCUUUUUGAUGUGGACCCAUUGGUCAUCAUUGUCUAUUCUUCCUAAUGAGCCAUUUAUUUUGACCUUUGGCGAUCUUAUCCGGACCACUCCAAUUAUUUAUGUAACUCCAAAGGUUGCAUCUACAGUUGAAUGUAAGAUAGUGAUAGCUCUUCCGUUGCAACGUGCUAGUAUAAAUUUCUUUACCUUACAGUUUAUACGGUCUUGCUGUUAAUGAAUUCGCUGAGGCAUUAUUGAUCCAAUCUGAGUGAAGUAAUUGUGGGUGAAAAAUAAAUAAAGGAUAACAGAACGGAGCUGAAGUGCUGAAGUGGCUAUUAAAGAAGAGUGUCACUCGAUCACAAUCACAUUGAUGCACAACUCACCCGUGGCAAAUUUCGACUGUACAUACUGCAAAUUCACCCAAACCAUACAUGCAUGAACAAAACUAAAAUGUAGUUCUAAUCACAACUGUAAUUAAAGCUACAAAAGGCAGCAAAUCCAAAAACUUAAAAGGAAGAUUUUAUUGAAGUUUGUCCCCAAAAGACAGCUGAAAUGAAAAAUUAUUGACUAUUGAGUGGAUCAAUGCUGAAUUACAUUUGAAAUGGAAAGCAUGGCUGCAGUUACGAUGUUUCCCACUCUGAUUUUCCUCCAAAACAAAUUCAGUUGUAAACAAUAACUCUCAAAUUUUUUCAACUAACAAAUCCUCUUGUCUAAACUAAAAAAAUUCAUCUCUAAAAUCUAUCUGCAAAUUAUUGAAAAUGAUGGGUGAUUUAUCAACUCGAUAAAUAAACCCGUGCAUAAUGUUAACAAUAAAGAUAAAUUACAUAAUAAUUAUUAUAAAGAAUCAUAAAUUAGAAAAAUUAAUCAUUUCACAAUCUAUUACGUAAGUAAGAUAAAUCUCAUAAUAAGUUAAGUUAUAAUGUAAUUAAUAUUUUCAAUAUGCUAAGAUAAAAUUGGUCCUAUCUCAAAGUAGUUAGCGGUGUAAAAUUAAUUAAUUAAACACCAUGGAAGAAUUUGCAAGGAAUAUGCUAAGAAACUGGCUAAGUAGCUAAAUUCCACAAAUACGAUAUUAUUGCUCAUUUUUUUCUCAGAAACAUGAUGCGCGUUCAUUUAGAAAAAAGCCAAAGACGCGUGCCUUUUGAAAAGAACAGGUAUCCCAAUCGGUAUCCAACCUUUAUCUUAUUUAAUUACUACCAUGACAUAAUUGAUGGUGCUUAAAUCAAUUGUUUCUUUUUUAAUUUAAAGAAUUUUUCAUUAAAAAAAUAUUUUAAUACCAAAAUGCCUUCAAUGACAUUACUGCCGCAAGCCCAGUACAGGAUUAAUUAAAAAUUUUAGAAUUUUUGGGCAUGGAAAGAGUAGUAUUAAACAUCAGAAAGCUAAGGUUGUUAUGUUAAAGAAUUGAUAUUGACAUAAUUUUAUUUUGGUUUUCAAGGAAAAAAAACAUAUUUGUUGACAAGCAAGAAUUAUUUUUUUGUAUUUUACAAUCUUUUAUUAAAUAUUUUAUCAUAUUAAAGUAAUUUUAAUAAUAAAUAGAAACAUAAUAUUACAAUAAAUAAAUUAAAGUUUAAAUUAUUUUGAAUAUUAUAAAAAAUAAUUUUAAUAUUAUUAAUAGGAAGAUAUUUUGUUAAUUGUAAAAUCGUUUUAACCCAAAGGUUUAUUUCAAAUCUUUAUAAUAAAUAACUAUGGCCAAUGAGCCGUGCCGGCACAUCAACUGUCGGCCCAUAAGGGCUCGUGGGCCGGCACGGCACGGCCCACCAAUCGUGCCUACCUUUUUUUCAGUUGAGCCCAACACAGCACACGGCACGAGUCCACUCGUGCCGUGCCGUGGGCCGUGCCCAAAAAAAACCCACCAACUUUCUUUUUUUUAGCAUGCUUAAAAAAGUCCACGUGACUGGCGUGCUUUAUUCAAGUCCAUGUGCCUGACGUGCUUUUUUAAGCCCACCAACAUAAUAAUAAUAAUAAUAAUAAUAAUAAUAAUAAUAAUAAUAUUCAUAAUCAUAAUCAUAUUAAUUUUUAUUAAGAGAGCAAUUAACAUUUUAUUAUUAAUUUUGUAAAAUUUUUUAUUUUUUAUUUAUAAUUUAUAAAUUUAUGAUAUUUAUAAUUUUAUUUAUUAAAAUCAUGAUAUUUAGUUAUUUACUUAUUCGUUUAAUAAAUUAUAAACAUAAAUAAAUAAUUAAAUAAAUAUCAUAAAUAAAAUUAAAUAUCAUAAAUAACAUUAUUCAUUUAAUAAAUAUCAUAAAUAAAAUUAUGAUAUUUAUAAUUUUAUUUAUUAAAAUGAUGAUAUUUAUAAUUUUAUUUAUUAAAAUGAUGAUAUUUACUUAUUCAUUUAAUAAAUUAUAAACAUAAAAAAUUAGAAUAUUUAUUUAAACUAAGAUUUAAUGAUUUAAAUUAAUUUUUAAAAGUCUAUGCUAAAAAAUAUAUUAAAACAUUUAAUUUCAAGAUAUUUUACUUUAAUUUCAUAACAUUUUAUAUUUACUUUUUGUUAAAAAAAUUUACUUAGAUAUAUUUUGGCCCACGUGCUAUUGAUGGCUCACGGGCCGUGUGCUAGCCCACCAAUGAACCGUGCUUAUUACGUGCUUUUUUGCGUGCCGUACUUUGGCCCAUCUCUAAUUGUGCCGUGCUUUAAGGCUCGCGUGCCUAAAAUUCUAGGCCCGGCACAGCCCACGUGUGUGCCGUGCCGUGCCUUGUGCCUCACUGAAACGUGCUCAUGCCGUGCCGUGCCGUGCCGUAUGGACACGUGCCGUGCCCGUGCCGUGCCACGUGCCGCCCGGCCCAUUGGCCAUCUCUAAUAAUAAACACCAAUAUAAAAUUAAAUAUCAUAAUUUAAAAUUUUUAAUAUUGUUUUAAAGAUUAAAACUAUUUUAAUGUUAUUAGUCUACCACAUAGAUUAUAUUACUUAUAUUAUAUUUUGUAUUGAUUAAAAAAUUUUAAAAUCAAUUUUCUAAUUACUAUAUUCAUGAGGUAUUAUGAUUAAAGAAAAGAUCUUGGUGUUACUUUUUUAAAAUUUGAGGGUUGCAUGAUAGUUUUGCCAAAUUUUAAGGAUGUAAGUGUCCUGUUUUCUGAUAAUUUAUUUCAAUUUUGAGGAAAUCCAAUGAGAAAUAUGGUAAGAGAACGUCAAUUACUUGUCAUUUUCUAUUUUUUCUAUGAGCCAUUUAUUUUAAGCAUUAGUGAUCUUAUCUGGACCACUCCAAUUAUUGAUGCAACUCCAGUGGAUGCAUCCACAGUUGAAAAUAUGAUAGUGUUAGCUCUUAUUUGAGAAUUUAGAGGGAUUUUUUUUUUUUUAUUUCUCAAUUGCAACGUGCUAGUAUAAAUUUCUUUACCUUACAGUUUAUAUAGUCUUGCUGUUAAAGAAUUCACCGAGGCAUUAUCGAUUCAAUUUUAGGGGAGCAAUUGCGGGUGAAAGAUAAAUAAAGGAUAAGAGAACAGAGCUGAAGUGCUAAAUUGGCUACUGAAGAAGGGUGUCACAUAAUCACAAUCACAUUGAUGCACAACUCUCUGGAGGCAAAGUUUGUCUAUAUGUACUCUAAAUUCAACCAAACCAUACUUGCAUGAACAAAAAUUAAACCGUAGUUCUAAUCACAACAGUAAUUGAAGCUACAAAAGCCAGCAAAUAUGAACAGAGACUUAAAAGAAAGAUCUUAUUCAAGUUUGUCCCCAAAAGAGGGCUGAAAUGAUAAAUAUUGACUAUUGAAUGGGUCAAUGCUAAAUUACAUUUCAAAUGGAAAGCUUGGCAGCCGUUACUAGGGGUGGGCAUCAGAUUGGAUUUGGAUCAAUCCGAACCAAUCCGAACUUGUUCGGAUCGGAUUCGGAUUGACCUCCAAAUCCGAUCGGAUAAAAACUUUACAAUCCGAUCGGAUUUGAUUUGGAUUGGUUCGGAUUUGGAUCAAUCCGAUCGGAUUGCACUUUGCAAUUAAAAAAAAUUAAUUGAACUAUAAAUAAAAAAAUAAAAGUUAAACGGCAGCCCUAAACUAAAUCCCUAAAAUCCCAAAUUAGAAAGGAUGAAAGAAGCCCUUGCAACCGUACGAACCCAGCUAAAGAAUCGAAGAAGCACUUGUAGGUUUCAGUUGCACGAACCCAUCCUCAUGAACCCAGCCAAAGAAUUGGAGAAGCCGCACGAACCCAGCUCAUCUCUUUGAGUCUCAAGUAGUCGACACCUUAGCUGCACAUCGACAAAGUCAACCGCUGAGCCCGUGAGCUGCACGUUGCUACGCUUCCAACUGAAGCCGCAGCCACAAGUUGAUGUCCCAAACCUAGCCGCUGCAUCUAUUUGAUUAUUGCAAGGGUUUCCAAUGGAGUUGAUCUACCAAAGCUUGUGAGUCGCAUGGGAAUAAGAAUAGAUACUUCGAUUUUAAAAAAAUUGCAGAGAUUUGGGUCUUUUGUGCUUUCAAUUUUUGUAUUUCUUUUCUCUAUUUCCUGGCUUGCUGCUUUUUUUCUUGUUUGCGUGAUUUCAAUUUUGCAUUACAACUUGAAAAUGACUUGGAUUCAUUUGAUUUAUUUGAGCAAAUCUGAAUCCAAUUUCAAUAUGAUAUUACCGAUGCGAGAAUCCGAAUUAAUCUAAAUUAUCCAUCCGAUCCGAAUAUAAUAUUCGGAUUGGAUUCGGAUCGGUUUUGAAUUCGGAUUAUAAUUGGAUGAUUUUUUCACCAAUCCGAACAGUCCGAGAUCCGAUCGGAUUGAUCAAAAUUCGAUCCAAAUCCGAAUUUGCCCACCCUUAGCCAUUACAAUGUUUCCCCCUCUGAUUUUCCUCCAAAACAAAUUCAGUUGUAAACAAUAACCGAAGUAGAAAUAAUUUAUUCAUUAAAGAAAAUACCCAAGUUUUCAAGUAACAAACCCUCUUGUCUAAACUAAAAAAAAAACUCAUAUCUCUAAAAUCUAUCCGCAAAAUGUUGGAAAUGAGGAGUGAUCUGUCAACUCUGUAAAUAAACUUAUGCAUAAUAUUAACAAUAAUGAUAAAUAGUCAUGAUUAUUGUUUAAAUGUGUAAAUGGCCUGGGCAUAGCCCGUAAUACCAAUAUCCAUUUGCCUUCAUUUGGAUUAUCACAUUUCAUGAUAUUCUUUCAUUCAUGACUAUUGUUCGAGAUUCGAACUUGAUCAUAAAUUAAGUUGCAAGGGAGUUUACUUAAGUUUCUAAACUUUUCAAUCGUGAUUCCUCCAUGCCUUUCUAUACCAUUUUGUUACGUGCCAAUGUAACUGACCUUGUAAUUGGUGUGUAUAAGGAAUCAUGCCCUUUCAGGAUCGUUUUCUUUUGUUUCCUUAUGUAAUGUCAAAUAAAUAAAGAAUGAACAAUUGAAAUUGGUCUAUUUCGAGGAAAACCAAGGCCUGCAAUAUUAGAUGAACUUUGAACAAAAUUAAUCUACUGCUUUUAUUCAUCUUUGGACUAUGAAUUUAUACAAGGACUUUAACAGAAAAUAACAAAGACACAGCUAAAUGAUAGCACCAAGUGCUGAAUUAGUGGACCACUUCUAUAAGUAAAUAAAAACUAAAUAUUUAUUUUGACUAUAACAACAGCUGCCCUGAUGAACAGGACUCCACAGCAACCACUUGAAAGCUCAUUUCUCCUUAAUAUUAUUAUUAGUAGAAGUAGAUUUUCAAACUAGUCUUGAUAUAUUUUAAAGUUGUAUUAUCAAUGUAUAUGUAUCUAUAUUGUACCUAUAUUUUUAAAAAAUAAAAAUUUUUAAUUAUUGCACAAUAAAUGUAGAAAAAUAUCUAUAAAAUAAUAUUAUUAGGACUAAAAAAAUAUUAUUUUAGAUAAGUUAUUUAUUCAUUAUUGAAUAAAUAAUCUAUUAAUUUAUUGAUAAAUGAAUAUUUAUUAAUUUAAAGAGAGAUUAUUUUUUGGUUUUGAGAAGAGUUUGUUUGGUACAUGUACACACUAAUAAAGAAACACAAAAAGUGCUUCCUCAAGUUAAUAGUAUUUGCUUUAAUCGCUACAAUUCAUAAUAAUAUAGCUUAGUUAGGAAAUUUGUAAUUAUUCUAUGGCUACGUUUGAUACAACUUUUUAAGUAGAGUUUAUUUAAGUAGAGUUUUUAUUAGUAGAAUUUUUAUAAAUAUAACUUUUACUAAAAAAAAUUUAAUUAUUUGGUUGUCAAAUUGAUGAACUUAUGUUCUUUUGUUAACAUCUGUUUGUUUUACUUAAUAAUAAAAAUUAGUUUACAAUUACACCGGUGUUAAAUCAGCAGAGCAUUUUUGCAGCCAGUCACAUCAUACAUUAUACUAAUAGCAUCGACAAGUGUGAAGCCUGGUGUAGUUAUCCCUGUUGAUGUGACUAAAAAAAUGUUGGAACUUAAUUCCUCACAAGAACCACCUCAAAAUGAGAGCAUGUUACAGCAACCCAGCCAUCAAGAUAUUGGUACUAGUGAUCAAGUUACAUCAACUGUGGAAAGGACUCAACCAAUAAAUGCUGAAGAAGAAGUUGCAACACCAGUGGUGACAACUCACAAUAAAACAAAUGAGCAGAGAUUGGUGCCUCCUGAAGUUGCCCAGCAAUUUAGGCAUCCACCCCCUUUCCCACAGAGAUUCCAGAAACAAAAACAAGACAAUCAAUUUAGUAAAUUCUUGGAAGUGCUGAAGCAAUUACACAUCAACAGACCUUUUGUGGAAGUAUUUGGGCAAAUGCCUAAUUAUGUGAAAUUUCUAAAAGACAUCUUGGCAAGAAAAAGAAUGUUGGGAGAAUUUGAAACUGUUUCUUUGACACAGGAAAAUAGUCAUAUUCUCCAAAGUAAGAUUCCUAAAAAAUUGAAGGAUCCAAGAAGCUUCACAAUACCAUGUUUUAUUGGAACUAGGUAUAAUGGCAGAGCACUAUGUGAUUUGGGAGCCAAUAUUAAUCUGAUGCCAUUAUCAAUAUUUAAGCAGUUGGGAGUAGGAGAAUGUAGGCCAACAACAGUCACUCUGCAAUUAGCUAACAGAUCUCAUGCAUAUCCUGAAGGAAAAAUUGAGGAUUUACUGGUGAAGGUUGGCAAGUUCAUUUUUCCAGUGGAUUUCAUUGUACUAGACUUUGAGGCUGAUAAGGAGGUACCCAUUAUACUUGGAAGACCUUUCCUAGCAACUGGGAAAACUCUGAUAGAUGUGCAAAAAUGAGAGCUAACAAUGAGGGUGAAUGACCAACAAGUCACAUUCAAUGUAUUAGAGGCUAUGAAGGACCCUGAUUAGGCAGAAGAUUGCAACUUCCUGAGUGUUGUGGAUUUUAUUGUAGCAGACAGAAUCGACAGAUGCUGCAGUAAUGAGGUCAUCAAGGUUGCCACCUUUGAGAGCUUUGAAGAAUAAAAUGUUGCAGCAAAUCAGAUAGAUUGUAUGGGAGAAAGACAAUCUAAUAGACAUAGCAGAGUUGUUGAACCUCUGAAUCUUUCAGACAGGGAAGUAAAAGCAACUUUACCAUCUAUUGAAUCACCUCAUACUCUUGAAUUAAAACUGUUACAUUCACAUUUGAAAUAUGCUUAUCUUGGUCAGAACAAUACACUUCCUGUAAUCAUUUCAUCUACUUUGGAUGCAGGUCAAGAAUAGAGCCUGGUAGAUAUGCUUGGGAAAUACAGAAAAGUAAUUGGAUGGACCAUGACAGACAUUAAAAGGAUCAGCCCAUCCAUAUGUAUGCAUAAAGUUAUGUUAGAAGACUGCUACAACAACUCAAUGGAGCAACAGAGAAGGUUAAACUCCAUUAUGAAGGAAGUUAUAAAGAAAUAAAUCAUCAAAUGGUUAGAUGCUGGGAUCAUAUACCCAAUAUCAGACAGUUCAUGGGUGAGCCCAGUGCAAUGUGUUCCAAAGAAGGGAGGAAUAAUAGUGAUAGCAAAUGAGAAGAAUGAGCUUAUUCCUACAAGAACAAUGACUGGAUGGAUGGUAUGUAUGAAUUACAAGAAGCUCAACAAAGCCACUCGGAAGGACCACUUCCCACUUCCAUUCAUAGAUCAAAUAUUGGACAGACUUACUGGAAAAUAAUACUACUGUUUCCUAGAUGGGUAUUCAGGCUACAACCAAAUUACUAUAGCUCCAGAGGAUCUGGAAAAGACUACAUUUACCUGUCCUUAUGGAACUUUUGCCUUCAGAAGGAUGCCUUUUGGUUUGUGCAAUGCUCCAGCAACUUUCCAGAGAUUUAUGAUGUCUAUUUUUUCAGAUAUGGUAGAGCAAACACUGGAAGUCUUCAUGGAUGAUUUCUAAGUCUUUGGAGAAACAUAUACUGAUUGUUUACACAACUUGGAAGAAGUUCUUAAAAGAUGUGAGAUGACUAACUUAGUACUCAAAUUGGGAAAAAUGUCAUUUCAUGGUGCAAAAAGGCAUAGUAUUGGGUCAUAAGGUGUCCAAGAAUAGUAUAGAGGUAGAUAAAGUAAAGAUAGAAGUGAUAGAUAAACUGCCACCUACCACUUCAAUCAAGGGGAUUAGAAGUUUUUUGGGUCAUGCUGGGUUUUACAGAAGAUUCAUUAAAGACUUUUCUAAGGUAGCUAAACCAUUAUGCUCAUUGCUAGAACAUGACAAGCCUUUUUAUUUUGAUUAAGACUGUCUUCAAGCCUUUGGAGAAUUAAAGAAAGCUUUGAUCACUGCACCAGUGGUUAUAUCACCAGAUUGGACUCUACCAUCUGAACUAAUGUGUGAUGCCAGUGACCAUUCUAUUGGGGCAGUGUUGGGGCAGAGAAAGGAUAAGGUUUUCCACUCUAUAUACUAUGCCAGCAAAACUCUUACUCAAACUCAGAUUAAUGACACCACUACAGAGAAAGAGUUACUAGCAGUAGUAUUUGCUUUCGAUAAAUUAAGAGCUUACUUGGUGGGUGUUGUGCAAAUUUUAUUGAACUCGCAAGUGCACGAAUCUAUUGUAGAAUAGAUCAAUGGUGACGAGUGUCGAUCCCACGAGGAGGUAGAUUUUUAUUGUGUGUAGAAUUAAUUUUUCUAAAUGAGUGGUUGGAUUUGUGGUGAAAGUAACUUAGAUUAUCCUAAAAUUUGAAUUAAAAUGACGAGAAUAAAUUGAAGCGAAAUCUAUUGAAAUGACACACUUGGGUAUCUAGAUCCAUAUCAACAUGCUCCAUGGGCUAAAUAUUCCUUAUUAGUGCCAAUUAAAUCAUGAGGGGGGAAUCCACACCUCAUAAACUACACUCUAAUCAAUAUGGUGCUAAGGGCUUAUCGUGCCAAAUAAUAAUAACAACCUUGUACUAGGGAGUCGGUGAAACCAGGGCGGUAUCUAGACAAGAUUAUUAUUAUUUGUCGACGAGAAGUCAAAACAUCCACAAAAACUAGAGGGGAAGAGAAAAUAAAUUUACUAAAUAAAGCCCAUGACACAUGUUGAGACUUCACCUUCAACCCAAGCUUGAAAGAAAAUUAGCUACUCAUAAUUGAACUAGGGACAAAAUGAAAAUUUAUUAAAAUACGUAGAAAAUACAAGAUGGAGAAUGAAUUAUAGAAAAUUGAGCCUAAAAAUGGAUUCAGAGAUAUCAAAUUAGAGGGGGGGAGGCUCCCUUUUUAUAGAUACAUUGAGUAAAUCAUGGCAAUCAGAUUAAAAACAGUUUGGACGCUCAGGAUUGUGCCACGUCAUCAGUCAACAGUACGCGGUUUGAAUAGUGACACGGUUUGACCACACGGUUUGAACAGUCAACCGGCUUGAAUAGUGAUGCGGUUUGGUUGAAAAUAAUCCUAUGUAUAUGCAUGUACCGUGCGCACGAUUUUUGGUCCACUAAAAUGCUGCCACGUCACCGAUCAACAGUGUAAAUAAAUUUUGUCCAAUAGAAUCCUGACACCUCAUCAGUUAAUGCCACAUCAUCGGUCAAUACCACGUUAUCAUUCUGUAUGUGUGAACAGUGUCAUGAACAGUAACAUGGAUAGUAUCGUACAUAUGAAUAGUGCCAUACAUGUGAACAUUGAUAUUUUUCUUUUUAUGCUCCUCCUAAGGUUUUCGACUGUCUUGAGUUCAAAAGUGAUGUCCGUUUUACCGUGUGAUUUCUCGUUCAUUGUGAAAUGACCAUGAUGCCCCUAAAAUACAUAAAAUACUUAAUUAAAAUAAAACACACGUAAUUAAAUCACAAGAAGCUUAAAUACAUAAAAGUAAGGGUGUUAGUAAGACUUGAAAUGUAAAAUGACGAUUUUCUCCUUUAUAAAUAUACAUUUUCUAACACUCAACACCCCCCAACCAGCUUAUUGCUAGUCCCUAGCAAAUAAAGCGAAAACAAAAUUCAAACCCAAAAUAAUUUUUUUUUUAAACAAUUUUGUUUAUUCAAUCAGACUAAUGAUAGCAAUCAAAUAAAAGUAUAAGCAUUAUCUCUAGUCUAAAGAAACAUCAAACCCACAUCAACCAUCCACAUGAAUCAGCCCAGUGGACUUUGUCACAGCUGUUUUCAAAAAUGACAUGUCAAACCCCAAAAUCUCACUAGAAGUAGUGACACUCUCAUAAGGAAAUUAAACCCAAUAAAAAUAGUCACUUCAAUGAAUGCUAAAUUUGAGAGAAAAUAAUAAAGAAGUAAUGUCACACGCUCUCACCAAGAUGAAAGAAAUAUGCCCUUAGCUCAGAAAUAAUACGAUCUCAAGUCAAACAAAAAUGCUAGUCAACCCAAUUUAUUUAUUUAUUUUAUUUUUUAUUAUGCAUCACUACAACUUUUUGGCCCAUAUAAUUAGCUUCUACUUCAGACUAUAGUUCCCUAAAAUCAAGAAGGACUUUUAUUAGGACAUAACGUAGGCUAGGGACAUAGCUAACAAAGGAGUGAAAAUAAGGAAAACAAAGUGUAUGUUUGAGAAAAAUGCAGAGAUUUUUUUUUUUUGAAAGUUGCAAGGUGGAUUUCACCUAUUAUUGUUAUUUUUUUUAACAACAAUUUUUUUUGUUUUUUUGUUUUUGCUUUUGUUUGGCACAACUUCACUGAACAAAAUAAUUAUUUACAUUUUUCUCAAACAUAAAUAGGUGACGGAACUUGUAAGAUAUCGGAUAAUACUCCAAAUCGGAGUGGUUCUAGAUGAUAAGUUUGACAAAGAAAAUGUUUUUUUUUUUAAAAGGCUCAAAAGGGUUAACUAUGGAUAUUUCACAGAAGGGAUGACAGAAAGACUCAAACGGAUCUGCAGUUUCCUAAUCUGACUUAUGCAUUCCCUAGGCUUCCAUUUACCCUAACUUUCAACUAUAAAAGAAGCACACAUCAUAAGGAUUAAGGAGAGCCAUCACCCAAGGAGAAAAACACAAAGAAACAAAAGAAAAACAAGAUUCAAGAGAGAGAUUAAGGGUUGCACAAGAGGAAAAAUUGCAGAGAUCAAUUGGGAGCUCAAUCCUUCUUAUCCUUCUCUUGUUUUCGUGUUUUCUAUUUAUUCAUGGGGAUGUGUUUCAUGGCUGAAAUUUUAUUCUUUAUUUUUCUUUUGCAAAUCAUGAACUAAAUUUAUUUGUAGUUGAGUGAUAAACAAUCUUGAUGGUUUAUUGACUGGAAAUAUGUGUUGCUGCAUGUUUGCUGUAGCAGUUUGUUUUGAUAGUAUUUAUUUUUAUUCAUUAUUUCGGCUGAUCAUCCAUUUAAUGAUACAAGUUAGGAGAGAGACGCAAAAUGGCCUAUCUUAGUGGAACAUAUCAAAGCAAUACUUGAUCUUAAAUUGGGUUUCCCGGAUUGAGUUUUACUUGAGUCCCAAAAGGGCCAUGCUUGAUUUAAGAUUAGUGGUGAACUAGACAUAAAGAUUCACCUUGUAGGAUAAAUAGAACCUAAGCGUGUAAUGUUAUAUCUUAUGUUGGCAUAACAACUGAUCACUGUUAGGUUGCAUAUAGCUAUAAGAUAUCCAACAUGCGACGGCUGAGGAUACAUAAGGAUUCUGCCCAGUGCUAUAGUAGAUACUGCAGCAACCGAGCCAACCAUUAGAAAAUAGUCAAGACCAUUAGGAGAGUUUAUUCACUCAAUUACUUUAUAUUCCCAUUGAUUUUAUUCUUGAGAUUGACGUGAUAAUUUACUUUGUUGCAUUUUAUUUAUUACGUUUUUAUUUUAAUUAGUAGAUUAGUUUCAUUAAUUGUUUUAUUUUAUUUUAGCAUAAAAUCUGCACUGUUAAGAUUGCUGUAGCAAAUAUCAUAACAUCAAUCCAUGUGGAGACGAUCUUGAAUACUCAUCACUUUAUUACUUGUUGUGUACACUUGCAUAAUGACACCAAUAGCAUUAGUAUGUUAGCAUACAUGCAUCCAUAAUGUUGAUUUUGAUGAUAACAAAUAAGAUUAAGAAUGAUUAAGUUUUUAAAAGCUCAAAUUAUUUUAAAUAAAUCAUUAUUUUCAUAAUAUAAAGGUUUUAUACUUAAUGGAAAAAUGAUUUUAUGAAAUUGGUUGUUUUCAAUUAAUGUUUUAAAUUGAAAAAGUUUUGAAAAUCUGGAAAUGGACUUAUUUGUAAAGUUUUAUGACUAUUUGGGCCAUAGUAUAAUUAUAGAAAGUUUUGGGGUAAAACUAUAAUUUUAGAAAAUAAUUUCACUGUAGCGAUCACUGUAGCAAACGGCUAACCGUUUACUGAAAAUGGUUAACCGAUAAUUUCUAGAAAGCAUAUUUUGUAAAGUAUUGUUAAAAUGAUGAUUGUGGAAAAUAACGGUGAACUGUUUAGUGAAAACGGUGAACCGAUUAUUUCCAUAUUGCUAACCUUGAACCGUUUAGUGAGAACGGGUAAGCUAAAUUUAUUUUACAGGUCUCUGGAAAUUAACGGUGAACCGCUAGUGACAAACGGUCAACCGUUUAUUUGAAAUUCAGCUCAACGGUAACUUUGACCAGAAUAAACGGUUAACCGUUUACAGUUAACGGCGAUUCGUUUAUGGGCAAACAGUCAAUAACGGCUAGUUUUUCAACUCCAACUAUAAAUAAGCUCAAUCCAAUUCAAACAAGGAGAAUUCCAACGAUCAUCAUUGAGCAAAUUAUUGAGAAUACAAUUUUCAUUGAGCUUUAAAUCCUUGUAUUCAUCUCAUUCAUUCACACAUUGAGCUUUCAUUUGUGAUCAAACACAUUGUGUGAGAGAAAUUCAUUUGUAAUCCUUUUUGUAAAAUCAAGUUAAAAGAUUGUAAGUGUUGGGAUACACUUGGGUUAAGAGAUUGGGGAUAAUCUCUUGUUGUGAAGGUCUAUUGACACCUUGGAAGUCAAUUGUAAGCAUUUGAAGCCUUGGAGGCUUGCUUAGUGAAAUCCUCAAGCCCGGUGAGCUUGGAGGCGUGGACGUAGGCGGGGAUUGCCGAACCACGUAAAAAUCAUUGUGUUUGUUUUCUCUUCCCUUAAUCUUUUUAUUGUGCUUGAUUGAUUUAUUUGUUAUUGCUUUAAAUCCAUCUUAGAUUUGCAUUGAGUUUUGUUUUAAAAUUGAAUAAUUUUUAAUAUCCCAAAUCACCCCCCUCUUGGGUUGCAUAACUAGAACUUCAUUUGGUAUCAGAGCGAGGUGCUCUUGCGUAGACUUAACCGUCUAGAGUUUAAAGAUCCAUAGCAACCCAAAUUAGCUCAACCAUCAUGGAAGGCCAAUCUACAACUAGACCUCCAUUUUUUGAUGGAAAUGAUUAUCCUUAUUGGAAUACUAGGAUGAGAAUCUUUUUACAAGCCUUAGAUUAUGAAAUAUGGGAAAUAGGUUGUGAUGGUUCAUUCAUUCCUAGGAAGAAUGCUUUAAGUGAGUUGGAUGGAAAAAAUAUGUCUUUAAAUUCCAAGGCUAUGAAUGCUUUAUUUUGUGCCUUAGAUAAAAAGGAAUUUCAUAGAGUUUCAAAUUGUUCUAAUGCUUAUGAAAUUUGGAGAAAACUUGAAGUUGUGUAUGAGGAGACUACAAACGAGGAAGAAUCUCAUGAAGUGUCAAAUUUGGCACUUAUGGCAAUUGGAGAUAAAUCGGAUGAUGAACUUGAUGAGGUAAGUGAUCUUCCUACUUAUGAUGAAUUACAUGAUGCGUUUAAAGAAUUGCAUGAUGAGUGGAUGAAAAUUGGUAAAAAGAAUACAUGUCUUAAAAGAAAAUGGUAGAGAUUUCAAAUGAAAAUGAAUCUCUAAGUGCAAAAAUUGUAUGCCUAGAACUAGAGAAUAAAAAAUUGCAUGAUAAAGUUGCAUUAUCAAAUGAGAAAUGUAGCACUUCGCACAAGCAUCUAGAAUCACAUGUAGAUGACUUGAAAAAUGAAAAAGAUGCCUUGCAAAAAUGCAAUGUUUCAUUAAAUGAAAAGAUCAAAGAAUUGAAAUUAGAUAAUGAAAUGUUACAUGAUAGGAUUGCAUCAUUUAAAUGUAAACAAAGUACUUUAUAUGAGCAUGAGAAAUCACAUGUUGAUGAAUUAAUGAAAGAAAAUGAAGUGCUUAAGAAGAAGAGCAAUAAGUUAAAUGAGAUUGUUGUUGGUGUAUAAAUACUAAUGAUAUUGGUGUCAAUGUGCAAGUGUACACAACAAGUAAUAAAGUGAUGAGUAUUCAAGAUCGUCUCCACAGGGAUUGAUGUUAUCAGAUUUGCUACAGCAAUCUUAACAGUACAGAUUUUUGUGCUAAAAUAAAAUAAAACAAUUGGUGAAACUAUUAUACUAAUUAAAAUAAAGCGCAAUAAAUAAAAUGCAACAAAGUAAAUUAUCACGUCAAACUCAAGGAUAAAACUAAUGGGAAUAUAUAGUAGUUGAGUGAAUAAACUCUCUUAAUGGUCUUGACUAUUUUCUAAUGGUUGGCUCGGUUGCUGCAGUAUUUGCUACAACACUGGGCAAAAUCCUUAUGUAUCCUCAGCCGUCGCAUGUUAGAUAUCUUAUAUUUAUAUGCAACCUAACAGUGAUUAGUUGCUAUGCCAACAUAAGAUAUAGCAUUACACGCUUAGGUUCUAUUUACCCUACAAGGUGAAUCCUUAUGUCUAGUUCAUCACUAAUCUUAAAUUAAGCAUGGCCCUUUGGGACUCAAGUAAAACUCAAUCCGGGAAACUCGAUUUAAGAUCAAGUAUUGUUCUGAUAUGUUCCAAUAAGAUAGGCCCUUUUGCGGCUCUUCCUAACUUGAAUCAUUAAAUGGGUGAUCAACCAAAAUAAUGAAUAAAAAUAAAUACUAUCAAAACAAACUGCUACAGCAAACAUUCAGCAACACAUAUAUUCAGUCAAUAAACCAUCAAGAUUGUUUAUCACUCAACCACAAAUAAAUUUAGUUCAUGGUUUGUAAAAGAAAAAUAAAGAACAAAGUUUCAGCCAUGAAACACAUCCCCAUAAAUAAAUAGAAAACGAGAAAGCAAGAGAAGAAUAAGAAUGAUUGAGCUCCCAAUUGAUUUCUGUAAAUUCUCCUCUUGUGUGGCCCUUAAUCUCUCUCUUGAAUCUUGUUUUUCUUUUGUUUCUUUGUGUUUUUCUCCUUGGGUGACGGCUCUCUCAAUCCUUAUGAUGUGUGCUUAUUUUAUAGUUGAAAAUUAGGGUAAACGGAAGCCUAGGGCGCGCAUAAGUCAGAUUAGGAAACUGCAGAUCACAAUUCUGCAAGUAUCCCGCACGAAAUUUUCUCUGUCGUUGUUCCAAGAUUGCUACAGCAAUGGCUACAGUAAUGGUUGCUACAGCAACGGCUACAACAACUGCACUGUUCCAGAUUUAUUUCAAUUCUUUUAUAGCCAUGUUCUUUCCUUAUUUUUGCAAGCCUAUUGCAUAGCAUUCCUUCCAUGAAUUAUAAGCUUCUGGAAACCUACAAUUAUGCACACAAUUUAAGCACAAAUUACUUUAAAUCGAGCAAAACUUAUUAAGAUGGACUAAAAUGAUUAUUUAUGUAAAAUGUAAUAAAAAUGCAAUAGAAACACGUAAUUUACUCUCUAAGUAGUAUUGAUUUAAGUCUAAAAGUGCCAUGAUAACUCUCAUUUCAUAGAGUUAUCAAUUGUCUUAAAAUUUACAAAUGGACAAAAGAUGUUAGAUAACUUGCUUAAUUCAUAAAAAUGUGUGUUUGACAAAGGAGGUAUUGGCUAUAAGCCUAAUUUGAAACAAAAGUAUUAUAAGAACUACUUUGUGAAGAAUACCUCCAUUAAUGAUCAAAUUGUAUGUCAUUAUUGCAAUCAAAAUGGUCAUAUGAGUUUUAGAUGUCCAGUUAAGAAAAAUGUAUAUUAUGGAGUAAAAUGUAUUUGGGUUCCGAAAGGAACCAAAUCUAACACUCAAGGACCCAAGAGUAUUUGGGUACCAAAAUGCACAACUUGAAUAUUUUUUUUGUAGGUACCACAAUCAAGGAAUGGCGGAGAGUUCCUUGAUAAAAGAUUAUGAGGAUAAUCACUUGAUCAUGGUGUAAGCAAAAAUGAUGAGACAAUAUGAUUUAAUUGUUUUGGUAACAAUUAUUUCCUUAUUGAUUAGAAGUGAUGGUCUUUUAAUCUUAGUAAGUAUUUAAUAAUUCAUUUGGUAACAUAACAUUAAGUGCAUUAACACAAUGUGGAUAAACUUAUCUUGCCUAUUUAUUAUGUUGAGUGGAUCAUAAUAAAUGGCUAAUAGCUUGAAUUUGCGAAAGUAUGCUUGUAUGUUUACAUGAUGGAAUUAUCAUUGUGUAUAACAUUGAGUGAUUUAUCAUGAGGCAUUGGUUUGAUUUUGAUGAUUGUAUGGUCUUUGAUUUCAUCUUCUUAAUUGUCUAUCAUCAUUGUCCAUCUCUUAUGUAUGUGUAAAUUCAUAUGCCAUUAAUUGUGUUAUAUCAUUUAUAAAAUUUGUACAAAUGACUUAUUGCACUUAUGAAUUUGAUCACUUGUUCUUUACUUAUAAUGAUGGCUUUUCUAAAUAGGUAUGUUGAUUUUGAUGAUCUAUAUAUUGUCAUUAUGUGCUUAUGUUUUACUUAAGUUUUUAUGAUAAAGAAUGUGCAUUGAUGAUUACAUUGUAUUUGAUGAAACUUUGAUCUUAUGCAAUCUAUGAAUAGUGAAUGGAUGCAUUUUUUGUACUUUAUUGACGUAUUGUUAAAUAUGCAUUACUUGCUUUAAAUGAUAUCAAAAGGGGGAGAAAUACAUGAUCAUUGAGAUCUUGGCGCAUAUGAGAGUGUAAGUUAUAUUGAAAUAUCACAUUAGAUCCUUAAUGUGUUUAAUUUUUUUUAAAAAUGUGAUUAUUAUUUAUGGAGCUUGAAUGGUUGAUAAUAUGUUCUUAUAACUUUUGCAUGUCAAUUGGGUAAACAAAUCAAAACCUCUUUGCAAAGAACAAUUUUCAAAAAUUCGGCAUGAACUUGGGAUGAUGAAAUUUAUUAAUAUCUCUAAUCAUGUUAUUAAUACUAUUAAAAUUGAUUUCUUGAUGAUUUUGAUUAUUGAUGAUUAUAUGUGUGUUGCUUGAUGAAUUGAUGGAGUUUUUGGCUUGUUAUAAAUGUUUAAGCUUAUAUGGAAGCGUUUUUAACCAUGUUGUGUAUUUGAGGAUUUGUUCAUUUUUAAGGGGGACUUUGUCGAAAUUUUUACUCGCACAAAAUGGGUAAUAUCUUCAUCGAAUUAUUUUUUUAUGAUCUUGUUUCGAUUGCAUCUAUCUAUCUUUUUUUUUUUUUGUUUUUAUGAUGAAUGUGGAGAUAAAUAUGAUAUGUUUUCGGAUAAAAUCAUUUUUGGUUAAAAUUUUAAAUUGGCCAUAUAUUUAGGGGGAGCAUACAAUGUGAUUUUGGAUAAUAUGCAUUUUGAACUUUUUGGUUGUCCAAAAGGAGAGACAAAGUAAUAUAUCAUUUUGAUGUUGUCAAAAGGAGGAGAAUAAUAUACACUUUGAGUAUUGUUUUAAUGAUUGAUAUGUGAUUAUGGUGAUGAUUUUGAUGAUUUUGGGAUAUAAUGAUGAUUUGACUACAUGGUUAUUUUAUAUGAUAAUUUUAUGUUAUGAGUUGUUGAUUUGGUAAUUGAUGGAAUAAUGGUUCAUGAUCUUUUUAUGGUUGGUGGUUUAUAUGAUGAUUUAUGAUAAUUUGAGAGUGAUAUUACUAAACUUGUAUUUGAGGUGAUGCUUGUUGUUAGGGGGAGAUUCUGUCGAAAUUUCUACUCAGACAACAUGGGUAACAAAUUUGCUACUCUUUUUCUUUUUCACUACAUUUUCUUUUUGAUGAUGAAGGGGGAGCAGAAUACAUGUUUUUAACAUUGUAAAAAUUUUAACUCUCUCUUUUCCAUUAAGUUUUCUUUUUGAUGGUGAAGGGGGAGAAGAAUACAUGUAUUUAAAUUUGUUAAUUUAGUAAAUUGGCAAAUUGUAAAUGGAGCUUACAUUUAGGUGGAGCAAUUUGUGGAAUCAUUCUAUAAAUACAUUCAAAGUUUGUCAUCAUCAAAAAAGGGGAGAUUGUUAGCACACAUGCAUCCAUAAUGUUGAUUUUGAUGAUAACAAACAAGAUUAAGAAUGAUUAAGUUUUUAAAAGCUCAAAUUAUUUUAAAUAAAUCAUUAUUUUCAUAAUAUAAAGGUUUUAUACUUAAUGGAAAAAUGAUUUUAUGAAAUUGGUUGUUUUCAAUUAAUGGUUUAAAUUGAAAAAAUUUUGAAAAUCUGGAAAUGGACUUAUUUGUAAAGUUUUAUGACGAUUUGGGCCAUAGUAUAAUUAUAGAAAGUUUUGGGGUAAAACUAUAAUUUUAGAAAAUAAUUUCACUGUAGCGAUCACUGUAGCAAACGGCUAACCGUUUACUGAAAAUGGCUAACCGAUAAUUUCUAGAAAGUAUAUUUUGCAAAGUAUUGUUAAAAUAAUGAUUGUGGAAAAUAACGGUGAACUGUUUAAUGAAAACGGUGAACUGAUUAUUUCCAUAUUGCUAACCUUGAACCGUUUAGUGAGAACGGGUAAGCUAAAUUUAUUUUACAGAUCUCUGAAAAUUAACGGUGAACCGCUAGUGACAAACGGUCAACCGUUUAUUUGAAAUUCAGCUCAACGGUAACUUUGACCAGAAUAAACGGUUAACCGUUUACAGUUAAUGGCGAUCCAUUUAUGAGUAGAUAGUCAAUAACGGCUAGUUUUUCAGCUCCAACUAUAAAUAAGCUCAAUCCAAUUCAAACAAGGAGAAUUCCAACGAUCAUCAUUGAGCAAAAUAUUGAGAAUACAAUUUUCAUUGAGCUUUAAAUCCUUGUAUUCAUCUUAUUCAUUCACACAUUGAGCUUUCAUUUGUGAUCAAACACAUUGUGUGAGAGAAAUUCAUUUGUAAUCCUUUUUUGUAAAAUCAAGUUAAAAGAUUGUAAGUGUUGGGAUACACUUGGGUUAAGAGAUUGGGGAUAAUCUCUUGUUGUGAAGGUCCAUUGACACCUUGGAAGUCAAUUGUAAGCAUUUGAAGCAUUAGAGGCUUGCUUAGUGAAAUCCUCAAGCCCGGUGAGCUUGGAGGCGUGGACGUAGGCGGGGAUUGCUGAACCACGUAAAAAUCAUUGUGUUUGUUUUCUCUUCCCUUAAUCUUUUUAUUGUGCUUGAUUGAUUUAUUUGUUAUUACUUUAAAUCCAUCUUAGAUUUGCAUUGAGUUUUAUUUUAAAAUUGAAUAAUUUUUAAUAUCCCAAUUCACCCCUCUCUUGGGUUGCAUAACUAGAACUUCAUAGUAUUUAUACAUCAACGACUAACUCUUCUCCAGUCGGUGAGUUAGACAAACUGCCCAAAGGUUUUAGGGCUCUUGGGAUGAUGCCCUAACACUUGGUUUCCUCUGACAAAAGCAGCUUCUGAGACCAAUUUUUAUAACCCUCGGUUACCUCCUCCAUACACCAAGUAUAAUUUUCUCUAUGCUAUGCUUCGACCAAGAUCUAUGGUUGCCUCAACGAACUCUUUAUGUUUGCCAUAGUUAAAUCCAGAAAGCACACAAAUGUUCUUGAAUUGUCUAUUGGGAGUAGCUGCCAUUGGGAUACUUCUCAAAAACAAUUUGUGAGUGCUUGACAAAAAAUCAUAUUUAAUAAUCUUGGUGACAGUGGGUCACAGCUGUGUGUGAGGUAACAUAUCAGUGUCAAAUAACGCGUAAAGCACAUGGCUCGCGAGUAAAAAAGGAAACAAUAAAAAGAAAAAGAAACAAUGAUAAAAUAAAAUUAUUAAAGACAAUAAUACAAAUGAUAAAGCAACAGUGAAAUAAAAUAAUAACAGUGAAGUAAAAGGAUAUUUAUAGGUAGUUGCGACUGUGGCUCACAUCUUCCUGUGGUUUUACAUACAGAAACGGCUUGAACGCCCUCUAUGGGUCACGGAUAGGCUUCCCAUCCAGUUUUCUUAUAAACUGGCAAAAAAGGUCGUUUAUAGUCGGAUUCCCGAGACUAUAUCGUGCAUGCUCUUUCUGAAAUAAUGGCCAUAACUGGAGAAUCGCUCCUUGCACAUAUCCACUGGGAUGCGUUUCAAGAGACAAAAUGAUAUCAUUCAAUGACUCCUUAUUCAAGCCAUCCCUAAUGAAUUGAAUCUUAUCUUCCCUGUUAUCAUAUACCAUUCCUAAAGAACAUGGUUUUUUAUCGCAAGUCAUUCUGGCACACUUAUGACAGGCAACAUAAAUUCUUCGAGCUCUUCGUUUUCUUGCAUAAUUUCCUUUACCACAACCAGGCAUAUAUGCAAUAAAUUUUGGAGGUAACUCACCUGCCGAUUGUACUUUAGCCUCGAUUAACCAACAGAUGUUAGCAGGUAUGUUAUUCCUCAUGAGCAAUCACAUGCGUUUGGACCGAGCUUUAUAGAUUGUAAGAAGGGAAUUCUGAAGAAGUGAAGGGAAUCAAUUGUGAAGCUUUGCUAAAAUCUCAUUUAUGUCCAUACCUUCGCCUCCGAAUAUCAGUUAUUAUGGGAAACUGAAGUAAUCGACUUGAUUGUCACGGAGUAUCGUUAUUGAAUUCACCGGGGUAGCAAACUAAAGCACACAAACAAAGAAAAACAAACUAAAACACAUGAAGAAAAUUACAAUCGUCCUCUUAUUGAAUUUACCUCAAGCUCCAACUGGAUGUUGUAGACACUUCUCUCAAUGUCUCUGAGUUGGCUUUCUAAAUCCUCAACAUAGGAUACUAACUCUGGUGGUUGCAGAGCCCAAGUACGAUGUGUUUUACAAAAUCGAAUCUGCCUUUUGAGAUGAGAUUUUACACGUUGAAGUGGUUUAAGAAUGUCCAGGAGGAACUGUUUAGCUAUGGCACUCAUGAUUAACAAUGAUAAGAGAAAACUUAAUGGUUAAACAAACACACUUAUGCAAAAGUAAUUUCAAUUAGCAAAAGAAUAAUAGAAAGAAAGAAAGAAAAAAAAUCAAAUCAACGAAAAGAAAGAAAAAAAAACUCAAUUCAAAUCUGGUGGGUCACUCAAAUUUAUUUCGGUGUCCUCUCCAUGUAGUUGGUACUCUAGAUAUGGAUUUAAUCUUUGACCAUUAACUUUAAACGUGACACCGUUCUUUGGGUCCUUAAUUUCAAUUACCCCAUGUGAAAAAACAUUAUGAACAAUAAAGGGGCCAGACCAUCGAGAGUGUAACUUACCUGGGAAUAAGUGCAAGUGAGAAUUGAAUAAAAGCACUUUCUGACCUAGAGUGAAAGAUUUUCUCAUAAUUUGCUUGUCAUGGAAGACUUUCAUUUGCUGUUUGUAAAUUUUGGUAUUUUUGUAUGCAUCAUUGCAAAUUUCUUCAAGUUCUGCCAGUUGUAAUCUUCUUUCUGAGCUAGCUUGGUGCAUGUCAAAGUUGAAUUUCUUGAUGGCCCAAUAUGCACGAUGCUCGAGUUCCAUAGGUAGGUGGCAAUCUUUUCCAUACACUAGCCUGUAGGGUAACAUCCCAAUCGGGGUCUUGAAAGCCGUUCUAUAUGCCCAUAAUGCAUCAUCAAGUCUUAAUGACUAAUAUUUUCUAUCUGGCCUCACCAUCUUUUCUAAUAUGUGCUUUAUUUCUCGAUUAGAGGUCUCAACUUGGCCACUGGUUUGCGGAUGAUAUGGGGUCGCCACUUUGUGAGUGAUUGAAUACUUUGUCAAAAGAGCUUUGAAUGCUUUGUUACAAAAGUGGGCACCACCAUCACUGAUUAUCGCUCGAGGGAAUCCAAAGCGUGAAACAAUGUUGCUUUUCAAAAAUCCUAUCACCACCUUGUGAUCAUUGGUUCUACAUGGAAUUACUUAUACCCAUUUCGAUACGUAGUCAACAACAACCAAUAUUUAUUGAUGGCCAAAAGAAGGGGGAAAGGGUCCCAUGAAGUCGAUACCCCAUACAUAAAAAAUCUCAACCACUAAAAUUGGAUUUAGUGGCAUCAUAUUCUUUCGUGUAAUGCUCCCCAUUUGUUGACACCUAUCACAUGAAGAACAAAAAGUGUAAGCGUCUCGAAAUAUAGUUAGCCAAUAGAAACCACAUUGUAAAACUUUAGUCGCUGUUUUCUUAGCACUAAAAUGGCCUCCACAAGCUUGUUCAUGGCAGAAUGAAAGAAUAUUCUAAAUUUUACUUUCUGGGACACAUCGUCUAACAAUUUGAUCUGCACAAUACUUGAACAAAUAAGGGUCAUCCCAAAAGAAAUUCUUUAUUUCCGCAAAAAAUUUAGUCUUAUCUUGCUUAGUCCAAUGCUCUGGAAGUUGACCUGUAACAAGAUAAUUAACGAUAUCAGCAUACCACGGUAAUACUUCCACACUCAUCAAUUGUUCAUCUGGGAAUGAAUCAUUCAAUGUUAAUGGUUCUGUAAUUAUGUCAAAAUGAAGACGAGAGAGAUGUCUGCCACAACAUUUUCUAUGCCUUUCUUAUCUUUAAAUUCCAAGUCGAAUUCCUACAAAAGUAACACCCAACAAAUUAAUCUAACUUUUGCAUCUUUCUUUGUAAGAAGAUAUUUAAGAGCAGCAUGAUCUGUGAACACAAUUAUUUUACAACCAAUGGGAUAAGAGUGAACUUUUUCCAAUGCAAACACUACUGCUAGCAUUUCUUUUUCAGUAGUUGAAUAGUUCAACUGUGCAUCAUUCAAUGUCAUACUAGUAUAGUAAAUAACAUGGAAAAUUCGAUCAACUCUUUGUCCUAAUACUGCUUUUACUGCAUAAUUAGAUGCAUCACACAUGAGUUCAAAUGGUAAGCUCUAAUUUGGGGGCUGAAUGAUGGGUGAUGAUGUCAACAACUGCUUUAAUUUUUCAAAUGCCAUAAGACAUGAAUCAUUAAAGAUAAAAGGUACAUAUUUAGUAAGUAGAUUGCAUAAGGGUCUAGAAACUUUACUAAAAUCUUUAAUGAAACGUCUAUAAAAAUCAGCAUGCCUAAGGAAAGAUCUUACUUCUCUGACUGUUUUAGGUGGAGGAAGAUUAGAAAUGAGAUCCUCCUUGGCUUUGUCAAUCCCAAUACCUUUGCUCGAAAUGAUGUGACCGAGAACAAUACCUUAUUUUACCAUAAAAUGACACUUCUCCCAAUUUAAGACUAAGUUCUUCUCGAUACAUCUCUACAGAACUAGUGUUAGAUGAUGUAAACAUUGAACAAAUGAAUCACCAAAAACAGAAAAGUCAUCCAUAAAGACUUCAAGGAAUCGUUCAACCAUAUCAGAAAAAAUACUCAACAUGCAUCGUUGAAAUAUAGCAGGUGAAUUACAUAAUCCAAAUGGCAUUCUCCUAUAUGCAAAAGUGCCAAAAGGGCAAGUGAAAGUAAUUUUCUUUUCAUUUUUUAGUGCUAUGGGAUUCUGAUUAUAUCCUGAGUAGCCAUCUAGAAAGCAAUAAAAUUCAUGGCCUGCUAAUCUAUCAAGCAUUUGAUCGAUAAAUGGUAAAGGAAAAUGGUCUUUACGUAUGACAGAAUUCAACUUUCUAAAAUCAAUGCAUACACACCAUCCUGUAGUCACUUUAGUGGGUAUCAAUUAAUUAUCAACAUAGGUAACUACUGUGACUCCUGACUUUUUGGGGACAACUUGCACAUGGCUGACCCAUGAACUAUCAGAAAUGGGGUAAAUGAUACAUGCAUCUAAUAGCUUAGGAACUUCAGUUCUAAUAACUUCUUUCAUGUUAGGAUUUAACCGACAUUGUAUUUCCCUAGUAGGUUUAGCAUUUUCAUCAAGGUAAAUGUAAUGCAUGCAGUCUACUGGGUUUAUACCUUUUUAUGUCUGCUAUGGUCCAUCCUAAUGCUCCUUUGUGCUCUUUUAAAACAUCCAACAACUUACCUUUUUGUUCGUCAUUUAGGGAUGAUGAGAUGAUUACCGGUAGAGUGCUUUCUUCUCCCAAAAAUGCAUAUUCCAAAGUGUUGGGUAAUGGUUUAAGCUCGAGUUUCGGUGGUGAUUCUGAUGAUGGGAUGAUUUUCUUUUCUGAUGGUGCUAGUUGUUCAACUCUUGACUUCUAUUUAUUGGUAUCCAUGGAUGGUGCUGAGUCAAGUAGAGCAUUGACCUCAUCGACUGAUAUGUCAAUAUCAAAAUCCAAACCAAAGUGAGUUAAACAUGUUUGUAAAUGAUCAUCACUAAGGUUUGAAAGAAAAGUAUUAUCAACUAAUACUUCUAUUAAAUCCACAUCAAUAAUUUCAUCAUCUGCAUUGUGAGGUUGUUUGGCAAUGUUGAAGAUGUUUAGCUCCAUAGUCAUGUUGCCAAAGGACAACUACAUAUUUCCAGUUUUACAUUGAAUGUGAGCAUCCGCAGUUGCCAAGAAAGGUCAGCCUAGGAUAAUAGGGAUGUGCUUCCUUGAAUCCUGGAUUGGUUGAGUAUCAAUUACAAUGAAAUCAACAGGAAAAUAAAAUUUAUCUACCUGGAUAAGCACAUCCUCUACAAUACCACGAGGUAUUUUUGUGGACCGAUCUGCAAGCUGUAACACCACUGGAGUUGGGUGUAAUUCUCCCAGUCCAAUUUUCACAAACUGAAUAAGGCAACAAAUUUACACUAGCUCCAAAAUCCAACAAAGCAUUCUCAAUUAUUUGGUUCCCUAUACUACAUGAGAUAGUGAGGGAGUAUGGGUCUUUGCAUUUCAGAGGAAUUUUGUGUUGGAGUAUAGAACUAACGUUUUCUGUUAAAAAUGUCUUCUUUUGAAAAUAAAUGUUUCUCUUUUUAGGACAAAGGUCUUUAAGAAACUUGGCAUAAGAUGAAACUUAUUUUAUAGCAUCAAGUAAAGGGAUGUUAACACUUACCUGUUUGAAGAUUUCAAGAAUCUCACCUGUGGAUUUUCCUUUCUUUCCUUUAGCUAACUUCUGAGGAAAUGGAGCUUUGGGAACGUAUUCUCGUGGGUUAGUUUCUUUUUUCUCCUCCGAUGGUGAGUCCUCAACAUUCACAGGUACAACCUUCAAUUAUCGGUUUGACUUCUUUAAUUUCUGAACUUGACUCGCCAAUGUGAACCUUAUUCACUCCUUUAAUUCUUUUAGUAUUCCUGAGUGAUCGACUCCGUUGUUGGGAAUUAUCCGCUUGUCGCUGGAAGAAUUCCCAAAUCUCUGAUGCACUUUUUGACAUUAGCUCUCCUCCACUUGUUGCCAUUAGCCAUUCUUGCACAUGCGGUAAUAAUCCCUCCAAAAAGUAUUGGCAUUGGUACCAUUUCUUGUACCCAUGAUGUGGACACUUCAAAAGUAGCCUAUUGAAUCGCCUCCAUGUUUCGAAAAACUGCUCGUCAUCUCUCUGGGUAAACUCUAAAAUUUCCCUGCGAAUAGUAUUGGUUUUAUGCACUGGGAAAUAUUUAUUCAAAAAUUUUGUUACCAUUUGUUCCUAUGAUGUAAUGCUAUUAGUAGGCAAUGUAUUGAGCCAUGAACGAGCUCUAUCAUUUAAAGAAAAUAGGAAUAGUCUAAGUUUUACAUCAUCAUCUGAAAAUUUCUCAUAUUUAAAUGUUUGACAAACAGCAUGAAAAUCAUUCAAAUGAUUAUAUGGGUCCUCAUUUUCUAGGCCAUAGAAUGUCGGGAGACAAUUUAGCACACUAGGUUUUAGUUCAAAACUCCUAGCAGUUACAUUUGGGUAUCUUAUGCAUGAUGUGCUCAAAUUAGCUAAGGGACUGAAAUAGUCCUUAAAUGGCCUCUCUGGUGGUGCUUGUUGUUGUUGCAAAUCCAUUUCACUUUUAUAUUUAAUUAUAACGUGUUUGUGUGUGCGAAGUGUUUUUUCAAGUUCAAGGUCUAUAGGCUCAAGAUUAGGUAAUAAUGACCUUCGACCAUGCAUGUAAUGAAUACAAAAAAAAUGAGAACAAAAUUAAUAAAAAUAAACAAGAAAGAGAAAUUACGGUACUAACCUUAUCACGCAGUUACAACCUUUCUAUAAAAAAACACACUUAAAAAAAAUACGUGAAAUAAAUUAACUAAAAAUAAAUUAAUAAGAUAAACAAAAAAUUACAAAGAAAAAUAAAUUAAAAAUUAAAUUACAGAAUUUUAAAGAAGAGAAAAAGAAAAGAAAUUCUUACCUCUAAAUAUAGAUUCACUUUUUUUUUCUUUUUUUUUUAUAAAAAAAAUUACAAGAAAACAAUUAAAAGAAAUUAUUCACAAUACUUAAUUCUACGAAUUAAAAUAACUUACCUUCCCGGCAACAGUGCCAAAAACUUGUUGUGCAAAUUUUAUUGAACUCGCAAGUGCACGAAUCUACUGUAGAAUAGAUCAAUGGUGACGAGUGUCGAUCCCACGAGGAGGUGAAUUUUUAUUGUGUGUAGAAUUAAUUUUUCUAAAUGGGUGGUUGGAUUUGUGGUGAAAGUAACUUAGAUUAUCCUAAAAUUUGAAUUAAAAUGAUGAGAAUAAAUUGAAGCGAAAUCUAUUGAAAUGACGCACUUGGGUAUCUAGAUCCGUAUCAACAUGCACCAUGGGCUAAAUAUUUCUUAUUAGUGCCAAUUAAAUCAUGAGGGGGGAAUCCACAUCUCAUGAACCACACUCUAAUCAAUAUGGUGCUAAGGGCUUAUUGUGCCAAAUAAUAAUAACCUUGUACUAGGGAGCCGGUGAAACCAGGGCGGUAUCUAGACAAAAUUAUUAUUAUUUAUCGACGAGAAGUCAAAACAUCCACAAAAACUAUAGGGGAAGAGAAAAUAAAUUUACCAAAUAAAGUUCAUGACACAUGUUGAGACUUCACCUUCAACCCAAGCUUGAAAGAAAAUUAGCUACUCAUAAUUGAACUAGAGGCAAAAUGGAAAUUUAUUAAAAUACGUAGAAAAUACAAGAUGGAGAAGGAAUUACAGAAAAUAGAGCCCAAAAAUGGAUUCAGAGAUAUCUAAUUAGGGGGGGAAGCCCUUUUUUUAUAGAUACAUUGAGUAAAUCAUGGCCAUCAGAUUAAAAACAGGUUGGACGCUCAGGAUUGCGCCACGUCAUCAGUCAACAUUACGCGGUUUGACCAUGCGGUUUGAACAGUGACACGGUUUGACCACGCGUUUGAAUAGUCAACUGGCUGGAACAGUGACGCGGUUUGGUUGAAAAUAAUCCUAUGUAUAUGCAUGUAUCGUACGCGCGAUUUUUGGUCCACUAAUAUGCUGCCACAUCACCGAUCAACAGUGUAUAUAAAUUUUGUCCAAUAGAAUCGUGACACCUCAUCAGUCAAUGCCACAUCAUCUGUCAAUGCCACGUCAUCAUUUCGUAUGUGUGAAUAGUGUCAUGAACAGUAACAUGGAUAGUAUCGUACAUGCGAAUAGUGUCGUACAUGUGAACAGUGACAUUUUUCUUUUUAUGCUCCUCCUAAGGUUUUCGACUGUCCUGAGUUCAAAAGUGAUGUAUGUUUUUCCAUCUGAUUUCUCGUUCAUUGUAAAAUGACCAUGAUGCCCUGAAAAUACAUAAAAUACUUAAUUAAAAUAAAACACACGUAAUUAAAUCACAAGAAGCUUAAAUACAUAAAAGUAAGGGUGUUAGUAAGACUUGAAAUGUAAAAUGACGAUUUUCUCCUUUAUAAAUAUACAUUUUCUAACACUCAACAGUGGCUACUAAAGUGACAAUGUACACAAACCAUGCAGCCAUCAAGUACCUGAUCUCAAAGAAGGAUGCUAAACCUAGAUUAAUAAGAUGGGUCUUAUUGCUUUAGGAGUUUGAUUUGGAAAUUAAAGAUAGAAAGGAGAUUGAGAAUCAAGUAGCAGACAAUCUGUCUAGGCUAGAAGCAGACACAAGCACAUUGACAAAAAAAGACAUCACUGAAAUUUUUCUUGAUGAGCAACUGUUAGUAAUACAACAAGCACAGAUGCUGCAUCAAUCAAGCUUUCCAUGGUAUGCAGAUUUUGCUAACUACUUAGUGAGUGGAUUGCUACCACUUGAGUUGAAGUUUUAGCAGAAAAAGAAAUUUCUCGAUGAUGUUAAAAGCUACCAGUGUGAUGACCCAUAUUUGUAUAAGUUAUGCUCAGAUCAAGUAAUAAGAAGAUGUGCUUCAGAGGAAGAAAUUCCUCAUAUACUGGAAUCAUGCCAUGCUGCAGCAUAUGGAGGACAUUUUGGUGGUCACAGAACAGCUACUAAGGUUCUGCAAUCAGGUUAUUACUGGCCUUAUAUUUUUAAAGAUGCUUAUGAGUUUGCUAAAUGUUGUGACAGGUGUCCAAGGACAAGAAACAAAAUGCAUAAACAUGAAAUGCCAUUGACAAACAUUCUGGAAGUGGAAAUUUUGAUGUAUGGGGAAUAGACUUUAUAGGUCCUUUUCCACCAUCCUUUGGAAACUUAUAUAUCCUGGUUGCUGUGGAUUAUGUCUCCAAAUGGGUAGAAGCUGCAACAUUACUUAUAAACGAUGCUAGAGCAGUAGUGAACUUCCUCCAGAAAAAUAUCUUUUCCAGGUUUGGCACUCCACGAGCAAUUAUUAGUGAUGAGGGUACUCAUUUUUGCAACAAAGUAUUUGCUGCAGCUAUGGUAAAAUAUGGAGUUAGGCAUAAAGUAGCAACAACAUAUCACCCACAAUCCAAUGGCCAGGCAGAAGUGUCCAAUAGAGAGAUUAAGAAGAUCUUAGAAAAAGUGGUGAACCCAUCAAGGAAGGAUUGGUCCUUGCGUUUACAUGACUCCCUAUGGGCCUAUAGAACAACAUACAAAACACCACUUGACAUGUCUCCCUACUGAAUUAUGUAUGGGAAAGCUUGUCGCUUGUCACUUGCCACUUGAGCUAGAGCACAAAGCAUACUGGGCACUGAAGCAAUUAAAUUGGGAUAUACAUGCUGCAGCAGAGCAAAGAAAACUUCAAUCAUGUGAGCUGGAUGAAUUACGUAUGUUCUCAUAUGAAAAUGCAAGAAUUUAUAAAGAGAGAACAAAGCACUGGCAUGACAAACAGAUCCAACACAGGAAAUUAAUCCCUGGUCAACUAGUGCUGCUCCAUAGUACAAGGUUAAGGCUAUUUCCAGGGAAACUGAAAUCCCGAUGGUCUGGACCCUUCAAGCUGCUCAGAAUUUAUCCUCAUGGGGCUGUUGAUCUCUUAGAUGAAAAGACAGGCCAAGAAUUCAAAGUCAAUGGACACAGAGUUAAGCAUUACAUGCAUUCAGUUGCAGAUUGUUCAAAGGAGGUCUUACUCCUUAAAAAACCAAGUUUAUGAGCACUCAUGUAAGGUCAGGCUGAAGGACCUUAAAUCAAGCGCUCAAUGGGAGGCAACCCAUUACGGAGGCAGUCACUUCAGAUGAGAUGGAUCCUCCUUGGUUUUGUUAAAUACUUUUCCUUUUAUUUUAUUUUAAUUUUUUAUUAUUGUUUAUCGUUAUUUAUUUUUAUUUCCCUUAUUUAGGAUUGUUUAACUUUUAUUUUCUUCUUGUUGUUUUGUUUAAUUUAAGAUUGAUUUUAUUUAUUUGUGAAUUUCUCAAGAAAAAUGUGUGUGACAGAUGGAUUCCAUAUUAACAAAUUGGAGAUGUAAUGUUAAUAUAUUGCAUAGGCAAACUAUGUGUCAGCAGUUAUUUGAGGAGAGUUUGUAACCGUUGCUAGAGCAUACAAUUGGGUGCUGUAGCAACAGAUAUUACCGUUACAGUAAUUUCAUCACGGAGCCUCCCACUUUACCGUUGGAGAUAAUAAGUGACAGAUGGUUGGGAGGAUUUGGAUAGAAAUUGAGGAAGAAUAUCCCUUAAAUUAAUGCACUAAUUUCUCUUACCUAUUUUUAUGGGAUAUGCUUAAUAAAUUUAAAAAGAAUUCCUCCUUAAUUUAUCUCUUUUACCAGAUUUGUCUUCAUUGAAAUUCCACCUAUAUAAGGGAGUUACUGUGCUUAGUGACCACUGACACUAUUUUCCCACUCCUUCGCAGUUACAACUCCAAUACUUCUUAACUUCUUCUCCUCAUUUUACUCUUGGGCAUAUUACCAUCAAAUUCCUACUGCUAUAGCAAUGCCAAGGUACAAAAAGACAGCCAGCUGAUUAAAAGAUCCCUCACGAUUCCAAAGUUACCAUGCAGAAGAAAAAUAUGAAGAAUUCAUUGAACCACGAAUGGAAGAAAAAGGGUUUCAGUUCCCACUUCAAUCCAUAGGAAUUGUGCAAACAUUAUACAAUGCUGCAGCGAAGCGCGGGUGGCUAGAGUUCUGUGACCACCCUCGAGACCCUGUGUUGCCAGUAAUGAAAGAAUUUUACGCCAAUUUGGUAAGCCCUGGUCAGCACAAUAUUUGGGUAAGAAACUCGCUUGUUCCAUUAGAUUCUCGAGUUAUAAAUGCUUUCUAUAAUUUACCUGCUGAAAUUAAUUGCGCGUAUGCCAAGUUACUUGACAAAUUAACCCUGCAAAGAUGGAACAAAAUUUUCACAACACUUAUUGUAAAGGGUGCAACUUGGGCUAAUGAAGAAGGGCGGGUGAUUAAUAGGAUAGAUUUGACACUCAUUGCCAAGGUGUGGGUGAAAUUUCUAAAAUCCAGACUUAUACUGACCACCCACACCACCACUGUUUCUUAAGAAAGGUUAAUAUUGUUGUACAUAAUUGUUAGAGAGCUUCCCAUAGAUGUGGGAAGCAUUAUCGAAAAAGAAAUUCGAGAUUGUGCCAUGAAAAACCACAAAGCAACUGCCUUGCUAUACCUCUUGAAGGAUCACCUAAAAUUAAUUCCUUAGGAUGAGAAGAAACAUACCUCCACUCCUUGGGGAGUGUUUGAGAAAUACCUUCUUGUUGCUCCAUAUUUGUUUGUUCUUCUUGUCUAUCCUCUUGAUUUUCUUGUGGUGCAUUCUCUUGAUUCUCUUUUGAUGAUUCUUCUUGUAACUCUCCAUCUGCAUCAUCAUUAACAACUCUUUUCUCCGCAGAGGAGGGGUUAGAUUCAUCAAAUGUAACAUGCAUGGAUUCUUCCACAACUAAAGUUCUUUUGUUAUAAACUCUAUAAGCUUUGCUUGAGUUUGAAUACCCGAGGAAGAUGCCAAUAUCCGAUUUUGGAUCAAAUUUACCAAGAUUAUCUUUUGUGUUUAAAAUAAAACAUUUGCAUCCAAAAACUUUGAAAUAACCAAUGUUGGGUUUUCUAUCUUUCCAAAGCUCAUAGGGAGUUUUAUUGAGAUGAGGUCUAAUCAACACCCGAUUUAAAACAUAACAAGCGGUGUUGAUGGCUUCGGCCCAAAAAUAUUUUGGUAAUGCAUUUUCAUUUAACAUAGUCCUAGCCAUUUCUUGAAUAUACCUAUUCUUUCUCUCAACAACUCCAUUUUGUUGUGGAGUCCUAGGUGAUGAAAAUUGAUGCUCAAUGCCAAAAUCAUUACAAAAAUUUUCAAAUGCAUGAUUUUCAAACUCUCCACCAUGAUCACUUCUAAUACAAGUAAUAGAAUAACCCUUUUCAUUUUGAACCUUUUUACAGAAAAUUCUAAAUGCAUCAAUGACAUCAUCCUUAUUAGCUAAGAAUAAUACUCAUGUGUAUCUAGAAUAAUCAUCUACAAUUACAAAAGCAUAGAAUUUGCCACUUAAACUAGCAUAUCUAGAAGGUUCAAACAAGUCUAUGUGAAGUAAUUGAAGAGGUUUUGAGGUAGAGAUAUGAUUCUUGUUUUUUAAAGAGGUUUUGAUUUGUUUUCCAAAUUGACAAGCUUCACAAAUUCUAUCCUUUUGAAAACCAAUUUUUGGAAGAUCUUUAACUAAAUCAUUUUUUGAAAUUUUUGAAAUUAAAUCCAUGCUUGCAUUUCCUAGUCUUCUAUGCCAUAGCCAACCAUCAUCAUGCAAUGCCGAAAAACAUUUAUCAUGAGUAGAUGCACACUCUAUAUCAAUCGUGUAAACAUUGCCACAUCUAUUUCCCAUAAAUAAAAUUUUCCCAUCACAAGCAUUCUCAAUAACACAUCUUGAUUUAUCAAAAGCAACUUUAUAACCAUUGUCACAUAGUUGACUAAUGCUAAUCAAAUUGUGUUUCAAAUUUUCAACCAAACACACAUUUUCAAUACGAGUUGAAGAAACUUUACCAACAUUACCAAUUCCGAGAAUUUUUCCUUUUGAGUUAUCUCCAAAGGAUACAUCUCCACCAUUUUCGAUUUUGGUGAAACUUGAGAACCAUGCAUAGUUUUCGGUCAUAUGCCUAGAACAUCCGCUAUCCAAGUACCAUUUAUUUUUCUUUUUCUUCAAGCCCUACAAAGAAAAUCUUAUGUCUUAGUUACCCAAACAUUUUUUGGUCCUUGAGCGUUAGCAACGGUUUUUUUUGGAACCCAAAUACAUUUGACACCAUAAUAUGCAUUCCUUUUCACGGGAUAUCUAUAUUUCAUGUGACCAUUUUUAUUACAAUAAUGACAAAUAAUCUUAUGAUCACUUGUGGAGGUAGCUUUAACAAAAUAAUUCUUAUAAUACUUUUGCUUCAAGUUAGGCUUAUACCCAAGUCCUCCUUUAUCAAAAACAUAUUUUUGAGAGUUAAGCAUGUUAUCCAACAUCUUUUGCCCAUUUGUAAAUUUUAGAACAACAUUACUAAGUUCAAUAUUCUUUUUCUUGAGCAUUUCAUUUUCCUUUUUCAAAUCAUCUACAUGUGACUCUAAAUGCUCAUGUGAAGUGCUAGGUUUUUCAUUUGAUAAUGCAACUCUAUUAUGCAAGGUUUUAUUCUCUAAUUCUAAUCCUUUAAUCUUCUCAUUCAAUGACUCAUUGCAUUUUUGCAUGGCAUCCUUUUCAUUUGUAAAUUCUAGCAAUUUCUUUUUAAGGCAUGCAUUCUUUUUACCAAUUUUCAUUAACUCAUCAUGCAUUUCUUUCAAAGCAUCAUACAAUUCAUCAUAGGUUGGAUCACUUACCUCAUUGAGAUCAUCAUCAUCUCCUAUUGCCAUAAGUGCUAGGUUUGAUACUUCUUGCGAUUCUUCUUCAUCGCUUGAAUCUUCAUCGCUAUCAUCCCAAGUAGCAACCAUAGCUUUCUUCUUGAGUUUGUUGAGAAGUGGGCAUUCCGAUCUUAUAUGGCCGAGCUUUUUGCAUUCAUAGCAUAUGAUUACCUCUUUCUUCUCCUUUUGGUUUUUGAAGUUUCUAAAUUUUCUUUGGUCACCGGUUUUCUUGAAAAAUUUUCUGAACCUCCUUGCUAGCAUAGCCAACUCCUCAUCAUCCGGCUCACUUUCUCCAUCACUCUCAUAUUUUGUGGCUUUGAGUGCAAUGUUUUUCUUCUUUUCCUCAUUUCCUCUUUCGGUUGCCAAAUCUUCCUUGUAAGAAAUAAGAGAAUCAAUUAAAUCAUCAAUAGGUAAGAUAUUCAAAUCUUUAGCUUUCCUCAAUGACAGUCCUUUUUGGUCUCCAUUUCUUAGGUAAUGACCUAAUGAUUUUCUUAACUUUCUCGCUAUUUGAAAAUGUCUUUUCUAGGGCUCCUAGAGUGUUUACUAUGUCCGUAAAUCUAGUAUACAUAGAGUACACACUCUCAUUUUGUUCUAUUUGGAACAAUUUAUAUUGCCGAGUGUACCUACUAAUUUUAGACUCUUUCACUUGAUUCGUGCCUUUAUAAACAACUUCAAGUUUGUGCCAAAUUUCAUUAGCACUUUCACAACUAGACACUCUAUGAAACUCUUUCUUAUCGAGUGCACAAAACAAAGCAUUCAUGGCUUUGGAAUUUAGAGAAGCUUUUCUCUUUUCCAAUUCAUUCCAUUCCCGUGAAGGUUUUGGAAUGUCUUCCCCGAAUUCAUUUUUAGGCAAAGGCAUAAAUGGACCAUCACAUACAACUUCCCAAAUUUCAUAAUCUAGUGCUUGUAAAUAAAUUCUCAUCCUAGUUUUCCAAUACGGGUAGUCAUUUCUGUCAAAGAACGAUGGCCUAGUUGUGGAUUGUCCUUCCCUAAAGGUUGAAUCAUUUUGGGUUGCCAUGGAUCUUUUACUCUAGACGGUUAAGUCCUAACAAGAGAACCAAGCUCUGAUACCAAAUGAAAUGCAAGUAACGCAACCCAAGAGGGGGGUGAAUUGGGUUUUUAAAAAUAAUGUAAUACGAUUCGCACAAUAAAUCAACCUAACGCCUUAAUGAAAUAGAGAACAAUAAAUUCAAACAAGCGUAAAAAUAAAAGAGCAAGGGAAGAGAAAAACAAACACGCGGAUUUUUACGUGGUUCGGCAAUUCCCGCCUACGUCCACGCUCCAAGCCAACCAAGCUUGAGGAUUUCACUAUCCAAGCCUCCCAAGGCUUCAAGUUUUUACAAUUGACUUCCAAGGUGUCAAUGAACCUUUACAACCAAGAGAUUAUCUCCCCAAUCUCUUCACCCCAAGUGUUUCCCAUACUUACACACUCACAAUUUGAUAAGAAAUGAAAAUUACAACAAAAACUCUCUUUAAGAGUGGAUAUGCAACUAAUAGCUCAAUAAUGAUUCAAUCAAUGAUGAUUUGCGUUUUGGAAGCUCAAUAUAUGUUGUAUGAUCUUAUAUUUACUUGCAUUAGUCCUUAGAAUGAAGUUUGAGUUGAGUUUUUAUAGUGAAAGCCCGAAAACUAGCCGUUAUAGGCAAAUUCCCAUGCCCAAGCGGUUAGUCGCUUGAUUAUCUAGCUAGCCGCUCAGGAACAGUGAUAUUACCGUUAUUUUUGAAUUUUUGCUACAGUAACACUGUUCACUAAAAUUACACUUUGGCCCAAAACUUUCUAUAAUUAUACUAUGGCCUAAAACGUCAUAAAACUUUGUAAAUAGGUCUAAUUUCAAAACUUCCUAAGGAUAGUUGUCUUUCCCAAAUUUUUUGAAAUUAUGAUAUGGCCCCAAAGAUUUUAUUAUUUCGCACAAAGGUCCUUUUACCCAUAUUUUUUAAAGUUCUCAAAACCUUUCACUUUAGUCCAAAAUAUUCAUAAAUUAUAGUAUGGCCCAAAACAUUUCAAAUGUUUGUAAAAACGUCCAACUCCGAAAUUUAAUACUUAUUAAAAUCAAAGAUUUCAAAUCUUAGCAUUUAAGUCCAAAUUACUUAAAUCCACAAAAUACUUUACUUUAUAAAAAUAAAAUCUUUUAGUUUAUGAAAAGUAUUUAAUUAAAUCAUGCAUCAAUUAAAUCAUACCGGCUUUACAAGAAUUUAUCGCACUAAUUUAUUCGUUGAGCUCUAAACUUUAUUCUUGAUUUCUCCGUUUGUCCGUUGAGUGUCUUGAGCUUGAUUUCACUUGAUUCACUUGCAUAAAUAUUACCCUUCAAAAACUAGUGAAAAUGUGAAAUACAAUAUCUAUUAAAUCGCUUAAUACAUAUGUUUGUUAUCAUCAAAAUUACAUUAUGAGUAGCCCUUUAGGCUAACAAAGAUACCAGGCUCCACUGCUUUGAACUUCAGCUGCAGCUACAUAUGCACCCUUUUGUUAUUUCCUUCUCUUUAGUUAUUGCACGUAGUUUUUCUUGAAUCUGUGCCAACACUCAGCUGCUAUGUGCCCUAUUUUCCAGUAGAUUUGACAUGGUCCUUUGGGAUCUGAACCACUAUCAUCAGCCACUGCUUUUCCUUUUCCCUUGUCUUGAGGGUUCUGGUUGACCUGGUUGUUUGUAGGAUUGUUUCCAAGGCUUCUAAAGACUAUUCUAGGCAACUGUUGAUGGGUAGCUCUCUCACUGUUGUUCCAGCUUCUUCUCUCAUUCCUCAUUUGUGUAUAGUUUGCUUCAAUGAUCCCUGAGCUCAAGUUUUGUUUGGUUCUGUUCUCUUGGCUCAGCAACAUACCAUAUAGUAUGUAUGUCAUAUAGUCUGAGACUGAGGGACUCUCCUGCAUUGAGUUGAUGUUAGUAACCACUGAAUCAUAUUUUGUCCCCAACCGAGCCAGCACACACAUAAUGAAAUCAUCAUCAUCAUAUCGUUCCCUGUAGCUCUAAGUGAGUUCAAUAAGGUAUAAUAUUCUUGCUCUUGUUCUAGCACCAAAUUGGUUAGCUAGAGUUGUCCAUACCUCACAGGAAGUAGAAUAAUCUACUACAGUGCCUAAAACCCCUUCACUGAGUGAUGACAAUAGCCAACUUAGUAAGAAAUGGUCUUGUUUCUUCCAAAUCUGAUAUUCAGGGUUAGGUGUAGUUAUGGUGGUUCGAUUAGGUCCAGGGUUCAUAAAAACUUUAGGAGGGCAGGCAUGGGUACCAUCAAUAAACCCCUCAAGCUCAUUUGCUAUAAUGCUGGAAAUCAAGUGAUUUCCAGAGCAUGAAGUUACUUUGAGUUAGUUUGAUCGGAGUAGUAAAGACAUAAGUGUUGCUAGUGAUGUGCUGGGUGGGUGAUGCACUCAUUUGUGUUGUGUUUCUAUCAUUAAUGUAACACCCCAAAUCUAACACGUGCGGAGCACGUGAAGAAGGAGGUUACUUACAAAUCAUAAUCUUUACUAGGGGUGGGCAAAAUCGGAUUCGGGUCGGGUUCGGGUCAACCCGAUCGGGUUUCGGGUUAUUCGGGUUGUGCAAACAUUGAUUCGAAUACAACCCGAACUUACAACUCGACCCGAUCCGAUCCGAUAUAUAUUCGGAUCGGGUCAAAAAUCGGGUUGAAUUUGGGUUGAAUCGGUUCGGAUAAGAAAUGGAUCAUAUUGAAUUCGGGUCAAGUUAAACCAAUUCGGGUUGAUGAAAACGGGUCAAUUCAAAACAUAUAUACUAAUACACCAUGAAAGCUUCAAAAUUCAAAACACAUAAGGGACUAAGGGAGAAACUCGGGUCGGGUUGGAGCUUGAGCCUUGGAGCAGCAGAUCGGCGGUUGGGUUUUCGGCAGCAGAUCGGUGGCUGAGUUUUCGGCAGCAGAUCGGUGGGCGUGCAGCAGCAGCUUGCACACGGUUGGACGCGCAGCAGUUUCCUCGCGAUGGCUGGACGCAGCACGGCUGCAGCAGAUCGUGGACGCAGCAGUAGUUGGCUGGACGCAACACGGCAGCAGCAUGACAACAGCACGGCAACAGCAGAUCGCUGACGCAGCAGCAGAUGGCCGGACUCGCAACACGGCAGCAGCAGAUUGCGGGAAGGAGAGAAUGUUUUCUUGCUUCUUGAGGGUGGGUUCACGGGUUGGGUGUUGUGAUUUUUUUGUUUUUGUGUGUUUUGUGUUUGUGUAAACUGUAAAGUGUAACCUUUUGAGUAUGUGAUUUCAUUGAUUUGUGUGAUUAUGUGUGGUGUGCUGUGUGCCGUGUGCAUGUGUUUGGCCAUAUAUAUAUAUAUAUUUUUAAAGCAACCCGAUCGGGUUUUCGGAUCGGAUCGGGUUUUAUCCGAUCCGAUCACAACCCGAUCGGGUUUGCAAUAUUUCAUCCGAUCAGGUUUGCAAUAUUUCAUCCGAUCGGGUUAUAUUAACAACCCGAUCCAAUCCGAACCCGAAAUUUUUCGGGUCGGAUUGGGUCGGGUAUUUUGCCCACCCCUAAUCUUUACUCAUAAGUUUCAAACUGAAAUACCUCCAAUUCUUAUUCAAAUAAAUCCACAAAUUCACACGUCUAAUACUAAAUAAUCUCUCCCGAGGACAUAAAAAUAAUAACAAAAGUCUCAAACUCCAAAUUACACGUUCAUAAUAGAAAUAACUAAAUAGAAACACGAGUCUAUUCCUCCUCUUAUUCAAAUGGCAAACGGAAACGGAAAAUUACUACUUCAAAGCUAAGCGCACCUCUCAAAAGAAACUUAAUCUGCAAAAAGUAAUGACGAGGGAUGAGCCGUUAACUCGGUAAGUAAAACCAUUCCUAACACACUAGGCCUAUUGAUACCAAAAAUAUUGCAAGCCUUCUUUUAAUUAAAACAUAUAUUAUAAUCCAUGAAUUUUCAUAAAACGAUAUAUCACGAUAACAUAACAUAAAUUCUUAAUAAUUUAGAAUAUUCAAAAGCAUAUUUACUUACGAAGCAAAUCAUAUAAUACGUAUACAGAAAACAAAAGGUUAGCUCAUGUCACAUAGUGUUACCUAUAGUCCCGGUGACCUGGCUAGAAACAGAAUUAGAAUAUCGUGUGCACACUCAGAACAGAAACCCAGUACUGGUCCAGACAGAUAUAUCAUAUAUUACGAUCAGAAUCAGAAUCAGAAUUAGAAUAACUAUGGACAAUGAGCCAAAACAUUAGGAAUCUCAUACAAUCAUCAAUAAUUGAAAUCAAACAUGGGUACAAAAUAUUUGUAUCAAAUUCAUAAAAGUCCAUAUCAAUAAUUUAGGCUUGCAUAAUAUUUUAAAGAUAAAAUCAUAAAAGGUUGUCAUGUCAUAAAAUAAUUUACAUAUUAAAAAGCAUUUAUAAAAUACUUUGUUAAAAAGAAUUUAGGUUUGAAAACAUUUACAUAAAACUAAUUUUGUUAUCAAAAUCAAUUAAUCCUUUAAGUAGUAUAAAAACAUUUAUACUUAUAAUAAUAAUAUCAGAAUACUUAUACAUAUCCAGUAUACUAGGAAUGAAGUUACUUACCUCGACAAAUGAAUUUGAAUUAACACACCUCUAAGCUUCUAAGAGCCUCAAUCACCUUUAAUACCUUAAACAAAUACAAGAUAUGACAAUUAAUAACUUAUUCUAAGAAUCUGAUUUUCUAAUUCAUAUCCGUACAGGUCUGAUUCUCAUAAUUUUAACUCUUAAUCUAAAACUCAGAAUGAUAUAAUAUUCUAUGUAACUAUUCUGGAAAUCCAUGAAUACCCCAUGUAAAAUUUUCAAGAGGAUCCGACAUCAAAAACAUUUUCAAAACUAUUUAUUUCUCAACAAUUUCGAAACUGUUUUCACAUAACCUUAACCAAACAGAACGGAUUCUGUGAUUUUUAUAAACUAAAAUACUAAUCAGAAAAUUAUGAAAUUAAAACUGGGAAUCCUAGACACAUAUUUUAACCUACAUAUAAACUUUCAGAAUUUUCUGAGUUCAGUUGGUGGUACAAAUAAUCUUGUGAAUCCGAUCGUAAUGCUGGAAUCGUAGUUUUCCAGUGCAGCGGUUUCUAUUUCGAAAAUACAUAUAAAAUUGAAAACGAAGUCGAAUUUAAUGAAAGAAAAUUUAAUCAAGAAGCCCUACAUGUCUAGUUUCCAGAAAUAUAAAUUUUAUAAGAACACUCAUUCAGAAAAUAUAGGUUUAAAUUCGAGAUACUCAUGCUAUCCAGAAUUAUCCUGUGCCUAAUACGUCAAGGAUUGAUUAACUAAACUCAUAAUAAAUUAAAAACCCUAAACAAAGCCUAAAUACAUUCUAAAUCAUGAAUUAUGAUCUAUAACCAUCUAGAAUCGUGCCAAUAUAAAUCUUAGAUAGAGUGAUUAGAAAUCUGUUGAGAAUAGGGAGAAUAACUUACUCGUCGCUUUGAUUCUCUCCUAAACAAAGGUAUGAAUCCUAAGAUUUGGGUAGAAGCGUAAAGAGCAGCAGAGAAGAAGAAUAAACGUCGUGGACUUAGGGUUAUGGAAGAGAAAAAAGUAUGAAUUUAUAGGGAGUCUUAAGAAACCCUAUUUAAUUAGGAAAAAUAACCCUUUUCCAAAACUAUCUCAUAAAUAACCUCUAUUUAUAAUUUAGUAUACCUUUCUUAAUAAGGGUUAUAGGCCACUCAUAAUUAUCAAUGGAAGCCCAAUUUCCAUAAUUUAAUAUUAUGGAAAUUUGUGGCGUUACAAUUAAGACCUGGAUUUUGCAGCUCAGUAUUUUGUGAUGAGUUUUGGUUUUGGUUUUGAUUUAAGUCAUCUAGUUGAUCGCUUGAAUCAACCUGCGUUGGAUUUAUAUUUGUUUCAUUGUCACUGCUGCUUGCCAUAGCUCAAAGUUGGCUCUGAUACCAACUUAAAUUCUUAAGAAUUGAUUUCAAUAAUGCAAGCAGGGUGUAAUAACCAAGCCUCUUGUCUUAUUGCUGACUUGAAUGAAUGAAAUACAGAGCCAUACUGGUUUAUAUAGAGACAAAGUGACAAUGACAGCUAGCAUAGGGGUAUUACAUGGAAAUAAAUAAAAAAUGAACCGUGAGAAUAGCAAUCAUGAGCCAAUCAUAUUACGCUUCUAGAAGGUUUAGCUUCUCCAUGCUCAUGUGCUAAUUUUCUUUAGCAUAACAGUUUUGCCAGCUCAAUAAAUCUGACUCAUCUUCCAUAUCAGCUGGCUGCAAAUCAGAGUAGCUUAGGUGGCAUGCCAACUUGGCUUCAAGGUGAACCUUUGACCCUUCACAGCUGCUGCUUUCAACAAGACUUAAAUAAAAAUUUAAAUGUUGGGAUAUCUAGUAUCACUCAAUCACAAUAAACAAUAACCAAUUCAAAUUGAAACGGCAAUAUUGUAUUUUCUUUAAUUAAUUAUGAUGCAAAAGCAAAUUUUUAUGCUUGGGUUUUUACUUCUUGAUUUUGAUUGGAAAAAUUUCUGAGACAAAGAAGUGUUUUGGAUAAGUUUUUCGGGAUUGAAACCACAAAUUGGUAGAGGAAAUUAAUUUUGGACAAAUUUUUCUGAUAUUGUAGGACCUUCUAGUUGGAGUAGUGAUGGCUUUGUCUUCAUUUUUGGUUCCUUUUGUGUCGGCGGCCCCUUACUAUUCUCUUGACCCUGAGUUUGAGAUAGAAAUUUAUCAACCCCAACCCCACAUCCACUAACAAGUUGAUUGAAACAAUUACUCUUUUAAUUAAGAGGACCCAAAUGAGUUAGGUUUCAGUUCUCAUCAUUUGUCUAUUAUUUCUUUGAAACAUUUAUUUUGAGCGUUACUGAUCUUAAUUAUCUGUAUUUCUCCAAUUGUUGAAGAAUUUCAAGUGGCCACUUUUUUCUCCUUUUUAUAUAUGUUUAUUUUUUGGAGUGAUCAAAAGGGUGCAAAAUCAAGUAUUCGCUGGUCUGUAGCUUAGCCAACGAUGGCUGAUCCACACAGUUGAAUAUAUGAUACUAUUAGCUCUCAAAAUCUUUCUUAUUUGAGAACAUAAAUUGCCCAUUAAAGUUAAACUCUGUUACCCAGCUCCAUGCACAUCAUUAAAUGUUUAGAUAGUUUUACAAAAUGAUAACAGCAUGCCAGAACUUGAUGUUGUCGUAUUCGACAUUUUCGAACAUUACGUUUUUAUUGAAUAAUUUAAAUGGCUAGUAAAUGUAGAGUUCGUGAGUUUAAAUCUGAAUCAAAUCUAUUAAGACUGAUUUUUUUUUUUUGUGUAUUCGUACUACUAAUGCAGGGGAUUAUUUACUCUACUCAUAUUAGUGACUGAGAUGUUCACCUCCAUCCAAUUAGAGAAACAGUGACUGGGUUCCUAUAAGGGGACUCUAACCAUAUUGUGAGACUACCAGUUCACCACUCAGACCAAAAAUCUUUGUAAUUAAAUCCAAAGGUGAAGAUCUAUGCUUAUUAUCUAUUUAACAGUUAAUAUAUAAUUAUUUAUUUAAAUUUCAAGAGCUACGCUUGUAACUAAGUCAAAUUGUGAUGAAACCAACCUUACAUCUGUAUAUUACUCAUCUACUCUAACCUUUUUUAACUUUAUAUACUUUUUUUAAUGUUAUUUACUUUUUUUUUGGCUUUUUCCUCUCUGAAAAAAGAGAUAAGGGUUUAGAGUUGAAAAUAUCUUAAAAAUGAAACAAUAAUUUACCUAAUUUUUUGAAGCUAACUGCCAAAGAUGUUCUAUUAGACAAUGAAAUCGUAGUUAUAUACAUUAUAAAUGAUAUUUUUUGUGGAACGAGAUUGUCAUUCAACAUUUUAAAAUAUGAAAACAUGUGGAAGAUGGUUAUAAAUUGAUUGAAUGAAAAUAUUUCAAUGAAGCUUUAAAAAUUUGGUACUUGUUAUCUUGUCGAAAGUUUUCCAAAUUAUUGGAACUUAGUCCCUCCUGGUACUGCCGCUGCUUCUACAUGAAAGUCAUUUAAGUUUGCAUUAGCUGCCUAUAGCUUGAAUAACAAUUUUACUCAGGAAUUGUUCUAAAUGAACUUCCCUACAUGUUUGUUCUCAUAUGACCCAGAAUACUGCUAUGACAAUUGUAUAGGAAAUUAUUCAACUGGCCGGGUUACUACUCUACAUCCCCACCAAACUUUAAACAGUCUACAUUGUGGAAAGAAACCCAUUUCGCUACUAGGCUUUUAAUGAGGCUAAUUUCUCUGAAUAUGGAUGAAGUAGAUUUCUAAGCUAAUGUUUGGCAGAUCUCUGGGCGAUACUACAAAGUGCAUGUACAUUGAGUCUUAAUAAAUAUAAAAGAUUCUCUGAUAUGAUUCAAAACAUCACUACAUGCAUGAGUUAAUAAGAAACAAUAUCAUAAGAUUAUUUAUGUAUCACAAUUUGUAGUUGUACCCUCUAUAAUGAAAUUGAAGGUGCAAUCAGCAAGUGAAAUGAAGCAAGAAAUGUCCACGCAUGAGGCAGUUUUUCUAGAAGAUUGAUACUUCUUCAACUAGCAAUGCAUACCAAUCCAAAGCUAGCCAAACCACAACUGCUGGUCCAGGGCUUAAAUGGAGUACUUCUAAGCAUAAAAUAGUAACUAAAACACAAACUAUAUAAAUAUAUACACACACAUACCAGAAAAUUCAAAAAAUAGAGAAAGGAGUACAACUAUUCCAGUUUGUAGACAAUAUUGCAAUCAUGGCAUCAGUUGUAGCAAAUCCUUGAAAUCUACUAAACAAAACAAUGCUCUGCCUCAUGAAUCAAUGUUGAAUUACAGUUGAAAUUGAAAGUCUAGAAGGUGCUGUUUCCCUCUUCGAUUUUGCCUACACAAGUAAAGGGAAAUAAGAAUCAUAAAUGAAAAUCAGCAUUUAUAGUUCUAAUUAUUAGAUAGAUGUAGAAUGUUCUUUCUUUGUUUCUCCGCUGCAAUGUGCAAUCCCACUUUGUUUGGCUACUCCAAUCGAGUCUAUGUUGAGACAUAAUUUUGACAUUAGAAGCAACCGCAACUAGUUUGGCAUUUGUACGACCCUUUGAAGGUUUUACAAUAGUUGUAAAUCUACUGAGAAAGUAGAAAAAAAGGGCAUAUAAAAUUAGGCAACUAAAGUAUGAGUCAUCAGAUAUGAUUAAAACUCACCCAAUUGAAUCCAUCAGAUUCCGUAAGGAUAUAAUUGGAUGUCAUAACGCCACCCCAUAUCCUCAAAAGUCCGUAGCCGUUGUCUCAACUCUGUCUGAGGCCAAUGUAAGUCCAAUUUGCACAAGCUCUUUAUGCACCAUAGCUCCUCUGGAAGUUUUAUCAAGUAAGCACAGGGGUUGACAACUCAGCUUUCAAGUUUUGACAUUGCUCCUGACCCCAUCGUCCACUCAUCUAGCCAAUACAUUGAUUUCAGGUGCAAUACCUUAAGUUCCGGGAAGCCACCAGAGCCAACACAAGCCAUCUUUCUUCCUAAAUACGAGUUCUGCUUCAGUUUCAGCAGUUGAAGGUGUGGAAGCUUUUCUAGUGUCGGCAUGGGGUCCUCCUUUAGCUCAGUAUUUGAUAAGCAUAGUUGGGUUAGACUUAGAGGAAACUGGUAUUCAGACAGGACCAUCCAUGAGAGCUGCCCCAUCUCGGUAUUCACCAGCUUCAAGCAUUUAAGUUUAUGGAGUUCGCAUAGGCUUUUGGAAACCCCAGAAUGAUAGCAACUCAAAUCUCCAGAUAUUCGAAGAGUUUGAACAUUCGGUAGUCUGCCCAAAAUAUCUGGAGUACAACUAUUAGGGUUUAAGGUCGAUAUGAAAAUGAGAUUUUUCAAAGAGCUAGAAUAAUUUUCUGGAGGUGCGGGCAGAGUGAUAGAACCAAAGUUUAGAUGCAUGAGUUUUUGCAUCUUCCAAAUAUCCUCUGGUGUUUGAUCUACGUAGCUACAUGGCAUUUCUAGUGUCUGAAGGUUUAAAAGGGUGCAUGGCAGUGAAGGGAGACAUUAUAGUGAUGGGAUAUUCAAUUUCAAAUACUUCAAAUGGAAUAAAUUCUCUAAUCCGGGUGGAUAUUGGUCGGGAACUGGAAAACCCAUGUUCAAUACCCGAAGGUGUUUGAACUUUUUCCAAAAAUUCUCCCAAUUUGUCAGAGCAAGAUGUUGGCUUUUUGAACUGUGAUACAGAAAAGAUUGAAGAUACAUGUCAGAAUGCUCUAAGGAAAAGAACUCAAUCAGAUCUUCCAAAAUGAGGUACCGUUUAGCAUUUCCCAGUGAUAUCUCUUCCAAGUUGGAGUACAGUUUAACAAAUCCGAUCUUUUCUGCCACCCAGCGUAACGCAGCAUAUACAUAACUUGGAACGUAACACGCUUUAAUUGUGCCGCCGGCUCUUAUCUUAUCCACUUGAAUUAAUCCGCUAUUUCUUAAUUCUUUCAAGUACUCUUCGACCAUUCCCUCACUGUUGUAAUUGCCCGGUAUCACACCUUCAGCUAUCCACAACUGACAUAAUUGCCUGGUAGAUAUCUCAAUGGUUGGAGGGAAGACACACAAAUAGAUGCAGCAGACUUUCAAGUGAAAAGGCAACUCCCACACAGAAUGAAUUUGACUCCAAAUUGUCUGAAUCGCUUUCUGUCCAAUAUAAUUUUCUAAUGGCGUAUUUCCAUAGUGUAGGAUGAAAAAUUGCCAGGCUUCAUACUUUAUUCUAAUCAAUGGUCCUCCAACAAGAACUGAAUCAGGCUGGAUCUUUUCUCCGUUUUGCAAUUCGAACCAAAAAAGCGUUAUCAGUACUCUGCUUCCAUUCUGAUUAUCAGGAAGAAAUUCUACAAGAUCAUUCCAUAUCUAUCUAACUGUCAUCGAAGACGUCAUCAAGCACAAUAAAGUACUUCUUGUCUGUUAGGUAAUCUCGAAGAAUAGAUUUCUUCAAUUGAUAAUCUUCACCGAUAAUUACACUAACCCGAGAUGGAGGCAUCACAGACUUGAUUAUGUCAUCCAACAUCUUGCCAAAAUCGUAGGCUAUAGAAAC
rnacentral:lncRNA from 1 species